ACCAGCGCCUCCCUCUCGCAUGUUUGUCUCUGUGUCCUCUGUUCGUCUCCCUCUCCUCCAUCCCCAUCCUCUACCAUGAAUCCAAUCACUCGGUACGGGAAGGUGCUCGCACAUGGCACGACCAAUCUUGAUGCCGUCUACACGAACGACAACACCAAGGUCCAGGUUUUUCUUUCCAUGUUCGAGGCAUGGCUUCGAGAGGAGAAACACAAGUUCAUGGGCUUCGAUCUUGAGUACGCGGGCGAUUGUCGCGAUGUUGUCGUCGUCCAACUUUGUUUCAAACAUCGUGUCAUGGUCUUUCAGUGGGUAAGGUAAUACAAAACUUGUCAUAGUUUUAAUUGGGGCUUUUCUUUGAUUCAUAGGAUAGGAAAAUUGCAUUCGAAUAGGAGGAUUGGGAGUGUCGAGAACAUGUCAUAGUUUCCUUAAUUCAUAGGAAAAAUGCAUAAGAAAAUUGGGCCUUUUCCUUUGAUUCAUAGGAAUGGGGCUUUUCUUUGAUUCAUAGGAAAAUUGCAUAGGAAUAGGAGGAUUAGGAAAAUUUCAUAGGAAUUUUCCUUGUAGUUGCAUAUUGGCCAUCGUGAGAACAUGUCAUAGAUUAGGGGCUUCUUUUUAUUCAUAGGAUAGGAAAUGCAUAUAGGAAAUAGAAAACUUGCUAUAUAUGAUUCUUAUUAUACUUGUGCCAAAUUAUACUUGUUAUGAUUCUAUUAUACUUGUUAUAAAAUAUACUUGUUGCAGUAGUAUAUAUUUAACACAUUUGUUCCAUUUUGUUGUUGCAGUAGUGACAAGCACUGUCCAAAACUCAUGGAUUUCCUCCGCACCGGCAUAAAUCUUGCUAACGUUGAUAUAAAAAAUGACAAGAUCAAGAUGAGGCGCACUUGGGGUAUUGAGAUACCAGCUGAAUGCCACAUUGAUCUUUAGGACAGGUUCAGGCUUGAGAAUGACAAGACUUUAAUGGCUCAUAUGGCAGCCGCCUUGAUCGACGAGGAGUACGCUGAUAUGAAGAGAAAAUUCCCCAAGUGGGCACAAACUUUGGGGUAAGACCUCACUUAACCCUAUCAACAUUGAGUAUGCAGCAAAAGAUGUGUACGUUUCAUACGAGUUGUACCGCAAGAUUAGAAUCUUCAAUUAUGGGCAGAGUCACCUCGUACCGCUAGUAUCUACUGCUUGGUGGUAUUCUGAUCGGGACGACGAGUAUUCUGAUCCAGACGACGAGUAGUGCUUGGGGGUCUCUUCAUGUUAUGCAGUACUUUCUGUAAUGGAUAUCUGAACUAUUAUGUUUAUUAUGUCCCUGUUUAAGUAUGAUUUGUAUGUAAGAAUAUUUAAUAUGAUGUGAGCAAGCUUUCUGAAGCAUUGUGAUGUAUGUGAUGAAUAUUGUCCAUGCUUACGACGCAAUAUAUAAGCAAGGGACACACGCGAAGAAAAAGUGAAGACUUUAUCUCCACAACUAAAAUAUUAACUAAAAAGAACGAAUUAAAAAAGAAUAAACUUUGAAUGGUGCAUGUUGAAAAAAAUGAAAUGCCUUUGUAACAAAUGAGUUUUCGUCUGAAACCCUGAUACUUCGAAAGUGAUUGUCUAUUUUGUACAUGAAGUGCAUCCAGUUUUUGCCGUAACCCUCUCAACUUUUCAACACAUGCUAUGUGGGUGAAAUGAUGAAACCAUGCCAACUUUCAACUUUUUCAGAGUUCAUUUAUAGUGUUUUUCAAUAUCAGGGUCAUUUAGCUCAAUUAAUGAGUAAAUGCACGAAAAAUACCAAAUAAAAUCAAAGGGUUGAAAAUUGAUGAUGGGGCUUUGAAUGGUGCAUGUUGAACACAAAAAAAUUCUGGAGUUGAAAUAAGUUAAAAAAACGAAAUCCCUUUGUAACACAUGAGUUUUCGUUCGAAACCCUCAUACUUCGAAAGAGAUUGUCCAUUUUGUAUACGAAGUGCAUCCAGUUUUUGCCGUAACCCUCUCAACUUUUCAACACAUGCUAUGUGGGUGAAAUUAUGAAACCAUGCCAACUUUCAACCUUUUCAUAGUUCAAUUAUAGUGCUUUUCAAUGACAGGGUCAUUUAGGUCAAAAAAUGAGUAAAUGCACGAAAAAUACCAAAUGAAGUCAAAAAGGGUUGAAAAUUGAUAACGGGGCUUUGAAUGGUGCAUGUUGAAGCACAAAAAGUCUAGGGUUCAAAAGUUAAAAAUGAAAUCCCUUUGUCACACAUGAGUUUUUGUCCGAAACCGUGAUACUUCGAAAGAGAUUGUCCAUUUUGUACACGAAGUGCAUCCAGUUUUUGUCGUAAUCCUCUCAACAUGCUAUGUGGGUGAAAUGAUGAUACCAUGCCAACUUUCAGCCUUUUCAGAGUUCAUUUGUAGUGCUUUUCAAUUUCAGGGCAUUUAGCUCAAAAAAUGAGUAAAUGCAAGAAAAAUAAUAAAUGAAGUAAAAAAGGGUUGAAAAUUGAUGAUGGGGCUUUGAAUGGUGCAUGUUGAACGCACAAAAAGUAUAUAAUUGAAAUAAGUUCAAAAAAAUGAAAUUCCUUUGUAGCACAUGAGUUUUCGUGCGAAACCGUGAUACUUCGAAAGAGAUUGUCGAUUUUGUACACGAAGUGCAUCCAGUUUUUGCCGUAACCCUCUCAACUUUUUAACACAUGCUAUGUGGGUGAAAUGAUGAUACCAUGCCAAAUUUCAACCUUUUCAGAGUUCAUUUGUAGUGCUUUUCAAUUUCAGGAUCAUUUAGCUCAAAAAUGAGUAAAUGCAAGAAAAAAAUACCAAAUGAAGUCAAAAAAGGGUUGAAAAUUGAUGAUGUGGCUUUGAAUGGUGCAUGGAAAAGUCUGGAGUUGAAAUAAGUUAAAAAAUACAAUCCCUUUGUAACAGAUGAGUUUUGGUGCGAAACCAUGAUACUUCGAUAGAGACUGUCGAUUUUCUACACGAAGUGCAUCGAGUGUUUGCUGUAACCCUCUCAACUUUUUAACAGAUGCUAUGUGGGUGAAAUGAUGAUACCAUGCCAACUUACAACCUUUUAAGAGUUCAUUUGUAGUGUUUUUUAAUUUUAGGGUCAUUUAGCUGAAAGAAUAAACUAAUAUAAAAAAGAAUGAACUAAAAAGAAUCAAAAUAAUAUAAACUAAACUUAUGAAAGUAUUGAUUUGUUAAAGAGAAUGAACUAGAAAGAACCAAAAAUAAUAUUAACUAAACUUAUCAAAGUUCAUUUGUAUUGCUUUUCAAUUUCAGGGUAAUUUAGCCCGUAGGCCUACAUAUGAGAGGAGUUCGAGAGGGUUGGUGCAGCCGCGCUUAUAAACCACUCUUGGCUCCUCUCAGCUAGCGAGGUGGGACUAAACUCCCACCACCACGCGCCAGCGCCAGGAAGAGUCAUUUAGUCCCGGUUGGAAGCCCUUUGCUUACCGCCCUUUCGGCUGCUGAAAAGGAGCUUUAGUCCGAGUUGGUGGCUAAAACCGGGACUAAAGCCCCCCCCCCCCUUUAGUCCCGGUGGAGCCAUCAACCGAAACUAAAGCCCUUUGCUUCCCACCCUUUUGGCUGCUGAAAAGGAGCUUUAGUCCCAGUUGCAGCCACCAACCGGGACUAAAGGUGGGGCCAUAUAAGCGGGACUUUGCGGUUUUUCCAAAUCCAGUGCUUUCUUCGAUCUCCUCCUCUCCUACGACGGCGCCGAGACCACAUCUACGCUGUCAGGCUGCCAGACCUCGUCAUCGCCUCCCCGAGCCCUGCCCUGACGCCGUCCCCCGCUUCCCUCGUUGGGCCCGCCCAACCCCGACGUCGUCGCCGCUUCCUGCCCUAACGUCGCCGUCGUCGUGCCCUGCCCCCGACAUCGUCGUCGACGCACCCUUCCCCGACGUCGUCGUCCCCGCGCGCUCCCUUCAUCAUCGGCCGACCCCCUCCAUCUCCAUCGCUCGCCGCCCCUAGUGGCUCAUGCAUCUCCAUCGCUCCCCGCGUGCUUCCCUCAAUGCAUUAGUGUUAGCUUAAUUUUACUCUCUCCGUUCCUAAAUAUAAGUCCUUUUAGAGAUGAAUGUACACUCUAAAUUGUGUCUAUAUACAUCUGUAUGUAGUCCUUAAGUGAACCUCUAAAAAGACUGUGUACAUGAAGACUUGUCGAAAUCAUAAAAAUAUUGUGUAAAUUGUGUCUAUGCACAUACGUAUUUAUACAUGCAUUUUAGAGAAAAUUAAGCAUUAUGUGGUUCAAAAUAUUAUGUACAUGAAGACUUAUCGAAAUCAUAAAAAUAUCAUAGUGUUUCAUCUUUUAUGUUGACUAAGCGAUAUAAACAUGCUUGUGUGGUUACACAAUUCACUUGUUAGAUGUCUAGCUAUUUCUUGGUUAAUCAAGUAAGAAGGAGCAACUGCAACAAAGGACAAUGGCCAAUCACAUGUCCCAUGUCCUAAGUCUUUUUUCGAUAUUGUUCGACAUUACUUGAGCAUAUUUUCCAAUAUGAGGUAUUUAAAAAGUUAUCCAAGUGUAUGAAAUCCUAAAUAUGUGUGUUAGAUAUGACUGGUGUAAAUAUAAGAACAUGUAUGCCCCACAACAAUUACUCUGCAUUUUUGUUUGUCCUUUAUUUAAAGUUUUGAUGCUCAUAGCAUCCUAGUACGUAUUUGUUUCUCUAUUCCUACUGCUACCUAAAUUAGAAUUUGCAAACAAAUCAUCAACGACAUAUAUUAAUUCCGGAUUUAUUCUUUAGAUAGUAGGACUUUAAAUUGUUCUCGACGUCGACGAUGCCCGUCACGCAGCCUCGUCGUUGACUCAAUGGUGACAACCUACUUGAGAGGCGCCAUGUCCGGGACUGGGCUCCGCCGGGCUGCACUGGAAGGUGCUACCUUCUAGGGCACGAAUCUUGGUGAGGAACCAGGCUCCCGUUGUCGACCCGGAGAUUCUUUGGUGGCGGUCACGUGGGCCACUUUCGGUGCGGAGGCAGCCGCCCUACAAGGAGGAGGUACUUCAUCGUGUCAGGGAGGAGGACGAGCAUAUACAUUGCUACUUGGUUGUGUUGGAUGCUAGGUUCUCCAAUACCUGGCAGGUUCUUCAGGGAUCUCACCCGAGCUAUGAUCUUGUGAUGGUUCCUUCUCUUUGGGUGUCCAUCGCCAUUGCCUCAGUACAUCGGCAGCUCUUUGGGUGAUCCAUUUGAUUAGGAACCGUGAGUGAACUAGAUUAUAUUAGAUAUGUACUAGUACAAAUGCCCGUGCGUUGCACCGGGCGAAAAAUAAUAACAUCAAAAUCCAUCACCGCACACACAAUCUGCCUCAUCCACUUAAAUACGGUAACCCAUCCGUCUCAUAGUUAUCCUUCUUUCUACCAUUAGGUCGUUCACCUUGUCACACAUGUGUGAACAUGGUCAAUCUUGAGGCGAUAAACUCACCCACCACAAUGCCAUUUAACCACACCGGCAUAAGAGAACAUUUAUAACUUUAAAAACUAAUCUUGCUGAGCUAGACCGUGAGGGCCGCCUUCCUUGAAUUGCUUCCUAAUGUUCGUGAUUGUUACAUACUAAAUUUUUUCUCACAACCAAUAUUUAUUAAUUUGGUACAAUUUAUAAAAUAUCAACCUUCAAAUUUGGAGUACCGCAAAUGAAAAGAAGAUGAAACAUAAUUAUUUGCAACAAAAAUCUAAAUUGUUAACAAAUCACCUAAUGAUAUACACAUUUCCAUCUAUAGAUCUUCAAAACAUAUUACUACAAAAAAAGCAUAGGUUCAUUACGAACAAACUGAGAUUUAUCAGGAAACCAUUCGGGACGGUAGUACAAUUUGUUCACAUUGACAAAGCAUUGUCCUACUUGCUCUAGAGAAUUAAGAACGAUACUAAUCCAAAAAUUAGUUUUUACAUCCAUAUCAUACAUCUAUGUACGCAGAUAAAGCUAGUGGUAGUGAUACAAAUCAAAAAGUGGCUAAUCAAUCGGCGUGACUAUCGCCGUCAGGCAUUUGUGCUAGUAAAGAGAUAAAAAGGAAAACUCAAUUAGCUUACUCUAACAUUGAAAACAUUUGUUUUGUGUACAAACAUUUUCUGAAAUGCAAGAAAAGUUUUUGAAUUCAUGAGCAUUUUUGACUCAACAAACAUGUUAUGGAUCGCUUAAGUUUUUUUAAAAUUGGAGAACAAAUUUUAAAAUUUGUGUUUUUUUUUACUUUUUUGUGAACAUUUUCAAAAAUUUGAUGGACACCUUUUGCAGAUUCCCGAAUAUUUUUUGUGCACAUAUUCUGAAAUGUAUUUUUUGUACGAACAUUUUUUGCCUUUUUGUUUUGUGUAUGAACAUUUUGUGAAAUGCAUGGAUUUUUUUUUGAAUUCAUGAGCAUUUUUUGACUCAACCAACAUGUUUUGAGUCGCUUAACUUUUUUAAAAUGGGGGAACAAAUUUUAAAAUUUGUGUUUUUUUUACUUUUUGUGAACAUUUUGUAAAAUUUGAUGGACACUUUUUGCAGAUUCCCGAAUAUGUUUUGAACAAAUGAUCAUUUUUUUCAAAAUCAAGAACAUGAUUUUCUUUCCCGACUAUUUAUUUUUCAAAUUGUGAUUUUGUUUUGUAAUUUGCAAACAGUUUAUAAAUACACCAAUAUAUUUUGAAUCCAUGAAACUUCUAUAAUUUUCUUAAAAAAAUCAAAGUCUCAUGCAUUUUAGAAUUUCUUGAAUGUUUCUUCAAAACUCAUCAUAUUUGAAAUUUGAAAACCCCAAAUUAAUAUAAAGAAGGAAGAGAACAGAAUAAGAAAAUAAAAAAAAAGAAAAAAAAUGAGAAAAAGACAACGGAAUGUAGAUCAAACAGAUGGGCCGGCCCAGCUCAUGAAGACACACACAUAGGGGAAGGCGUUGUGCGAGAAAACGAAAACAAUGUGCAAGAUGUGGGGAUUGAACCCUGGUCGCCUGGCUAGGAGUGCUAGGCCUCAACCACUACAGCGCUAGUCCAUUGGUGAUGCUAUUGUAACAUCUCCAUAAAAUAAAGGACUACGCCGCGACUUUUUGGUGAAAAAAAUCAAAGCGUUUUCCUGACUUAUGGAUGGCACAGUGGGUAAUUUAUGUCAACUUUGGGGAUAAUAUUAAUGACGAACGACAGAAGCACUAAUUGCUUUAUGAGUACUAGCAAAAUGGCCCGUGCGUUGCCACGAAAUAAAAAAAACAUAAUCUACAAUGAUGGUGACCACAUUAUGUUCACAUAUCAUCGCUUGAUUUAGAAAUUUUAUGCACAAAUGUAAGAAAAUGUUUCUUCUUUUAAAUUUAUUCACAAGUUGAAGCAAUCUUUACAUUUUCAAAAAAUAUAUAUCAUGGUUGUCAAAAAUCUUGGUAACUCAAAGAUUUAUUCUGAAUUUGAAUAUUUUUUCUUAGAAAAUAUACAAUAAUAAUCCGAUCCAUCCAAUAGUUAAUUCUUCAAAAUUCACACAUGUAUAUUGUCACAAAGACUUAGAAGCAUUAAUGUUUAACUACAUACAUUAGAUCUUUCGUGAACAAUUUUACAAAUACGGGAACAAUUUUCAAAUUAAGAACAUUUUUUACAAUUUACAAACAUUUAGUAAAAAUCAUGAAUAUUUUUUAUAUUUUGAACGGGUUUAAAUAUUUUCUUUCGAAUUGGCGAACAAUUCAAGAAAAGACGAACAUAAUUUUUUAUGUUGGAGGAUUUUAUUUUAAAUUCACAAACAUUUUUUGAGACGCAUGAAGCUUUUCUAAAGAAACAAACAUUUUUAUAAAUCAGUAAUAUAUAUAUUAAAUUCAUGGACAUUGUUUUGGAAUUUGCAAAAAAAAAUAUAAAAAUCCAACGCUUUUUUUGAACCCUAUUUUUAAUUCAAAAUAAAAAUUCGUCGGCAUUUUAAUUCAAAAUUCCUAUUUUUUAAUAUGCAAAAGUUCUUGUAAUUCUAAAUUAAUUAAAUUAUAAAUAAAUAAAAAUGAAACGUAAAAUAUUAAGUAAAAAAAAGAAACUAUCAAAACAGGCAUUAGCUAUUUUUAAAAUUUUAGAACAUUUUUUAGAUGCAUUAACAUAUUUUGAAUUAGAAAUCAUUUUGUUGAAUGUCUCUAAAAGUUUUAAUACAUGGAAUUUUAUUUGAGAUCAUGGACUUUUCUUAUUGUACAAAUAUUUUCCUAGAAUUGCAAACAUUUUAUUGUAUAUGCGAGCAUUUUUCACAAUACUCCGAGCAGUUUUUGAAGUCACAAACAUUUUAAUUUUUUAAAUAUGUUGAUUUAUAAUUUUCAGUUUAUUAAAAUAUUAAAUAUUAUUUGAAGUUCUAAAUUAUUUAAAAUAAAAAAAUAAAACAGAACUGAAAAUAAAUAAAUAAAGGAAACUAAAAGCAGGUGCAUGUGCAUGGGCCGGCCCAUAUGGUGUGCUGAAAAUUCUCCCAGCAUGCAGAGCAUAAUAUAGGAGGUUUUUACAUGGGCCGUCCUAGUCCAAGAUUUUUCGCUUUGUGAAACGUUUUUAAUUACUUACCAGUGGCAUGGUGGGUAAUUUAUGUAAACUUUAGGGAUAAUUUUCAAGACGGAUGACCAGAAACCGUAUUUGCUUUAUUAUUAGGGAGAGAUAGCAAAAUGGCCCGUGCGUUGCCACGUAAGAAAAAAACUUUAUCUCCAAUGAUGGUGACCAUAUUAUGUUCAUAUAUCAUCGCUUGAUUUAGAAAUUUUGUGUACAAACGCAAGAAAAUGUUUCUUCUUUCAAAUUUAUUCACAAGUUGAAGCAAUUUUUACAUUUUCAAAAAAUAUAUAUCAUGGUUUUCAAAAAUCUUGGUAACUCAAAGAUUUAUUCUGAAUUUCAAGAUUUUUUUUUAGAAAACAUACAAUAAUAAUCCAAUCCAUCCAACAGUUAAUUCUUCAAAAUUCACACAGGUAUAUUGUCACAAAGAUUUAGAAGCAUUAAUGUUUAACUAUAUACAUUAGUUCUUUCCUGAACAAAUUUACAAAUAUGGGAACGAUUUUAAAAUCGAGGACAUUUUUUACAAUUUACAAACAUUUACUAAAAAUUGUGAAUAUUUUUUAUAUUUCGAACGGGUUUAAAUAUUUUCUUUUGAAUUGUCCACCAAUUCAAGAAAAGACGAACAUAAUUUUUGAUGUUGGAGAAUUUUAUUUUAAAUUCACAAACAUUUUUUGACAUGCAUGAAGUUUUUCUGCAUAAACAAACAUUUUUAUAAAUCAGUAAUAUAUUUAUUAAAUUCAUGGACAUGGUUUUGGAAUUUGCAAAAAAAUAUAUAAAUCCGGCACUUUUUUGGAUGCUAUUUUUAAUUCAAAAUAAAAAUUCGUCAGCAUUUUAAUCCAAAUUUUUAUUUUUUAAUAUGCAAAAGUUUUUGUAAUUCGAAAUUAUUUAAAUUAUAAAUAAACAAAAAUGGAAUGAAAAAUUUUAAAUAAAAAAAAGAAACUAUCAUAACAGGAUUAGCUAUUUUUAAAAUUUUAGGACAUAUUUGAAUUAGAAAGUAUUUUGUUAAAUGCAUUUAAUAUUUUUUAAUACAUGGAAUUGUAUUUGAGAUCAUGGACUAUUCUUAUUGUACAAAUAUUUUUAUAAAAUUGCAAACAUUUUAUUGUAUAUGCGAGCAUUUUUUACAAAACUCCGAGCAAUUUUUGAAGUCACAAACAUUUUAAUUUUUUAAAUAUGCUGAUUUAUAAUUUUCAGUUUAUUAAAAUUUUAAAGAUUAUUUAAAGUUAUAAAUAAUUUAAAAUAAAAAAAUAAAACGGAACUGAAAAUAAAUAAAUAAACGGAACUAAAAGCAGGCGUCUGUGCAUGGGCCGGCCCAUACGGUGUGCUGGAUAUGCUCCCAGCGUGCAGAGCGUAAUAUAGGAGGUUUUUACAUGGGCCGACCCAGUUCAAGAUUUUUCGCUUUGUGAAACGUUUUUUAUUACUUACCGAUGGCAUGGUGGGUAAUUUAUGCAAACUUUAGGGGUAAUUUUCAAGACGGACGACCAGAAACCGAAUUUUCUUUAUUAUUAGAUAGAUAUAUAUUCGAGAUUAUAUUCGAUAAUAUUUGAGAUAUAUUAAGUUGAUUAUUGGUUGUAACCGAAAAAAAUCUUUUUGCCUCUUGAGAUCUAUUGCAGGACAAACGCUUUUGACUUUUUUGCUAGAAAAAAUUAAACUUCUUAGUGUCGGCAGGUCCAUCAUUGUAUGAUUUUUGUUUUUCUGUUGUUGUAGCCUUUAGGAUAGGUUUUUAUUUGUCCAAUGUGUGUGAUUUUUAAUCUUAUAUAGAAUUAUGAACACAUGGAAUGGCGUUGUCCGAUGACGAUAGGAUCCCUACGUGUCAUUUAUGCUGGGAUGAUAGGGGUAUAUGCGAUCUUUAUCCCCACCUAGAUAAUGAUACGUCAUUCACCGUCAAGCUGAUGGAUGACUUUCCGAUUAUUACGGUUUGUAAAGAUGGCAUGUAUUUUUUGUUAGUCAAGUAUGACGUGUGCUUUUUUUUGCUUUAGUUAACCUUUAAUUUUUUUUAUUUUGUACAAUUCGACUAGUGUGUUCCCUGUCAUGCAAGAUUUGCUGUCUUGGACAAGUUUCAUUUUAAAGAGAAGGAUAGUACAGAGCUUAAGAUAUAGCUCACCUAAGAACAAAGCAUUUCACUUUUGUUGUCAAGGUAAAAAAUGAUGAANNNNNNNNNNNNNNNNNNNNNNNNNNNNNNNNNNNNNNNNNNNNNNNNNNNNNNNNNNNNNNNNNNNNNNNNNNNNNNNNNNNNNNNNNNNNNNNNNNNNAGGGCAUAUUUCCAAGAAUAACAGGAAUGGGUGUUGGGUUAAUGACUGCUGGAUAACAGGUAUGGUUUCCUCCAUCGGUGUCUUAGUUGUGAUGGGGUACCAGAUCUGGAGUUUGAUGUCGUGUGCGGGAUAUUGCCCCGGUCUGAUUCGUCCAACGAUAAUGACUUCACUUUUAGCGAGCCACCUUAGAGGUCCGCAAAGCUGCGUAUCAGCCAUACUACCAUGUCGAGCUCGGGUGAACAGGUGGUCCGUCAUUUUUUUUAGUUGCUGUUGUGGUGAUGCAGGAGCCGAUGUUUUGUUAUUUUCCAAAUUUUAUCAUGUCAGUCUUUACGUGACUUAUAGUUUAAUCUAUAUAAUAUUAAUGAGACACGUAUUAUCAUGCAAAAAAACUAGCUUUGUACGUCGACUUUGAGUUACAAAUCGCCUUCAUAAGUUGUCGUACAAUCUUUUCCUUGUACGAAAGCCCAUGCUCCGUGUUAGGUAUGCAUGAUCUCAUGCCAACUGGAACUAAAGAUGGCAAUAGAUACCAAUUGUCCGUUUGACUAUAUAUACUUUAUCACUAAAUUCUCUAGAAUUGGAGGCCUUACAAUCAAUUGAGAUUUCCAACUGGAAUUUGGUCAUUCAAUUUUGACCGGGUCAACAAUCUCUCCCUCAAUUAUUUUCAUGAACUAUGAUCUCUUAUUUCAUUGAGAAAUUAAAUAUUGAAUUUCGUUAAAGAUUUUGACUGGAUCAACAAUGUUUCGAAUCAAUUGGAAGCAACCGGCCAAUAAAAACUCACCAAUCCUAGGCACCCCCUCACCACCUAGAAAAAAUAGCGUGAACAGAUGAUACUAUAGCAUCAAUGUAGUACAUGCAGCCACCGAAGAAAAAACAAAUUCUCACUUAAGUAUGACUUGAUUAGUGGAUCACAAAAUAACACCGCAAAAGCCCACUAGAACACCGCAUUAUAUGAAUAAAAAGGAAAUGAGACUCCAUCUUCUCCCCCCACCUACCCAAACCUAAUACUCACCCGGUUCUAAAAUCUAAGGUGUAUUAGUUUAUUGAAAAGUCAAUUUUUUUAAAACUUUGACCAAGUUCAGAUGUAAAAAUAUUGAGAUCAACAAUACUAAAUAAUGAAAUAUAAAAAAAUAUUUCAUGAUGAAUCUAAGAAUUCAGUUUGAUACUAUGGAUACAGAUAUAUUUCUAUAAAAAUAUGGUCAAAUUUAAAAAGGCUUGACUUUUAAAAAAAUUAAUACACCUUAUAUUUUAAGAUAGAUUGAGUACAAAAUUAUCAAAACCCAAAAAAUAUGAACAACGCAGCAUACCGCGCCCAGCUUUUCUAGUUAGUAUCAUUACACAUGAAAUAUAUUGUAGUUAUGUGGGUAUUUCGGUUCAUAACUAUUGUAAUAUAAUAUUUUGUGUAAACUCGGUCAAGUUUGAAAUAGUUUGACUUUCCUAUAAAGUUUUUUUUUUGAACAGUGAUCAGGGUCACGACUUUCCUAUGAAGUUGGAUAUACACACUUUCCUGGAUGGAGACUAGUAUUUGUGAACACUGUGACAGUUUCUGGUGAUGAAUAAUAAUCUAUGUAUUUUGAACACACAAAAAAUAAAAUCAAUCAAUCGAAGACGGAAUAACUUGGGCGACACAAAAGAACGCGAGUGAAGAAAUGCAUGACCUAACUAACUGCCGCUGGGUUGUUUGGAUUGGACUGGUCACGCACACUUGCAUUCACUUGGUGUAAUAAGACGGCCAAGAAGCAUCGAACUCACACAAAUUUCCUUCCACCUCUAGCUCAAUUCUGCAAAAUGCCUUCCCGUUACCUCAUCCUGGUAGUAAGCAUCGCCAUUCUCUUCUCCGGCGACCCUGCCGGUUUCCAGGAGCCAGACAUGGCCGCUGUCGCUCCUUCCUGUGACGGGGAGGCUGGAUUCUCUUUCCCCGUCAUUCACUGGAGGAGCAUGGCAGAGAUCAUCGAGGAGGAGAUGGAGUUGGCGGCCACUGCCUCUGCCACAGCUAUGGAGGAGGAGAAGUUCGUGGUGUUGUUUCGAUACCACCGGAAGUUUUCCAUGUAUCUGGUGCAGCUCCGCAUUGGCGGCUGACCAUCAGAUGAAGCGCGUUCCAGGUAUGUCUUAUUUGACACCGGCGACGACCUGUCAUGGACGGAGUGCGUUCCGUGCCGGGCCUGCACCAGAAGCCACUACCGUCCCUUCAACCAUGACAGGUCGUCGUUGGUGUCGAAUAAGACAUAUCUGGAACACGCUUCAUCCGAUGGUCCGCCGUCAAUGCGGAGCUGCACCAGAUACAUGGAAAACUUCCGGCGGUGCCGAAACGGCACCACGAACUUCUCCUCCUCCAUGGCUGCGGCGGAGGCAGUGGCCGCCAACUCCAUCUCCUCCCCCGACAACCUCUGCCAUGCUCUUCCAGUGAAUGAUGGGGAAAGAUAAUCCAGCCUCCCCGUCAUAGGAAGGAGUGACAUCGGCCAAUGUGAUACCGUAGUCCAGAAUUGGCACCAAAAAACAACUGUUUUCAUUGAGUUCAGGUUGAAUUCCCCACCACCCCCGCUGCCUUUCUUGCAAAGUCCCUUCUAACGGGCCAGCUUGCAAACCUGUUAAACACAGAUGAACGACCAAAACAAAAUAACUACCCACCCUUCCCUCAACUUAGGUGGCGUUUGGUUGGAGGGCGAGGGUGGAUUGGCUCAAGAUAUCCCCAACCAACUGGUUAGGGAUAGCCACAUUUGGUUGUUUGGUGAAGAUGAAAAGUGGUUAGGGAUAGCCACUUCUAUGUUUGGUUGAGAGGAUUAUGUGUGGAUAAGUUGUUGUGUUGAGCUCUUUGUUAGAGUUGUGAGAUUACCCCUUUUAAUUACUUGCAAUAUGUUAUUUCAUAAAUGGAUACAAAUUACAUUGAAAGAUAAUAUAUUUUGUUUCAGAAAAACCUUAUAUUGAUGAUCCGGCAACAAAGAAAUCAAAACCAAAACAUUUCAUUAUCAUAAAUAUUAUCCAGAAAAGUAGACAACACGUACUACUUGUGAAAGCACACAUACAUGUUGCACUUACAGUAGCCCCACUUUUCAUCUUUGUUAUGGUUCUAUUCACGAACAAGAUCAUCUUGUUCUGAAUAUUCAGUGCUUUUGUUAUCACAGGCCUAACCACAUACUCUCUCCGUUUUUAAGUAUAAGUCUUUUUAAAAAUUCUACUAUCGACUACAUACAAAACAAAAUGAGUGAAUUUAUACUCUAAAGUAUGUCCAUAUACAUUCGCACGUAAUCAGUAACGAAUCUCUAAAAUGAUUUAUAUUUAAGAACAAAGGGAGUAUAGAAGAAGCAAGAACUAUAUAUUUUUCGUAUGAGAAGAAGCAUCCCAGGCCCAUCCCUCACCGCCCACCACCCAGCUCUCCCCAUCUUGCCGUCUUGUCCACCACCAGCCCCCUUGACGUUGUUCUCAUUUCGAAUUGUGUUCGUGUUUUUCCAAAAAUGUACGGAGUUUUAAAAAAUUAUUCACAUUUUCUAGAAAUGUUCAGGAUUUAAGAAAAAUCAUGUUUCUAGAAAUAUUCGGCAGUUAAUAAGUUUUACUAUUAUUUUGAAAAAUUCAAAAAGAAUCAAUAAACAAGAAAAAAAAUGUUUCGAAUCUCACACUACAAUAUGUACUUAAAUAUUCGUGUUGUCCAUGAAUUAGCAAGACGCGUUUGUUCGAUUAGCUAGCAACACGUGGUCCGGUCUUUGAGGUCCUGAGUUCGAUUCUUCAACGCAUUUAAAAAAAUUACUCGUGCCAUACAAACACAUGUUGUUUUUGUGCAUGCCAGUGGGCUGGCCGAGAUAAACGCUGAUAAAGAAGAGACAUUCAUGUCUAAUUAAAAGCUGAUUAAGGUAAUGAAACGUGAUAUAUGCAUAGAGUUAGCAAUCCAUCCGGUUACGUUGUGUAUGAGAGAGUGACACGCAACCACCAAGCAACUACAGCCCCGAGACGGAGGUGGACCUAGAGGGAAAAAGGCAUGACAGGGGUGGUCGCCGUCACGCCAACCAACCCCACCAUCUCAGAGAACAAACAUGAUCUGGGAGAAGACUGCAGUCCUUGCCGCGGGGACCAUUUUUGCUGGACAUAGUAACUAUCUCUCCCGUUGCUUGUCACAGAAACAAUUUUCUUUCGUUGCAAUGCACAUGCGUAUUUGCUAGUUAAUAUUAAAGGGAAGAUUGUUUCUCUUUGUACGUCCCUAACUUGCCCACAAACCAACUCCGUUCGGCAUGCUUUGGGCCUUUGCCCAUCACAUCUUUUCUUAUUGGGCCAUUGGUAAGAAUAAAUGCACAAAAAAAUAGUGCUUUCUUUGUAACCUACGCUUCGAGUAGGUUGACUGCAAUUACAUAAUGCAUGAUGGAUUUGGGCCUCUGUUUUCAUUAAGUAAUACCACCUGUCCUCCUUCGAACCAAAACCAUCAAUUUAUAUAAGUCUUGAGUUACUUGUUAUAGAUCAACUCAACAAAUCGGCUUGGGAAUCAAUAUGUGGAGGACGAGGAUGAUGACGCGAGAAGAAGAGAAUGAGUCCCGCUAAAGGAAGGAAGGAAUAUGUUGCCCUAUAUGGGCUAAUUAAGUAGCGAUCAAUUAAACGGAGGUGUACAGAAAACUGCAUUGAUGAAUGGAAAGAAACUCUCUGACACAUCAGACGGGUAACAAAUGUCUCCCGUUGCAACUCACAGCCAUUUGUGCUAGUAAUGAAAAUGGAACAUGUUGUGCCAGCAGUAUAGUAAAGAAAAGAGAGAACAACUAAAUUGAUGAUAACAUAGAGGAAAGACUGGAGAACACUGAAUAUGACUGAGGACUGAGCACUAAACUACAAGAAAUAUGAGAGAGUCCUACUGAACAAAGAAACAAGGCAUUGAAGAAAAAGGGAUGGGUGAACAUUGACUUCUGCAAUUUCAAAGCUAGAAAAAAUAGGAUAAAAAAGACACUAGAAAAGAUAGGAAUACGCAACUAAAAUGCUGACUGUUGUCUACGAAAAAGAUAGAUCCCUACCAUGUGAGCUACACCUUUCCAAUCUAAAAAUAAAAAGGCAACGCUGAAGAAAAGCUAAUCAAUCAACGCGAUCGGAUUAGACCAUCUUUUGAUCACACUGAAGGAAUGACUAACCAACUGUAGAGGCAAAACAUAACAUGCCCAACCAACUGUUCCCCCGCCACCCCUCUGCUCCAGUCCCCACCCCACUAUAACCCUUCAUCCCAGAUGUGUGACUCCUCUUUGACGCUUCAUGUAGCGCCACCGCAUGUUGGCCUCAAGUUAGACUUGCUCGAUGGAAAAAAUCCCGGAUACAAAGAAAAAAAUUAAAAAAAUGUAUUUGAUUAGCGCUACAAAAAUAAAAAUAAAAGCUAGGUCUAGCAUUGGUCAAGAGUGUUAGCAGUAAUCUUGAUAUUUCGUUUCACAUAUUUGGUUUGGAGUUUUGCAUGUAGUUUAGAUGGUUUAGGAAAGUGUACGUAGGCCAAUGGUGCUUCAGUUGAGAUGUCGGGCUGCUGUGCGAUGCGGCAAAUAUGGCGAGAUGUCAAAGAUGUCGUGCGUUAACGUCUUGAGAAGCGGCAUGGCGCGACCGAGGUUGGAGCUUGACUGGCUGCGGUACGAGUUAAGUCGGGUGAUCAGGUGAUAUUCAUAACCAAAUAAACAAUGAGUUAGGAAAAAUACUGAUAAUGUUGUGUUGAGCUCAUUGUUAGAGUUGUGAGAUUACCACAGCUACAUGCAAUAUGUUAUUUCGUAAAUGGGUACAAAUUGCAUUCAAAGAUAAUAUGUUAUUUCAGAAAAACCUUAUAUCGAUGAUCCGACAACAAAGAAAACAAAACCAAAACACUUCGUUAUUAUAAAAAUUAUCCAGAAAAAUAGACAACACGCACUACUUGUGAAAGCACACACACAUGUUGCACUUACAUUAGCCCGGUUUGUGCCAACAUUGUUAUUGCUCUAUUCACGAAAAAGAUGAUCUUGUUCUGAAUAUUCAGUGCUUUUGUUGUCACUGGCCUAACCAUAUACUCUCUCCAUUGUUAAAUAUAAGUCUUUUUAAAUAUUUCACUAUAGACUAAAUGGGGAACGAAAUGAAUAAAUCUAUACUUUAAAAUAUGUCCUAUAUACAUUUGUAUGUAAUCAGUAGUAAAAUCUCUAAAAAAAAUUAUAUUUAAGAAUGAAGGGAGUACAGAAGAAGCAUGAACUAUAUAUUUUUCAUAUGAGAAGAAGCAUCCCAGGCCCAUCCCUCACCGCUUGCCGUCUUGUCCACCACCAGCCCCCUUGACGUUGAUCUCAUUUCGAGUUGUGUUCGUGUUUUUCCAAAAAUGUACGGAGUUUUCAAAAAGUAUUCACAUUUUCUAGAAAUGUUCAGGAUUUAAGAAAAAUCAUGUUUCUAGAAAUAUUCGGCAGUUAAUAAGUUUUAUUAUAUUAUUUUCAAAAGUACAAAAAGAAUCAAUAAACAAGAAAAAAAAUCAAAUCUCACACUACAGUCUGUACUUAAAUAUGUGUAUUGUCCAUGAAUUAGCAGGACGCGUUUGUUCGAUUGGCUAGCAACACGUGGUCGGGUAUUUGAGGCCGUGAGUUCGAUUCUUCAACACCUUUAAAAAAAUUAAUCGUGCCAUAUAAACACAGGUUGUUUUUGUGCAUGCCAAUGGGCAGGCUGAGAUAAACUGUGAUGGAGAAGAGACAUUCAUGUCUGGUUAAAAGAUGAUUUUGAUGCGUCAGCGGCGGGCUUACGCCUGCCUAAACCUUUAUUGUCAAAAACCAUCCGGGGUGUUACAUAGUGCAUAGGUAUUAUAGGGGUCGGAAGAAAAUAGAAAAAGCAAGAUUACAUAGAUAUAGGGUUAUAAUCUCCCAGCAAGGUUAAACAACAUGGAACCCCACUCUUGGAGGCGAAUUUGUUUGUGGGAGUUUUUACAAUAUGACCAAAGAUGAAGAUCAUCAGCGGCAGAGCUUGGAAUAUGGUGUAUCUGUUGGUGCUCGUUUCGAAAGACCUUGGCGCUCUGUCGUUUCCAAAUAUUCCAGAGAACGGCGAGCAUAACCAUGGACCAGGUUUUGUUGUUCAUGCCCCCCUCCCAGGUAGGGGUGGGCAUAUUAACCAAUAACCGUUGUACCAAACCGAAAGAACCGGGACCGAAAACAAAUGAACCAGAACCGGGAAGUUUGGUUCCUAUUUCGGUUAUUAAAUCUAUAAAAUCAAUUAUAUUCUCUAAUUUCGGUUUUAACACUUGGUUCAUCGAAAAGACCAAAUAACCCGAGCCUACAUACCACGCCUCGUACCUUUUGUAUUCUCUAAAGCCCAGCGAGCCCAACACGGAGCCCCAAGUCCCUAUGCAUUUUCCCUUAUCUCAGAACAUGCACUUCUGGUAUGGCCCAAAUAGUGUAGCCAUCGGCCCAUGACAAAAUACGUUAAUUGUAGUGCGUCAACGUGUGGUUUAGUACCAUCUACUCCCUCCGUUCCUAAAUAUAAGUCUUUUAAGAUAUUUUACUAGGGGUCAACAUACGGAGCAAAAUAAGUGAAUCUACACUCUAAAGUAUGUCUAUAUACAUCCGUAUGUAGUCCACUAAUGAAACCUCUUUAAAGACUUAUAUUUAGGAACGGAGGGAGUAGCUACUAAGAAAGGAAGCGUAUGAAAGACAACAAAAAGCAGUAGUAGCUAGCCAUUCACUUAGCAUGCAUGCUUAUACCAAAACCUGCGGAGGCACGCUAAGCCUGUGCAUUAAAUUCAGAUAUGUUCGGUUGAAACCGAUGACAGAACCGGUUGCCCGGUUCAAAAAAAUAUCGGUUACCUAAUCCUGAAGUAGCUGAUCGGUUUGCAUUUCCAAUAAACCGAAAAUAUCUGUGACCUGGAAAACCGAACCAAUUUGUUCGGUUAGACUGAAUGCCCAGGCCUACUCCCAAGCGUGGAGUAGCCCAUGUGGCGAGCGGCAUAAGUUGUUUAGUUCGUGAAGAGCAGGUGGUCGAUGGAUUCAUCGUGGCUGUAGAACAGGCACUUGGCAGAAGUAGUGAUGCCCCGACGAAAGCGUUGUUAGUUCGUGAACAGGCGAUCUUUAUGGGCGAGUUACACAAAAAUUCUGCAUUUGUCAAAGCAUCUCCAACAGCCGCGCUAUAUUAGCGCCGCGCUAGCCGCAAAAAAGCCAAAUAUAGCGCACGCGCAACGCGAGGGACAGCUCCAGCGGGCGCGCUAAAACCGCGCGUGCUAAAACGAGUUGGACGCGCUGGCCAUAGCCCCAUCCCGCCCUGUGUAUUUCGGGCGUCCACUUCCGCGCGCGGUAGACUUGAGCGCGCGCGCGAACUCUCCCAUUUUCUUCCUCCUUUGCUCCCGCGCGCGCCGGCGCCAGCGCCCCUGCCACCAUGGACCCGCACACCGGCACCCCGCUGACCCCGCGACCCCCCGUCGCCGCCGCCGAGAAGCCCCACACCCAACUCGGUUUUCAUACUCGAAACCAAAACGACCGGAUGGGUGCAAGAAGGGCAAAACCGAAAAGAAGAAGAGGAAAGGAGAUGAUGAGCUCACAAAUGCUACGGAAGCUAUUGUGAAGGCAAGAAAAGAAGCGAACGAGGUGAGGAAAAUGGCAAGGAACCAAGAUGCCGCGGCCGAGGAGAGGAAAGUGGCAUUGGAGGAGAGGAAGGUGGGCAUGGAGGAGCGAGCUAAGUUGUUGGAAUGGGAAAAGCACUUGUUCUUCUUGACACAUCUUUGUUCAAUGAUGCGCAAAAGAAAUAUGUCAACCUUGCCCGUGAAGAAGUGUUGAUUCAAAAAAGAGCCAUGAUCCGCACAAUGGGUGGCGGUGGCCUUGGCGGCAUGGGUGGCGGUGGCCUUGGCGGCAUGGGUGGAGCUGGCCUCGGCGUCAUGGGAGGCAUGGGCCUCGGCGCCAUGGGAGGCUUGGGUGGCUUCGGAGCCAUGGGAGGCAUGGGUGCACCUCCGGCCGUCAUGGGAGGCAUGGGUGGCUUUGGAGCCCCCUCCAACGCUAUGGAAGGCAUGGGUGGCUUUGGAGCACCCUCAACGCUAUGGGAGGCAUGGGUGGCAUGAGUUUUGCUUCUCUCAUGGGAGGCAUGGGUGCACCUCCGGCCAUGGGUGGAAUGUCUUUCGAUGUGCCUCACACACAUACCCAUGAAAAUGCCGUUGAAGAUCUUGCCAAGACCGUCGGAGCUACACGUGAUGCGGUGCAUGAUGAGGUUAGGGAAGAAGAUUCAUCUUCGAAGGCGAAAGAAUCGUCUUCGGAAGAAGAGGAAGACGACGAGGAAGAUGAUUGAUGUGUUAUAUGUCUUCAACUUUGUUGGAUGAACUUGUAUUUUGAACUUGGUUGGAUGAAUUUGUGGCCAUGACUUUUAUUCAUCAACUUGUUUGUGUUAAAUUUCACAUGUUCAUUGCAUUUUGAUGAAUGUUUCAAACUAUUUUUUGUCCAAAUGCCAUAUAUUUAGGCGCUGCUACAGCGACGCGCGCUGCAUUUUAGCGCGUUGUUUGAUGUUUGAGGAGUGGUUUGAUGGUCAUGGAGCUUAGAGAUGUGCUUAAGAAGAAGGCAACGGUUUAUAUGCUUGAGAGAGAGGAAACCAACCCCCCUUGGUGAAGGGCGCACAAACAAUAUCCCAAGCAAUUGUGCAAUUUCCGCCCGCAACUGUAUCUUGACCUGUCCAAAAGAAGGCUCUACAACGUUUUUCUAUUUCCUGCAAGGUUCCGGCGGGUAGGAGCAGGACACUCAUAGCAUAGAUGGGGAGGGCGCGAAGGACGGAGCGAACCAAGAUUGCCCUGCCUGCCAGACUUAGCAUAAGGCCACCCCAACCAGCCAAACGCAUGUCUACCUUGUCGAUGAUGAAAAAGAAGUCGGUCAGGUGAAGUUUAUGAGUCAAAAGAGGAAUCCCUAUGUAAUAUUGAGGAAAGAAAGCAACCGGGCAUCCAAGGAUAGCCGCCAGGUGCGUAGUGGUCUGUGGGUCUGCAUGAAUAGGCGUGAAUGUGCUCUUGUGGAAAUGUUUCUUACUACUAUUAAAGAAUCCCGUGAUAUUUAUUGCACCCUAAUACUAAUAUGACAUUCAAUGUGGACGAUAUUUGGUGCGAAUGAACCGAUCGAAUUUUUGUUUAAAAAAACCAUCCAUCAAAUGUUAUUGCUAGAAAGGAUUACCUGCGAUACAGAUUGACAAAAAAGACCCCUAAAUUUUAACGACAGGCGCCAGGUGAUGCGUGUCACCUGCUGCCAUGACUUCAGGCGGACGCCCGACAGCCACAGGAUUGUGGGCCCUACCACCACUGACCAGGGCGGCAGCCCUGUGCACCGCGCGCUGACCAUUACGGCCAAGAUAAUGUGGAAGGCUGGGGGACUGAAGCUUGUAAUCACGCAGCGGUCUCUCGAUCAAUUUUUCUCUUUUUUUUUAAUCUUUGCAGCUGCAGAUUAAGGACCGGUAUGCAUGCAGGAAAAGACGGGUAUAUGUGUCAGUUAUGUCGUGUGUUGUGCCGCGCGCUAAUGGAGAAAAAGAAAAGCCGACUUUGAUUCAUUCGCCGGGUGCGAUUAGAUAUGCUGAUUAGGACGUAGUGAUUGAUGGUUAUGAUUCGUCUUAAAAGCAUAGUGCGUGAGAGAGCGAGAGAGCAUGCAGAGUGUGUCAGAUAGAGCAACAGCAACAGCGUGCGGUGCACAGGGCUGGCGCCCUCGUCAGUGGCCGCAGGGACCGCGAGAUCCCGGGCGGCCGCCUGAAGGCGUGGCGGCGGGUGUCGGCCGCCUACUCCCGUGACGGCAGGUGACACGUGUUACCGGACGCGCCUGCCGUCAAAAUUCAGGGGGUCUUUUUGCCAAUCUAUAACGCACGUAGUUCUUUCUAGCAAUUUCAUUCGAUGGAUGGUCCGUUUGGACAAAAAUUUGAACCGUUUUAUAAGGGGGUCCAUCGAAUGAUUUUUUUUUGCCAGGAGACUCCUCUCCUAAACAUGACCUAGGCCGCCCGACAAUCAUAUUUAAUGGGCCUCCCCACUACCAACCGCCAUUUUUAUGCAAAAACGAAACAGAAAAAUAGUUUUCUGCUGACUACUAUCAAGCCUUGAAACUAGGAUUAUAACCUGACAUUGAAUAGGAAAAACGAACAAUUGCAAUGACAUGUUUAAUAAACUACAUCAUGUUCCAAAAUGGGUUAAACUUUCAAGCUUAGCAAUUAUGUUUUUAGCCAUGUCGAUACGAGUAAACCAUGCCACGUAUGAAACUAAAAACUAGACAAUGCCAUGUGCGUUGCUAUGGUAACUUUGUUAAAAAUACAUAAAUAGUUGCUAAAAAUAAUUAUAUCUACUGGAAAAAAUAUACAGUAAAAAUUGUUAUUCCUAAAAAUAGACUGAUGCAAAAAUAGUUGUAAUUUCUGAGUUAGAUGCAUCGCAAACUUAACGCAUGGCUUGUAAGAAUUAAUCUAGCUGUAGUAUUAGGUUAGUCACGUAUUAGUCUAGAGUCCUGAUACUAGUCAGUUUCGUUCUCAUGUAGUAAACCGGACAAGUGUUGUACGAGUCCGGAUCUACGUCGUAUUGAUGGCCAAGCCGGCUAUGUGUUGGAAGCAACAACGUCUGUAUCCCUACUAUAUAUACGCAAGAAGAAAAAGAGAAAAGUAGCAAGUUUAGACGCAUCGAAUAAAACCAGUUUCGCUCCUGAUUGAUCCGUUCGCCGAGCAAGUUUCGAUCAGACAAUAGCUCACGUACGUACGUACGCAAUACACAGACCACAGCGACCCACGUACUAGACUCACAAGAAUCGAUCAAGCUGCCUGCUUGGUUGCUUAUUCGGCCAGCUACGUGUGUCUUGCUAAUGUGAUCUGUUCCAAGCGUUCCAAAACCAACAAUUGGUAUCUAGAGCCUCGACGAUCUACGAUCUACGAUGACGGACAGCGACGCUGAGUCGGUCGAGUCCGGCAGCGGCGGUGCCAAGGCGAACAAGAACGGCGACAAGGUGAAGAAGGGCGUCAAGUCAGCAACCAGUGGUGGAGGAACGAGCGGCGCCAACGUCCAGGCGCAUCGCAACAUCCCCAUCCAGUACCCGAUGCUCACCGACGCCAACUACGGCGUGUGGGCGGUGAAGAUGAAGAUUAUUCUCCGAACCCUCCGAGUGUGGCAGGCAAUCACGGACGACGACGUCGAUGACGAGUCCGACGAAGGUGCCAUGGCCGCCAUAGCCCAGUCCGUGCCGGAUUCCGUGCUAAUGACAUUGGUGGAGUUCGAGACGGCAAGAGAGGCAUGGAACACACUCAAGGAGAUGAGGAUUGGAGAAGAUCGCGUCACCAAGGCUCGGGCACAAGUGCUGAAGCGCCAAUUUCACAAGUUGCAAAUGGAGGAAACUGAAUCGGUGAACGACUAUGCCAUGCGUCUUACUACUUUGGUGGGAGAGAUCCGCGCGCUUGGUGCAAAGCUCGAGGAGACCGAGAUCGUGGAGAAGUUUUUCAGUUCAGUUACUGAUAAAUUCACGUACAUCAUCGGCAUGCUCGAGCAGCUUUACGACAUCGACGACAUGACCAUAACGGAGGCGAUCGGACGCUUGCGGACAUGGGAAGAGAAUGCUCGUGGCUGUCGGAAAGGCAAAGGAGGAGGUAGCGACCAACUCAUGUACUCGCGCGCAGAUUGGGAGGCCCCAAGUAGCAAAGGAAGGCGUGAUGGUGGCGAAGGCUCAAGCAACGCGAAGCGCGACGGACAAACCGGAAAAGGCAAAGGAAAAGGCAAGCCACAAGGUCGUGGUAAGGCGGACCAAUCUAAAGGGCGGAAGCCACGGAACUUGGAUUUAUCCGAGGUUAAGUGCUAUAACUGCAACGAGAUGGGUCACUUUGCGAAGGAUUGUCCGAAGCCUAACAAGCGGGAGAUCAAGGCAAAUUUGGCAAAGCAGGAAGACGAAGGUCCAGGUCUUCUGAUGGCCGAAGUUUGUGAUCUCGCUGAAACGGUGGUUGUGAAACCAAGCCGGAAGGUGCUACUUCAUGAGGAAAAAAUGACAUCAAAGUUAUCCGGUGAUCAGAACAUGUCGUGGUAUCUCGACACGGGUGCCAGUAACCACAUGACGGGGUGCAAGGAGAAAUUCCUCGAGCUGGAAUACGAUGUUGAAGGCUCGGUCAAGUUCGGUGAUGGUUCAGCUGUGGAGAUUUGCGGGCAAGGAUCUGUCCUCUUUGAGGGUCUCACAGGCGAACAUCGCAUACUCACCGGAGUGUACAACAUCCCACGGUUGCGCAACAACAUCAUCUCUAUUGGGAAGCUUGACGAGAAUGGAUGCAAGGUGAAUAUCGAGAGCGGAGUGAUGACGAUCUUCGACAACCUCCGAAACGUGCUAGCUCGUGUUAAUCGCACACGGAAUAGGCUCUAUAUCCUCAACCUUGAUCAAUCUCAACCGGAGUGUUGGCUUGCCAAGAGUGAUGAUGAUUCGUGGUUAUGGCAUGCUAGAUUUGGACACGUUAACUUCUACGCCUUGAAGAAGAUGUCAAAGAUGGAGAUGGUAUCCGGGAUGCCAGUUAUCGACCAUGUUGAUCGAGUAUGUGACGGGUGCUUGGUUGGAAAACAGCACCGCAGGCAAUUCCCUGCUCAGUCUACCUAUCGUGCAAGUGAUGCACUCGAGCUGCUCCAUGGUGAUAUAUGUGGCCCUAUCACCCAGGCAACUCACGCUGGAAAGAAGUAUUUCUUCCUUGUGGUAGACGACUACUCGAGAUAUAUGUGGGUCAUUCUCCUACGAUCUAAAGAUGAGGCGUUUGAAGCAUUCAAGAAGUUGAAGGCUGCAACAGAGAUGGAACACAAGCUGAAGGUUCGCGCUCUACGGACAGAUCGCGGCGGAGAGUUUACGUCGAAUGAGUUCAACGACUACUGCGAGAAGAUUGGCAUAAAGAGGUUCCUCACGGCACCUUACACGCCGCAGCAGAAUGGGGUCGUUGAAAGGCGCAAUCGAACCGUCGUUGCAUGGCAAGGAGUUUACUCAAGAGCAAGAACCUGCCGGGGACUUUUUGGGGAGAAGCUGUCUCGACGGCGGUCUAUCUUCUCAACCGGGCUCCAACGAAGGCGGUGAUCGGCAAGACUCCGUAUGAAGCAAUUUACGGACGUAAGCCGAAUGUGUCUCAUCUACGGACAUUCGGGUGCGUGGCACAUGUGAAGACGGCGGAGCCGCACCUCUCAAAGCUUGCCGAUCGUAGCACCAAGAUGGUGUUCAUCGGAUACGAGAGCAGUUCUGGCACCAAGGCAUACCGUUUCUACGAUCCACAAACCAAGCGUCUUUCACGCGACGUCGUGUUUGAAGAAAACCAAGCGUGGAAUUGGAGCGCCGCAGCCGACGAUGCUCCAAACAGUAACAUAUUUGCAGUUGAAUUUCCAACUGAUGAUGAUGCAGGGGAGGAUGUCCAGGUGGUUGGCAAGACGCCCAACCAAGGUGACCACAAUGGUAGUGAUCAUCAUGGUGCCGACACCGACGACGACGCGCAUAGGUCGCAAGGAGAUAGCGACAACGCCGCGCAUGACACAGGCGGAGAUCUCGACGACAACAUCGACAACGAGGCGCAUAGUGACGACGACAAUCAAGAUGAUGGUCACGGUCACGACGACUACGCCGACGACACGGAUGUCGAUGACACACCAGGGUCUCAGCCGUCUUCCUCAAGUGCAUCCACACCGACACAAUUUGUGUCGCCUCCUUCGCAAGCCACAACGGAUUCCUCAGGGCCUCGUCGCUACAAGACCCUCAAGAAAGUCUACAAGUACACAAAGCCAGUUACACUCGAGUACUCCGGACUAUGUCUGUUCGGAGUUGAGGAGCCGACGAACUUCGUAGAGGCGAGCAAAAGUCCAAGCUGGACGCACGCCAUGGAUGAGGAGAUGAAGGCAAUUGAGAGCAAUGGCACGUGGACUUUGGUAACCCGACCUCCAAACCAAAAGACGAUAGGUUUGAAGUGGGUUUACAAGUUAAAGAAGGACACGGAGGGUGCCAUUGUGAAGUACAAGGCAAGACUCGUUGCAAAGGGCUACGUUCAACGUCAAGGAGUUGACUAUGAUGAGGUGUUUGCACUGGUUGCUCGAAUCGAGACGGUGAGAGUGCUCCUAGCUUUGGCAGCACAAGAGGAUUGGAAGGUUCAUCAUAUGGAUGUUAAAUCCUCUUUCCUCAACGGCGAUCUCACAGAAGAAGUGUAUGUGGAACAACCCCUCGGCUACGAGAAGAAAGACGAAGAAGGGAAAGUUUACAAGCUCAAGAAGGCACUUUAUGGGUUGAAGCAAGCGCCAAGAGCUUGGAACUCAAAGUUAGACCAAAGUCUGGUCUCGCUCGGGUUCAAGAGAUAUCCCCUCGAGCACGCAGUCUAUACAAAGAACUCCAAAGGCUCAAACCUGCUAGUUGGAGUUUAUGUCGACGAUCUGAUUAUCACCGGAGAUAGCGUACAAGAAAUUGAACGUUUCAAGGCGCAAAUGAAGAAUAAGUUUAGCAUGAGUGAUCUGGGAUUACUCAGCUAUUACUUGGGCAUCGAAGUGAAGCAAAGCUUCGAGAGAUUUCCCUAUGUCAAUCGGCCUACGCGAUUACUAUGUUAUUGGAAAAGUGUGGCAUGUCAGAUUGCUACGCGACACAAGUUCCAAUGGACCAACGUCACAAGUUGAGCAAGCGUAGCUCAAAUCCGACGGUGGACACCACAGUGUAUCGAAGCAUUGUGGGCAGCCUAAGAUAUUUGGUGCAUACCCGACCUGACUUGGCGUAUUCAGUUGGGAUCGUGAGUCGUUUCAUGAAGAAUCCGACAACCGAACACAUGGGCGCGGUCAAUCAAAUUCUACGCUAUGUGAAAGGCACCAUUAAUCUUGGUUGCACGUACAAAAAGGGAAAGGAAGGAUUGAUCCUUCGUGGAUAUUCAGAUAGUGACAUGGCAGGUGAUGUUGAUGACCGAAAAAGCACUACGGGCAUGGUUUUCUACCUUGGCCCGAAUCCGAUUAGCUGGAACUCUCAGAAGCAAAAGGUGGUGGCAUUGUCUUCAUGCGAGGCAAAAUACAUAGGUGAUCUGUUCCAAGCGUUCCAAAACCAACAUGGCUUAGUGUGAGGGAAUAUUUAAAUGCAUUGCUUAGUGGGGGUGUUGAGGUGUACACUUUGCAUGUGGAGAAAAUUGGGAUGAAUUUAAAAAAAAAAGAAUAUACAUAGGAUUCCAGAACUUAAAAACACAUAGAAGCUUAGCAAACUGUGUCUCAACCUAAAGUUAUCUUUGUUUAAAAUAAUGAGAAGAUGGCAAAAGGCACAAAUGCAAAGAACAAUUGUGAAAAAGCAUAAUGAUUUUUUUGCCUUGAGAUGUUUAAGCAAAAUGUCAUGGUAUAAAAAAUUUAUACCAGACUUUAUUCAAGAAAAAUUUUAUAUUUAAAAAAAUUCUGUUCAAAACAGAAUUUAUGAUGGAGUAUGUGAUAAUUUUUUUCAUGAUGUGUACAAAAUAAAUUUUCCAUGGUCCAAACAAUAAGUUUGUCAUUGUUAAAGUAAUAAAUUACUCAAUGUUCCAAAAAAUAUAGAUUUUCCAUGGUCCAAACAAUUAAAUUUCCAUGGUUGAAAAAUAAAUCACCGAUGGAGCAAACAAUUAAUUUGCCAUGGUCCAGGUAAUUUUGCCAUGGUCCAAGUAAUUUGGCCCUGGUCUGAAGGGUCAGUUUACCUUGGUAUGGAAAAUAACUUUGUUACGGUUAGAAAGUAAAUUUAGCAUGGUCCAACUUGCAAAAUUAUCAUGGUCCAAACAAUAACUUUGCCAUUUUGAAAAAAUAAAUCUACCAUAGUGCACAUAGUUAAUUUUCCAUCUUCCAUAAAGAAUUUACCAUGUUCGAAAAAUUACUGACCAUGGUCCAACAAAAUAAGGUUGCCAUGGUACAAAUAUAAAUCAUGACAUGGUCAAGAAAAUAACACUGACAUCGUACGAAAAAAUAUCCAGCAUAGUCCAAAUAAUUUUUUUCCCUUGAUCGUUAAGUUAGCUUUUCAUGGGCCAAAAAUAAAUUUACCAUGAUCCAAAAAAAGUUAAGGCAAAAUACAGUUGUAGAUCAUGGUGAAUGUUGAGUAAAAAGUACUCCCUAAUAUAUGAGCGUUUAGUUAUCUAAUCAUUCUUAUAUUAGUUUACACAGGGAGUACAUAUAUAGGGGCAAGUAUACAUAUCAUGGAAUGCAAAUGGUGCAUUUUCCUAGGUUUGAUUGAAUACCAUGAUAUUGUCGGGGGGUGGGGGGACAAAUUUGCGCAUGGUUCAUCAAGACAAUUUGCCAUGGUUCAUAAAGUAAGGUUGCCAUGGUCAGUACAGUCCAUUUUCCAUGGACAAUAUACGAAAAUUGUCAUGGAACCUAUACUAAAUUUCAGUGUGCAUGAAAUGAUUUUUUUAGUGAAGGUGCAAAAAAUGUAAAAUUGCCAUGUGAGAAAGUACAAAACAUUUGAUAUGAUGGCAAAAAAAAGAUUUUAUUUCUUUGAAAAAAUCUGGAAAUUUUUGGAAGUUUCCAUGCGCGCAUAAAAAAAUACAAGAAUAUUGUUCUAGAAAACAUAAGGCAAAUUUAUGAAUUUUCCAAAAGGGAGAAAAGAAGAAAAUCACUAUGUUCACUAAUUUCCAUGUUAUGUACAAUAAAAAUUCAAUAGUAAAGAUAAGUUGUCACUGUAUGUCUGUAUCUACAGCAAAAUUGCUAUUGCAAGAAAGGAAAUUGGCCAUGGCUGCAAUCAAUAUAAAAAUGCAUGCAUUUGCCAUGUGAAUAUGGAAAUCAUACUACUUGCCGUGUGAAAUAAAAAUGUCAUUUGACAAGUUUACAAAUUCAAAGAUUUGCCAUGUAUACGUUCCGAAGAUCUGUACAAUUUGCCAUGUUUUGCAAAGCCAGGUGUUAUGAAUUUGUAAUGUGCCAAUAAGAAUUUGCCAUCUUAUGAACAUGCACAUAGAACAUUUUGCCAUUAACCAUGGCAACAUAUAUAAAUCCUAUACAAAAUUAUGGCAAAUUUGACAUAGGAUAAAAAACAUAAAGUACAAUUUGCCAUGACAAAAAACAUCAUGAAUUGCUUCUAUUUCAAUACGUGUGUGGCAAUUUCAUAAUAAUAACCAUGGUAAAUUAGUGGUUACAAGAUCUUGAUAAUUUUCCAUGUCAUCUACUAUGCAUUCGACACUGCACACAUCUACACAAAAUAAAAAAUGCUAAAUGGGAAUUACAUCGUCGUUGUAAACCUACACUUGUAUAUGUAUAGAAGCAAGUGGUAUUCUCGGUCUCGAUCAACUUGUAAAUCAGCCACGAAACUCCACAAUACUGGCGUUGGGAUGAGAUUAGCUCAAGCAUACAGGUAGAAAUGUUAUUCUUACCGGUGCGAGGAUGCUCCUCUGGCGUUGCUUAAUCCACCCGCGACGCUGGCCCGGGAAGAGGAGUGGGCCAGAGAGAUGAAAUUCCCGUUUGCACGGCUGUGUGGGGUGAACAUUUCCACCAGCUGACAUCGCAAACCAGCAUAGCUAGGUUCUCUAAAUAACCGCGUUUCAGCCGACGGACAUCUAAGGUGUUCGCCGCAGAAAGCUAAAAAUCCUACAACAGAUUUUUAGAAUCUGCAGGUAACUAAUUCAUCAAGCGCAUCAUUGCAUAAGAGUAGAUUCAGAGAGUGCACGUACGUGACAAGCAUGGUGUAAUUAUUCUGGACAACUCAGCUACAUAUAUAAAGUUCCAAUUUGCGCCUCUGCAUGAAUAUAGUUCUAAUUUGCACGAGGGCAGACGACAGAGGUUCACGAAACGCACACUCGAUAAGACUAGCUAGCUAACGAAGACUAGCACACCACACUUGUUGAAGCAUCACCCGGAAUUCAACUACCACUCAAAAUGUUUAGGGCUAAAAUCUCAGCCGCCGUCCGGACCAGAAUCACUUGAAGACGGCGGGCGGGCUUGCUGCUGCUGCCGCAAGCCAAAGCUUAUCUCUCGACGGCGACGGAGACGUUGCCGCCUCCGGCGGGGUUGCUGGUGGGCAGCUCNNNNNNNNNNNNNNNNNNNNNNNNNNNNNNNNNNNNNNNNNNNNNNNNNNNNNNNNNNNNNNNNNNNNNNNNNNNNNNNNNNNNNNNNNNNNNNNNNNNNNNNNNNNNNNNNNNNNNNNNNNNNNNNNNNNNNNNGACGCUCUUGUCCUCCUUGGGGGUUCUCUUGUAGUAGCAGAAGUAGAGGAUGAGCUGCGCGAGGCCGAAUACAGUGCCAAGGCCAUUGGGGAUCUGCAUCCAUUGGGGACCGAUGAGACAAGUGUAAAUCUAGCUGGGUAACUGUAUGUAUGUAUGUAAGUAUGUACUGACCGUGACGUAGAGGUCGAACUUGAUGAGCGCGUAGGCCGUCCAGCAGAAGCCGUUGAGGAAGUUGACCAGAGACAGGGUGAAUGGCAUGUACUCCACACUCUUGGUCUUGAUCACUUUACCCUGCAAUAAAAGUAUUAAGUACAAUCUUAUCUUAGUAGUUACAUCUGGUGAUAAAAGCACACGUACUUAGGUAAUCCCAAUUAAUUAACAAGGCUGACUCAUUGAAUUUUUUAUCUAGAUAUGAUGAGUAAAGAAACUCACUGGUUAAUUAACAUCAUAACUCAUAGAUUUGGCAAGAGUGGAGGGUCACAACAAGAAGCAAAAGAGAAACAUGCAUGCACUAUAUGAAUGCAUCCGUCCUCAGGGCAUUGGCACAUACGUUUGUGAUGAAGUGCUGGAUCACAGGUUUUAGUUAGAUCUAUGUAGGGGUUGCGGACCCGUCACCCCAACAGCUAACACGAGAUAUUGGCGGCCGGGUGCAACAGAAAGUUUGGUUGGCUAUAGCUAUACACACGGCAUGCAAGUACAGAUCCACAACGGAAGGACUCGUACGUGUUGCGUUACCUUUGAGGUAUAUAGAAAUACCGUGAGCUUUUGUGACAAAACAUAUGAACACAGAACAACAUCUUGUGAAAUAACUUGUGUGUCUGAAGUAUAUCUACGUGAAUUGAACAGCAUGCAUCUUGUAAAAUAACUUGAGUGUGUGGAGCCGGACCCCUACGUGAAUCUAGAGACACAAAAGACAGAAUAUGUACACAAGGCAACAUCUUGUCUUGUGGAAAUAAAUUGGGUGCGUGAUGUGCAUCUACUAUAUGUCAAGUGAGCAGCAUGCAUCUAGGCACUCAAAUGCACUUGGGCCCAAGAGCUUGGAUCAUGCAGAUUAGCCAUGCAUGUCUUCUAAACAAUGCAUGCAUGCUAUCACACCAUACGUACGACCAGAAGGGCAUAAACACACAACUAACAAAGCUCAAAACAAAUGAAAUGAAACAAAAUAACAGCGCCUCCAGAAGAGAGUGCAUGCACACGUACGAUCUAUGAGGAGGGUGUGUAAGUACGUACCAUGAUGGUGAGCGGGGAGGCGUACAUGAUGGUUCCGAAGAUGACGCAGAGGAUGCCGACGAUCAUGGAUCGCUUCUCGUGGGUGUGGGCGCCGAUGAGCACGCCGAGCACCACGCAGACCAUGAACACCGCCUCGGCGGCGAGCACACCGAGCAUCUUCAGCUGCACGCACGAACGGACGGGCAUGGGUACGGUUAGGGCCAGAUCGAUCUUGUUCUAUCUAGAUGAAAGCCAACGACUGGCAAGGGGGGGUUAGGGAUGUGGCACGUACCCGCUUGUUGUUGGUGGAGUAGAUGAAGAAGAUGAUGAGGUAGGAGCCCUCGACGACGAGCCCGAUCCCGUUGAUGGUGACGACGAGGAUGCUGUUGGGGUGGACGAUGGGAAGGCCGUAGAAGACCCAGAGCAUGCAGUUGAGCAGCGUGGCCAGGUAGGGGUCCGGCUUGAACUCCUCCACGUCCUUGGCCUUGAUGAUCCGCCAGAAGGUCUGGCUGCAACACCAGUGGCAAGGCAAAGAAAAACAAUCAGGUCACCGACGACCACCUUCCAUGUCUACAGAUCAGACCACACAAGGAGGAGGCGGCUUACACAGGGGAGAGGAAGAGGCCGAAGGAGAUGACAUUGCCGAUGAUGCCGACGACGUUGCGGGCUGCGUCGGCGGAAACCAUCUUGGUCCGGUCGCCGGGAUGGAGGAGCUCACGCGCUUGAGGAAGGAGGAAGGAGGAAGGGUUGGUUGUGACUUGUGAUGAGUUGGGGGGCGAAUGGGCGAUCGGGGGAGCGUACGUAUAUAGGCGCGGCGGCUUGGCCUUCCCCAAGUUAUCGUUAGGGUUUAGUAGGCGGGUUGGAACUGAUCUCAGUCAAAACGAACUCACCGGGAGAAAAGGGCGGGAGGGAUAAGCAUCAGCUGCUCGAUCCAUCGUACGUUGCCCUCAUAGUCAUCUCAUCGGUGGCAGCCAACGUACAGAGAUUGAUCCGGUCAAAUAAUGCUCCCGAUCCAUCGAUCGAGCUAAUAACGUCCCGUAUAUCAAGGAGGUGCGUGCUCACCUUAACACGUGCAUCACAAAUCCACCGUUUUUCUUGCGAGAAUGCAAAUCCACAAUUAGUAUAUGGCUUGUCUGCCAAGGCUUCAGAUUAUGUUUGUUAUAAUAACCUUGUGUAUAAAGCUGGUAUGUGCGUGAAUUUUUGAACCUACACUUGAUGAAGAGAAUCUCGGGUGAUUACAUUUACGUAUAGAAAAAUUAUAAGGCACCCUAAAAAAAACUCGAAGGUAAGAUUUUAAGAAGGUAGACGUAGCCGUUGGAUGGCGCGUGCGACGCCAUCCAAACUUCGCUUGCGUUUGCCACAAUUGUUUGCAGCAAGGACAGUGUUGCCCCUAUGGCUUUCCAACACGAGCUGUGUUGCAAUCUGUUCUGGCCACCCGUCACAAAUAUUGGAGCAUAUACCAUGUUGCAGUCAUCAAUUGCAACAUGGAUCGUAUUGUGGUCAUCUCCAACUUGCAUGAUGUGGUCCUACGGACAUCCCUUGCAUGACGUGGGUCUACGAACAUCCCUUGCGACAUAUACGCCGUUGGGGUCACCCAUUGCAACAUGAACCGUAUUCAGGGGCGGACCCACGUUGGGCUGAGUGGGGGCCCCGGCCCCCAAAUCAUUUUCUACUUUUACUACUAUGAAGCCUAAUAUUUUACUAGUUGGGCUCCCGGUUAGCCAAAUAUUAGUGUGCCCGGUCACUUGGCCCCCGCUGGAUUCUUGGGUUGGGUCCGUCCUUGACCGUAUUGCAGUCAGUGCCUAUGUGGCUUGGGUCCAACUCAUAGCAGAGGUUGCUGACGUCGCUCACAGCAGAGACCCUAUUUGUAGUUAUGCUCAUACAUGCAUGCAAUGUCUCGGAACAUGAGAGUUGUGGGCAACGAGUUGCCGAAGAAUCCCGCUUGCAGAACUGCAUUCCUCCGGGGCCAGCUUCAAAGCAGCAUCCACGGCCGGAUUUCUUAGCCCUGAGCGUCGCUUUGUAGCGCACCAGCGGCACACAGAAGUCGACCCUCGUAGCAUCAGAUAUGUUCUUGUAACACUAGUAGCAGCUAGGGAUGGCACCCGCAGGGUAUGGGUACAGGUGGAGGCUCCCAAUACCCUUACCCGCGCCUUCUGAUAUUACCCAUCACCCUUACCCAUAUCCAUAAACGGGUACAAUUUUUCUCCAUACCCGUUACCCGACAGGGUAGACGGGUACCCAUGAGUAAAAUUACCCAUAUUUGCAAACAUCAAUUUAAACAACUUACAGUUAUAAAAUGCAUUGUAUCAUAUAGUUUACAAAGAUAGAUUGUAACUACAACAUAUACUUAUAAAACAACAUCAUAUAGUCAUAAACAACGACACAUAGGCAUACACUUUCAAUUCAUAAAUUAUUGACAUAGUGUAGAUUGUAGAGAUAAUUUUGAGUUUACAUAGAUUUUAUAUGGGUACAUGGGUAUAUGGGUAUGGGUUAUAUGAUCUCAUACCCGUACCCGCUCUAUCCGAUGGGUUACAUAUUUUUUUAUUUAUAUACUCAUGGGUAUAUUUUUGUCCCAUAUCCUUAUUCUAAUAGGGUUUUUAUCCACAGGGUACGUGGGUAAUGAGUACCAUCCCUAGUAGCAGCUACCAUGGCACCUCCGGUUGCUGCUCUCCCAAGAAGAAAGAGCAGCACCGAUCAUAGAGUAGAUACCGAAUAUGGCAAGUGGAAGGACAUAGUAGCCACAGAAAGAGAGCUGUGAGGGGAAUGUUCAAGGAGAAAAGUUUGGACGAUAUGGAUCAGGAGGAAAAGGAUAAGGGGUUGGGAAGAGAACGGCCCCAACGUGUGUGGAAGCCUCUCGAGGCGGCCCAAGAAAUGUGCCUAUCAACCAGUUGAGGGGAAGCUUUUCCUAGGGAAAACACGUCAAGGGAUAACAAGGAGACGAUGGCUGCUCUACACAUAGUUUUUUUAGUUGAGGAGCUCCCGUCCCCGAUUUGAUUUCGUUGUAAUGAAACUGAUAACACAUUAAACUCCAACCUGUAUUCAACGCGACGCUCACCAAAUCAAAAGGAGUCAUACUUCAGACCAAACUACCAAGAGAAAAGGUUGAUCAACUAUGACCCUCUCAUCAACACAUUCUAGUUAUUACGAACUAAACUAAAUAGGCUGAUAGCACCUUAAACUAUCAUGCAACAAGCAUUCUUCAUGUUGGGGCCUUCCGAUAUCAUCACCACACUCCAAUCCCGCAAGCUGUAGGAGCCCAACCCAAAAUUGCAUGAAAGAACUCCACAUCCACCUUAGCGAUCUGAGACGCCACAAUUUCAAGUAUCUAGUGCCUUUGUUUUUCUAUAAAUCGGACCAAUACGACAACCAGUUAGAAAUUUGUUAAACAAUCAAAUUAAGAUCAGUCGGGUAAUGUAUUGAUGCAACAAUUUUGGUUUUCCACAAAGUCAAGAGCAACACUGCUACACCCACAGCCACCAAAUUAUUUAUAUUUCUAGGAAAGCUAUCGAUGGAACUACUAAAAUCUUCUACCGUAAUAUGAAAACCAUUUAAAUCUGUCACAUUUAUACAGAAAAUUUACAGUGCGUAUAGGUAGGUCGCCUAAUAAUUUUAAGCAUCUGCUUCGAAUGGUGGUGCCUUGUUGGUUCCCAUCGAAUGAAAUCGAAGUACUAAGCCUCUCAUUUAGAAAAUAAUCCUAUUGAAUACUAGUGUAUACAUACCAGUAUUAAUCAAAUAUUUUAUUUGUCACAUGGUCAAUUCAAUAAAACUAGCAAAAGGGCACGUGCGUUGCAAUGGGGGAAGACCAAAAAAUCAUAAUCUUCAAUUCCCAUGACCACAUUUGGCUACAUCACCAAGAUACACUAUCACUCUCAAUUUCGUGAAAUCAUGAACAAUUUUUCAAAAUCAUAAAAAAAAUAAACUCAUGCAUAUAUUUGAAAUCAUGAACAUUUUUCAAAUCCAUACACUUAUACAUAUUUUAGGACAUUUUAUAAAUGAAGCACAUUUUUUAAUUCAAUAAUAUUUGAUACUAUUUAGAAACAUUUUUUCAAAUUAUGAACAUAUUUUUUAAAAACAAUAUAGAAUAGGUGAACAUUUUUAGAAUCGAUGAAUAUUUUUUAGGAAAAUAGUGGAAAAAAUUUAGAAAUUCAUGAACAUUUUUUCAUUUGCCAAAUUGUUUUGGAAAUGCAUGAUCAUUGUUUGAAUCAGCAAACAUUUUAUGUACGAAUAAACUAUUUUUUGACUCACAAACAAUUUUUGAAUUUUUAGGAUGUUUUUUCCAUUCAUGAAAUUUUUUAGGAUGGAACUUUUUUGUUGAAGUUCAUUAACAUUUUUUAAUACAAGAACUUUUUAGGAAAUCAUGAACAUUUAUUUUUAUUUUCCGAACAUUUGUAUUCAAUAUUUCAACAUUCUUUGAUGAAGCAAACAUUUUUUUUACAAAAUCAUGUAAAAAAUUCAAUAAACAAUCAAUUUUGUGAUUUAUUAAAAAGUUUAUUUGAAAAUUCUCAUUUUAUUUAUAUUCAGAAAUUUUUUGAAGUACUACAUUGUCAAAAGUAGAAAAAAGGAAAACAAAACAAAUAGAUAACAAACGGCCCGAACAUGGGCCGGCCGAAUGUCUUCCCAGUAUGCAGACCGCAUAAUAGGAGGUCUCUGCUGCAUGGGCUGUCCACACAUCUUCCAGCAUGCAGAGCGUAAUAUAGGAGGUCCCUAAUGGCUGGGCUGGCCCAGACGGGGGAUUCCCCUAUAUGAUACAUUUUCUAUUACUUAUAGAAGGCGUUGAUGGGUAAUAUUUUACAAUAUUGAGUGCAGUUUUUGUGAUAUAAUGCCCCCUUAUUAUUGUAAUAUUUUACAAUAUNNNNNNNNNNNNNNNNNNNNNNNNNNNNNNNNNNNNNNNNNNNNNNNNNNNNNNNNNNNNNNNNNNNNNNNNNNNNNNNNNNNNNNNNNNNNNNNNNNNNNNNNNNNNNNNNNNNNNNNNNNNNNNNNNNNNNNNNUAUUUUACAAUAUUGAGGGCAGUUCUUGUGCAUCGCAACGGGUAAAAUAUGUGUCCAUCAAAACACUCAUCAAUAGCAUGGAAGUAUCUCAGAGGCAGGGAGGCGUAUGCCGAGGUGUAGAAGAAAUGCAUAUUAUGUUCUAAUCUCCAUUAACUAUGGUGAAUAAAUGUCAUGACCACUGAAUGAGUAGGAAUUUUAUGUUGUCUACUUUUUUAACCCCUGCAUGAAAAAUUUAAUGCAUCUUAUAAUCUAAACAUAUGAGGAAAAAAAAUAGAACUUACAGACAAAAAAGAUAAUUAGAUAGAUCUAACAAACCGAACGAGGAAGUAGUAUGUAGUAUUACACCCCACACUUGGGAAUGCAUUCUGAAUCGUUGGUGCUAAGAAGCACUGCCCCGCUUGAAAGUUUAUCCAUACGGAGAGCUAAGUUGUAGUGCUCGGGCACCUUGGUGCUCUUUUUCUAAAAAAAAUGAAAAACAUAUUUAAAAGUUAAAAAAUAAAUAAAUAAACNNNNNNNNNNNNNNNNNNNNNNNNNNNNNNNNNNNNNNNNNNNNNNNNNNNNNNNNNNNNNNNNNNNNNNNNNNNNNNNNNNNNNNNNNNNNNNNNNNNNNNNNNNNNNNNNNNNNNNNNNNNNNNNNNNNNNNNAAAAUAAAUAAAUAAACAAUAUGUGGAAGCUUCUAUCUAUUCAUUACAAAUCAGUGAAAUUUAGUUUUAAAAAAAGUAAUUUGUAAGCUUACAAAAAUAACAGAAAACGUUACACAUUUAAAAAUACAUAUUUGUCAUUUUUUUGCAUGCCAUGUGUGAAAGUAAAAUGAUAUGAAAUUUUACAGAUACAUAAUAUACAUGUGUGUGUGUUUACAAAAAGUUUUAGUUUUUUUACGUUGCAGAAAAAUGAUUUUUGAAAACGAACACCGUGAUGCCGGUGCACCGUUGCUAAUUUUCGAUCCAUAGGCCCCUUCCCUCCAGGGACGAUUCUANNNNNNNNNNNNNNNNNNNNNNNNNNNNNNNNNNNNNNNNNNNNNNNNNNNNNNNNNNNNNNNNNNNNNNNNNNNNNNNNNNNNNNNNNNNNNNNNNNNNNNNNNNNNNNNNNNNNNNNNNNNNNNNNNNNNNNNNNNNNNNNNNNNNNNNNNNNNNNNNNNNNNGGGGGGGGGGGGAGGGGGGCUAGACCCCCCCUAACAAAUUGAUUUUUCUACUAUAAUAGUGAUUGUUGUAGCCGAAAAUUUUCAUUUUCUAUAAACUUUGCCCCCUUCAUAUACAAACUUGCCCCCCCUAUGCUUGCAUGUUGGCUUUGUCCCUGCUUCCCUCCCUCCCUCCACUGCUAGCAUUUCAUCUCUCAUGUCCUCAUUUGACCAUAUUAAAUCAGAUUGACAGAAACUACAUUUAUGUCCCUCCUCUUAUCUUCUGCUCGGUCGAUCGGAGUAGAAGGGAAGAGUGUUGUCUAAAUCUCUUUUCUAGCUUUGUAUUUCUGAGAGUAAUAUUUUGACUCAUAGGUGUAGAUAUAUCUAUUAUGAUAUANNNNNNNNNNNNNNNNNNNNNNNNNNNNNNNNNNNNNNNNNNNNNNNNNNNNNNNNNNNNNNNNNNNNNNNNNNNNNNNNNNNNNNNNNNNNNNNNNNNNCUCGUGGCGGUCAUGGAGGAGCUGGUCGCGAGGAGGAAGCUGGUGAGAUGCAUCGGGAAUCUUGACGUGGCCGAGCUCGGGCUGCUCCUCGACUUCCUGCAUCGCAACACGACCCUGCCGAGGUAUGCAAGGCUGUUGCUUGGGGUGGCGAACAAGGUCCUGGAGAUGCGUGCUGAGGAUAUCAUAAGCGAGGAUGGGGGAAAGCUGAGGGGGUGCGUCAGGAACCUUAAGCGGAUGGUCAUGGAGGAGAUUCAGAUACAGCACACCCUGCAGGAGAUCCAGGGGAUGAUAUCUCCCAUGCUUGCGCUUUCUGCGAGCAGAUAAAAGAGAAUUUUGUUACCUGUUUGGGUUGCCAUAAGUGCUCGUGUAUGUUCAUUUAUGCUUCAUAGACCAUGCUUGCUUGUUGGUGAAAUUUUGGCUUGUUUCUACUGAGUGAGAUCCUAGUGCCUAGAGACUUUUGUUCAGAUUGUUCUUCUAAUAUGUGCCCCUAUUUUGAUGAUGUUCAGUACCGAUUCAAGUGAUGUGGUUGCUUAUUCCUCAAGCUUCUCUUCCACAAAAAUAUUAUUAAUCAUUCAGUUUCCAAGUUGAGAUCGAUCAUCAUGCCAGAGCUAAAAUGCUCACAUUUAUCUGGAAGGAAUUGAUAGCUUUGCUGUUUCAGAGACUGGAGCUNNNNNNNNNNNNNNNNNNNNNNNNNNNNNNNNNNNNNNNNNNNNNNNNNNNNNNNNNNNNNNNNNNNNNNNNNNNNNNNNNNNNNNNNNNNNNNNNNNNNUGCCAUGUUGAAUUGCGAGAUCAGUAACCAGAAAUUCCUUCUAUGAUUCUAUUGGCUCUCAAUUCAUUCUGUUCUCAGAUAAAUAUUCUUGUUUGAAUAAUAAGUAACUAUUUUGUCCAUCUCUGUUUUACCUACGGGCAUGUCAGUAUAUAUAUUUUCCUACAAGCACGGCGACAUUUUGCCCUGGGCACUGUCAGCUUUGGUCAAUAUCCUGCCGCAGUUUCUCAAUUUAAUUUAUGGACCUGUAUAAACAGUACCACUAUAUAUUAACAUUCAGUAUUCUGUUUACCGUGUAUCUCAGCAGUGUUAUUUAUCAAGCUGUUAAUUUCCCCUAAUACCUCUGCACUAGAUUUUAUGGAGGGAACUGUUCCUGAUUGUGCAAAAAUAGACGUAGGUGCGGAUUUUGAAGAUCUAGCUUGCUUGUGGAUUAGCAACAAAAAAAAUGUUGCUGCUCCAAUGAUGUGGAGUUCUCUGACGAAUUAGGCUACUCUCACCCUGACGCUCUUCUGUGCAACAUGCCACCUCUUAUUUUCUUCAGUUUCUGUUUUUUCAGCUGCCUGUUUGGAACGUCGUUUCCGCUUUGAAUACUCUUGUAAAAAUACAGACCAGCCACCAUCGGUUUUGUUUUCGCCAGCAAAUCACUCUCAGCCAGUAAGUUACACCCGGUAGAAAAAUACACCUGUAUUUAUUUACAUCGAUUCCAAGCACGGCUAGCAGUAUCUGUAGCCUUAUGACGAGGUCUGUUACUAUGUGUUUCGUCUUCAACGAAAAUGGAACAGUUUUCAAAGAUAUUUUCUUGUUUUCAGAUCCUGCAGCUGGAGGCACACCCAACAUCCCGAUUGAGAGUUAACGNNNNNNNNNNNNNNNNNNNNNNNNNNNNNNNNNNNNNNNNNNNNNNNNNNNNNNNNNNNNNNNNNNNNNNNNNNNNNNNNNNNNNNNNNNNNNNNNNNNNGGUAUCCUGGUUAUAACCAUGUUUUUAUUUUCCAAAUGAUAACCCCGACACGUGUGACAUGUUUGCAUUUUAUUCACUGGCGUUGAUCCACAUUGAUUCUAUUUUACACGAAUUCUAAAAAUAUAUAUUCAAAUUUCAGUAUCACGUAGGCAUCAUCGUGUGUAUGGGCGUUAUAGAGUUCACCCAUACAACUCUCAGCGUAUGGUUGCCAGCUGCGUCGUGUGGGCAAACUAGUUUCUUUGACCGAUCUGGCACAUUCGGAAUGAGUUAGUCCACCACAAACCUGCACCUCGAAUUGAUGUUUCCUGUCGCUUUCUAUCUAGCUAAGUUGCCUCGUUGAACUCCAUUGCAGCAAAUUCAAAUGCUGACCACACAAAAGGGAAGUCCCAUGCUCGAGUUUGUUUCCCUCUGGUGGCACCCACAUGUGAUAGGUGGCGUCAAGAACACGGUCCUUGGUCUCCACACCAGCGGCUGGACGGAUGAAGCUCAACAGCCAAAGUGGCAGCAUCAUAUUCAGCUCAUGCAAAUAUCAUUUUUCUUGUGAUGAGAUGCUUGAAACUGAGAUUUUGGGCAUUUGAGAGGGCCUCUUACUCGCUUUGCAAUAGAGCAAUCUACCUAUUGAUGUUGAAUCGGACAGUAUAAAAGAAGUGAAGAUGAUUCAAGGGGGAGAUGAUAAUAGAUCUAAAUAUGUCUUUUUAAUAAAGGAGAUAAAAGAUAGUUUGAUCAAGCGUAAUUCUUGUAUUACUCAUAUUGCCCAUAGCAAAAACAAUGUUAGUCACUUCAUGGCAAGUUUUGGACGAUCACAACGCCAAACUGUUGUGUGGCUUGGUUCGGGUUCGAAUAAACUCCUCGGAAUUGCAAGUCGUGAUUGUAAUUUUUGAGUGUUGAGUAAUACAAGUAUUAUCCCGUAAAAAAACUAGCUUCUGCCCACACAAUCUAGUAAAGUGCCACACGUGCGGAAGUCAAAUAAUCUUUACCUAAUAAUAAAGAGGCUAUUGCUUUCGUCGGAAAACCCACCGUUGUCGUUUUUUUUAAAAAUCCUGUCUUUUAAGUAAUUAAACCCGCAAUACCUUUUUAUGUGUUACGAACAGGAAACCGUUUCAUUUUUGCAGAGAGGCCCCUAUGGCAUUGGAUAGGAGAAACGCAUAUGGGCUGACAGAAAACGCACGAAAGGGCUAUCGCUUCUGCCCUCAUAAUCCCACAUCGAUACUUCAUAGAUAAUUUCAUCACUUUAUAUACAUGCGCCUCGGUGAUUUUACAAGAGGCAACGGAAAUCAACAGAGGAACAAAUUCGAGAAGAAGAAAUUGGGAUGACGCGAACAGAGGUGGAGCCGCGAGACAGAGGGGGCUUGGGGCGAAGGAAAGGGGCUGGCGCCGGCGAUGCAUACGUGGAGGUGGGGGCGUCGGGGUUAGAAGAUUCAGCCAACCGACGGGGUAAGUCUUGCCAGAGACUGGCCCCGUAGGCCGACCUCGCAGCAGCACACCAUGGGAGGUGGUCGCGAGGUGUAGAGAUGGGAGGCGGUGGAGGAGCAGAGGAGGAGGGGAGUGCGGGCGCCAUUGGAAGGGGGAGUCGGGGAGAUUGGGGAUCCUGUGGGGCUCUCUUCCCUAGCGGCGCGAGGUGGAGGAGAGGAGNGGGGGGCUGGGGAUCGGGCUAGGUUAGGGGAUUUAAGAGUGGGUAAGGCUGGGCCUUGGCACGUCUAAUGGGUUGUGCACUACUACUCUUUUUUUUAAUUUCUUUUCUAAAUUCUUUAAUUAAAAAUGUGUGGUAUUAUUUUUUCCCGUUGCAACGCACGGGUUUUUUGCUAGUGUGCACUAAUCGGACGCAAGAGGAGAGGAGGGCGGCGGCAAGGGUUAGAAGAAUCUGGGGUUGCACCGAUCGAACGCAAGAGGAGAGGAUGGCGCGCGGCGGCAAGGGUUAAAAGAUCCUAAAAAUCUGGGGUUACGAGCCGAUCGGGAAGUACGGGACGCAUCGAUCCAACUCCUUUUGGGUUUCGGCCUUUCGGAACGUCUGAACGCAAGCUAAGAUCGAGAAACGACCGGACAAUUUUGUUGGGAUUUUGCCGUUUCCUUCCUAUAAAAUAGAAUCCUAGUCUCCCACGCGAGCCCGUUUCUCUCGCAAAGAAAAAGAGAACGUCCCCGGCCGUGUGGCCGUUCCCAGAUUGAAACUAGAUGUUCACCUCCACCUCCAUGCACCGCUGCUGCCUGCUCGCCCUAGGCGCCAUNNNNNNNNNNNNNNNNNNNNNNNNNNNNNNNNNNNNNNNNNNNNNNNNNNNNNNNNNNNNNNNNNNNNNNNNNNNNNNNNNNNNNNNNNNNNNNNNNNNNAAAUCGGGACUAAAGGGCCUGGCUCCUGGCGCAACCCCUUUAGUCCCGAUUUGUGUCUAGAACCGGGACUACUCGUCCCUGCUGCUCUCACUCCUUUCAUUUUUGGUCGGCCAGCGUGUGGAAGGUGUGUGCUACUCUGUUCUCACCUAUACACAUGAGGUGUUCGAUGAAAUGCCCGAGCCAUACUUAAGUUUUUCCCCUUCAAGCUCCAUUUUCCUCAAGAUUUGUUUAGGUUUGGUGAUGCAUCAACUACACAAUUGUUUUAAAAGGUUAGCCACUUCAUCCUUUCAUCUCUCAUUGCUAGUUUAGCUCAUUUCAAAUGCUUUACAAGUAGAGUGGUUUGUGGGUUUUAGCGUAGGAGUGUAUGUGGGAGUUCUUUUGAUUUAGAUGCACAAUUCUUCUUAGAGUCUGCACAUGUGUAGAGUACCGUCCCGUCCCCGUCCUCACCAUCGUCGAUUUUCCGCGCCGAUCUCAUCGCCGGCACCACCGUGGUGAGCCUCUUGUUCUUAUCUUCUUUUUAAAAAGAAAAAAAAUCUUACUUACAUUAUUUAGAUAGAUACUUGUAUAAAUUUCUUACUUUUAUUAUUGUUUGUUAUUAUAUGGUGCGAUGGUUUUGGUAUCCGUCCACGUCGGCCCUCGUCCGGCCUAUGAUUGAGACGUGGUAUAUUUUCUUGUAUAACUAUUUGUUUCAUUUAGUGUUUAUUAAAAUUAUGCCGAUCAACGUGACAUGGAUGUUUUUAUCUAGGAGGUGUGUAAACCAGAAAUACCAACCGACACUCUUGUCGAGAGGUUAAAUUUAGUUGAAAAAGAAAACAAUUACUUGAAGAAAAAAAUUAAAAAUAAUUGAGGAGAAGAAUAUGGAAUUGGAGUUGCAUGUUGUCGAUGCCGUCGAUGAUCACAAGAUCAAGAUGGAUGCAAUGCGGUUGAAGAUGGAUGCAAUGCGAUUGAAGAUGGAUGCAAUGCACUUGAAGAUUAGGAAUAUUAGAAAAUAUGCAUUAAUAAAGAGGCUUGAUAUCAUUAUGUUGUUGGGUCAAUUGUUACUUUAGUUGCGAUUUUGAUUACAUUUGUUGUUGCAUUUAAAUGUUUUACAUAGUUGUAUGUUGUUUUAUGAGAACUAUAUAUACACUUUAUGUAUUUAUUUUUGCAGUAACAACAUUUGACCACUACUAUACUUUGGUUUUAAUGUGAUGAUGAACUUGUAUUAAUUUGGUCAUUUCUCUAUAUAUGAUGUUCUCGAAUGGUUUUUGAUAUACUUAAUUUCAUAAUACAUAUGAACCGUCAAUGGAUGUACGGUGACCAACACACUUCAGAAUACAUUAUGGGCCUGCGUAAUUUUCUCGGUGUGGUCGAGGCAACCAACCAAGCAAAAUGGUUUUAUGUAGUGCCCAUGUGUUAACUAUGAAAAUACGAAUGAUUACUCUUCCGUGAAAACCCUUCACGUCCACUUGCUUGAGAAGGAUUUCAUGACCCACUAUUAUGUUUGGACAAGCAUGAAGAAAGAGGGGUUAUGAUGGAAGACAAUAAAGAAGAAGAGGAUGAUGACAACUAUCCGGGUCCUAUGUUUCCUGAAUACGGUGAUACUACAAUGGGGGAAGCUGAAGAUCAAGAGACACGAGACGAUGUGCCCGAUGAUGAUCUUCGUCGGAUCAUUGUCGAUGCAUAGAGAGAAUCCGAAAGUGAAAGGGAGAAGUUGAAGUUCGAGUGCAUGUUUGAGGAUCACAAAAAAAAGGUUGUACCCAAAUUGCGAAGAUGACAACACAAAGCUUGGUACCACACUGGAAUUGCUGCAAUGGAAGGUAGAGAAUGGUUUAUCUGACAAGGGAUUUGGGAAGCUACUGAAAAUAAUGAAGACGAAGCUUCCAAAGGAUAAUGAAUUGCCUGACAGUACGUACGAAGCAAAGAAGGUUCUCUGCCCGCUUGGGUUGGAAGUGCAGAAGAUACAUGCAUGCUCUAAUGACUGCAUCCUCUACCGCUGUGAGUACGAGGAUUUGAAUGCAUGCCCGGUAUGUGGUGCAUUGCGGUAUUAGAUCAGACGAGAUGACCCUGGUGAUGUUGAGGGCGAGCGCCCCAGGAAGAGGGUUCCUGCAAAGGUGAUGUGGUAUGCUUUUAUAAUACCACAGUUGAAACGUUUGUUCAGAAACAAAGAGUAUGCCAAGUUGAUGCAAUGACACAAGGAAUACCGUAAGAAAGAUGGAAAGUUGAGAGCACCCGUUGAUGGGUCGCAGUGGAGAAAAAUCGAGAGAAGGUGGGUGGACUUUGUAGGUGACAUAAGGAACAUAUGGUUUGGUUUAAGUGCAGAUGACAUGAAUCCUUUUUGGGAGCUGAGCAGCAACCAUAGCACCUGGCCCGUGACUCUAUGUAUCUAUAACCUUCCUCCUUGGUUGUGCAUGAAGCAGAAGUUCAUUAUGAUGCCAGUGCUCAUCCAAGGCCUACGCAACCCAGCAACGACAUUGAUGUGUACCUAAGACCAUUAGUUGAAGAAAUUUUAUAGUUGUGGAAUGGAAAAUGUGUACGUGUGUGGGAUGAGCACAAACAACAGGAAUUUGACCUACAUGCGUUGCUGUUUGUAACCAUCAAUGAUUGGCCUGCUCUCAAUAACCUUUCAGGACAAAAAAAAGGCAUACCACGCAUGCACACACUGUUUAGAUGACACCGAAAGUAUAUAUUUGGACAAAUGCAGGAAUAAUGUGUACCUGGGACAUCGCUGAUUUUUUCCGACCAACCAUCAAUGUAGAAAGAAAGGCAAUCAUUUCAAAGGUGAGGCAGAUCACCGGAAGAAGCUCGCCCUCCGUACUGGUGAUCACAUACUUGAUAUGGUCAAUGAUUUACAAGUAAUCUUUGGAAAGGGUCCUGGCGGACAAUCUGUUACGAAUGACGUUGAGGGAUGCGCACCCAUGUGGAAGAAGAAAUCUAUAUUUUGGAGCCUACCCUAUUGAAAAGACCUAGAGGUCCGCUUUGCAAUCGACGUGAUGCACGUGAUAAAGAAUGUUUGCGUGAACCUGCUAGGCUUCUUGGGCGUGUAUGGGAAGACAAAAGAUACACCGGAGGAACGAGGGGACCAACAACGUGUGCACGAAAAACACGACAUGCAUUCAAAGCGGUAUGAAGGUCCUGCCAGCUACGCUCUUACAAAAGAAGAGAAGAAAAUCUUCUUUGAAUGCUUGCUCAGUAUGAAGGCCCCGUCUGGCUUCUUGUCCAAUAUAAAGGGGAUAAUAAGUAUGACAGAGAAAAAGUUUCAGAACUUAAAGUCUCAUGACUGCCACAUGAUUAUGACGCAACUACUUCUGGUUGCAUUGAGGGGCUUCUAUCGAAAAAUGUUCGAUUAACCAUUGUGAAGCUACGUGCAUUCCUCAAUGCAAUCUCUCAGAAGGUAAUCAAUACAUAAAUCAUACCUAAUAUAUGUAUAAAACCUAAAAAAAAUAUGAGAUUCUGACAAUACUUUUUAAGAUAAUUUAUACAUUUAAUUAAGGCUGAGCAUCUUUCGGGCAAAACUUAUAAAAUUGUGAUCUUCAAAAUACAAACCUGAGCCUGGCCUAAAGCCUGAACAGUUACACUUUUCUCGAGCCUGAGCCCAGCCGGAAACCAAGCCCAAACUCUAACUUUUAGUACUAAAAACUGAAUUGCCGGCCCGAAAACUUCACCCAAAUGCUGAUUUCAAGUAUUUAAGCCUGAAAGCUUGGCAAAAAGAAGAGAAAAGAAACAGAGGUAUGAGCCCGGCUAGAAUCAUCUUGUAGGCUACAUAAUAAAGCCCAUGCCACACCUCGCGUGAACCAGUUUUGGGGGCCGGGGACGGGAUGCCCAUGCCUAGGUCUACAUGUGACAUUCAAUUUUUCAAUCCAAAUAAUUAAAAUUAAAUUCAUAGUCAGAGUUUUAAAAGUUUGAUUAAAAACAUGUCCAACGCGUCAUGUUACUGUGAUAUGGCGGGAGUUGUACUCUAGAUGAUGGUGCAAAGAAGUAUACACAUGUUUUGCGGUGCACGUUUUCCCUGAUAUGCAAAGGCACAUCCAAAGCGCCGGUUGGUUUUUAUAAGUAAGUGGGGGAAAACAAAGUUGAAAUUAGUUAGUAAUGGAUGUCUACUAGAGCAAUAGAUAUACAAGAGAACCCUGUAAAUUGGUGCUAUAGAUAUACCAUCGAUCCGUUAGGAAAAAUAGAUCACUAUGCUGGAAUUUGGUGCUUACUUGCACAACUUCAAAAAGGGUCAGGUCAUCAUAAUCAUAGUGAACCUUGCCCGGAGCAUCAACAUCGAUGGUAUGGAGGUACUGCCACCUGGGAUUUUUUUUUUGUGUGCUAGAUAUGUUAUACAACGCUACUUAAAAGGGUUAGAUUGUGAAAAUAAACUGAGGUCAUUUUUAGCUGAACUUUCCAAAUUGUAGAAAAAGCAGUCAAUGGGCAAGCAUGAGAAAGGUCACUCACAUUGCCAUGUACUAGUAUACAAUUGUUUUGGAACAAUUGGCCAUUUUUCUUACCGAUUGCCGGGAAGAAGUUGUUUUUAGUCUAGAUUGCCAGGGAUACUUUUUGUGUGUGUGUGGGGUGAUUGCGAGGGAUACAUUUUUGUGUGUGUGUGUGUGGUGAUUACCAGGUGUACGUGGCCUCAGUAACAAAUAGCCUUUUUUGUUUUAGCAAAAGCAACCAAUAGCAAUUUCGCAAAUAAAAAUAAAAAUAGCACAGCACAUUACGCCUUUUACUGGCAAUAUUGGGCUGGCCUUGGAUGGGCCAACAUUACAAUUCGCAACGGCGGCCGGAUGGGCUUUGGGGAGAAGUUUAUAUAGAGUAUAAAAAAACUAGAAAGAAGUCCACGUAACCCCCUCAUGUUUUAGGAAUUGGCUACUUAACCCCCUCAACUUCCAAACCAGAUAUUUACCCCCCUCAUAUUUUAGGAAUCGGCUACUUAACCCCCACAACUCCCAAACCAGAUAUUUAACCCCUUGAUGUUUACAAAACCAGAUGAAUCACCCCACACCCUAUUAUAAGUUGUUUCAUUAAGCGGUUUUGCAACCUGGCAUGAGUCAACGAGCUGAGCUGAACCAUGGCAUCUGGGGUUGGAUCGACGACAAGAAUGUGUGGAAGUUCUCUAGUGUGACUGGCUGACUGCAUCAAGGUCGAUACCAACUCAACGGCCUUGCCGAAACUUGCCGAGCACCACGAGUUCAUGUCUUGGACGACGACAACGGAAAUGCUUGCCAGACCUGGACGCAACAAGCGACGGAGCUCAGAGCGGCCAUGGCACCUCGCCGCCACCCGAGAUAGAUGGCAACGCAAUACCCUUGCCGGAACGUGCCGAGCUCUGCAAGUUCAUGUCUUGGACGACGACAAUAGAAAGGCCUGCACGGGGCAGCUGGACACAGCAAGCGACGGAGCCGGAAGCGACCAUGGCACUACCCAAGGCAGACAAGAAAGCACGCGCGCAUGGGCCAUGCAUGCAUGUGGUGGGUGAUACUCCCUCACUUCCUAAGUAUAAGUCUUUUAAGAAGUUUUACUAUAAGACUACAUACAGAUGUAUAUAAAUAUAGUUUAGAGUGUGUCAUUUUCUUUCGUAUAUAGUCCCAUGUAAAAUCUAUAAAACACUUAUAUUUAGAAACGAAGGGAGUACUAGUCUUCUUCUUCCACUGAUUGUACACCGUUCGCCGGAGGUUGAAAAAAGCACUGAACCAAUAGCAAGGAAAAGUGAUCCUUGUAAACGCCCUUGCUAUACAAGGCUUUGAAGACCGCAAUAGCAACCGGGAUGCAACCCUAUGUAACGUAGUCUGGUCAGGUCUGGAUUCUGGAGGAAGUGCAAGUUGCAACAUCAGAUGACGGUGAUGGUACGGACGGCGAGGUAGCAAAAACCAAAACGACGGCGGCAGCCUAAGCCAGCCACGUGGACAAAAUCACUCUCAAACCCACUUCUAAAUCCCUUAGGCCUUGUUUGGUACUAGGGUUUUUGAGGAGAUUGGUGGGGAUAAUCCUCACAGGGAUUGGGUGAAACCCCAACCUUCACCCCAACCCUUUAAAUCCUCAUUUAUCCCCAAUCCACUAGGUAUGGGUAGUGUAUUGGGUAUUGAAAAAAAAUGCACUAGAAUUUGGGAUUUUUGGGAAAAUGUGAGGAUGAAACAUGUCAAAUACACUAGAACCAAAUGGUUUUAUGGGAUAUGUGGGGAUUUAGAGGUUUGACUAGGAUAAUCCCCACUAAUUUCCUAAAAUACACUACUACCAAACAAGGCCUUAGGGGAUGUUUUGAAUGGUUUUGCCAAGUUUAGGGGGUGAUAUACCUGGUUUUAGGGUUAAGGGGGUUAAGUAGCCGGUUCCUGAAACCCGAGGCGGAGGGAGAUACGUGGACUUAUUUAAAAAAAACUACUCUCCAAAAAAAUAUAAGAAGCCUCGCGAGAGAAAGGUGGAGCGGCAUCGCCGACGACCUCAAUUGGCCCCGAUCGCCCCUAGGAAGAUCGGGAGAUGAUGGAUCCUGCUGAGAUUCCCAAUUGCCGUUUGUGAGGCCAUCCAAUCUCUCUCUCUCUUUUUGCGUGUGUCUGCCAUAGUACAGUAGCAUGUGGCCAUGUGCAUGUUAGUGUACUCCCUCCUUUCCGGUUUAUAGGGCUCAUCUCAAAAUUUUCAGAUUUCCAUUAUAUUAGGCUCAUUUUGAGUCUAAGUGAGUUAAAGUGCUUUGAGUCUCACGCCAUAUUUAAUUCAUAGAGUUUAGAGAAAGGAGAUGUGUGGCUAUGCAUGCAUCGUUUUCUACAUCCACCAUGCAAGUUCAAUGAAAAAAAGGAUGCUACAUUUAUUGCCUUGGAAAUUGAAUAUGUGAGAAAUAUUUCAUUGGCUAGUUUAAACUAGUGUCAUCCACUCACAAUUCACCUUGGUUGAUGAGAUUUCAGAUUUGAGCCCUCUAAACCGGAAAUGAGGGAGUAUCUAGUUGUGCGUUAAUGACUGCACUGAUUGAAGAAACCAUUGGAUUGAUUGCACUUGUUUUUGUGUCUGCUGCUGUUUCAGGUCCAACGGCAAGAGGCUGCAGACCGACCAGUUUCUGCGGUUCUCGGCGAUGACAGGAGGGACUUUUUUUUGGUAAGGGGUGUGUGUUUAAAGGGAUUUUUUGGUGUAGGGAUUAAAAAAAAUUCUUUUUAGUCGCAUCUAAAUCAAACAGGAGGGACUUUUAAGGACUAAAAAGUAGGCAUUUGAAAUUAAAGAAAUAAGUCCUUAAGGGAGAAUCUUUUUUGAAACUUUUUAAGAUUUUUUUUAAUAAUGUCCUUGCUUUUAGCAUGUCAUUUAAUAGCCUCUAGUCCAUUAGUUAAACACCGUUAGCUCGAAACAAAAUUUUGAUCUUUGGACUUGUGCCAUCUCCAAUUGAGUGAGGGACAAAACUAACAGAGGGCUUUUCAACAUGCAUGUAGUGUACAGAAAAUACGGCGAAACACAAUGUCUUUUAUGGGAAUUUUGAUGGCUAUCAGGAGCUGUUGCUUGUUGGAUUACAAGUUGUUGGUGCCUUACUGCACAUCAACAGAAAAUUAAGAACUCUUGUACUGAAGCAGAUACAUAUGUUCUCCUCAAAGCAAAACAUAACCUACCGAAAGAGUAUGUAUAGAAAGGGGCGAACUUCCCCUGCACCAAUCAUCAUAUCAGACAACACCACUGAGCACCAUUUGCACAAGUACCAGCAGCAAUUUCUUACACAAGCAUGGCUCCUAAUAAUAAUUUUGAUAUUUUUGUGUCAGAGGAACAGCUAACAAGGGGCAGCAGCAUGUUUUCUGACUUUUGCAGGGGUACCAAGAAAGAGAGUGACAAGUCAAAUGAGAUUAGGAUGACUAUUUCACUUGUGCUGAAGCUAAUACAUUAUCCUCAAAAGCAAAACAUCUGGCAAAUGAUUUAACUGCAAAGAACUCUUAUGCUGAAGCUCAUAUAUUGCCGGCAAAGGUAGAACAUCGCCUAACAAACGAGUUAUACAGAAAGAAAUAUGCAAAUUAACUUUCCCUGCACACACAUAUUAUCAGAUUGCAAACAACAUUGAGCAUCGCUAGCACCAGCGAUUUGUUACACAAGUAGCUAAUGCAGUAGUGCCUAAGAAUAAUUGGGUCUUUCUGUGUCAAAGGAACAGCUAGUAAGGGGUAAAAGCAUGUUCCCGGAUCUUUGCAAGAGGUGACUAAGAAAGAGCACGAUAAAUCAGCUGAGAUUUAGGACAAUCACUUCUGCUUCUUAGAUUUCUUGGGUGGGUUUUUAGCAAGCGCCUCACCCUCCUCAUCCGAUGGGCCCUCGAUGGAUUCAUCAGGGACAUCGUUUGGGACGUUGUGCUUGGUGAUGUACUCCUUGAGGAUCACCAUGCUCUUCUCCCUCAUCACCGCCAGCUGCUCCGACAGGGUACCGGACUCGGAACUGACAGCGAACUGUUCCCCUCCGAGAACCAGGGUGGCCUUAGCUCUCGGUUCUAGACUUGUCGCAGUAUUCAUCUCCAUCGUCCAGGGAUUAACCUGAGAAUAAACAUGAUAGCAGAAGUAAGGAAAGGCUGACACCGAUUCCACAGUUUCAGUUGUACGGCGUAUUCAGAAAACGUCGAUUCCACAAUCUCAUUAGGAUGGAGGAUUCUGGGAAUGGCAAUCAGAGGCAGUUCUGAAAGUUGUUUUUUUUUCGUUGAAUUAGGAAAUAUAAGAAUUGACUCUGCAGCAAAAGAUCGUUCCCGCCUUCCAGAGACGCAAUCCAAGGAGAAUUGACGAUGAAACAAAUGCUGGAAUGAACGAAGCACUAAUGGGGAUUGGAAUCUGGCUAGGUGCUGAACAUUUCACAUUUGUACCAACGCUGUUACCCCCUACAAAAUGUACUACAACCAAAUCCUUUCUACAAGCGCAAGCGCGCACACACACAUAUGGCGCAGUUUACGAUUACGAAAUUCCUCAGUUCUGCAGACCAAUUUAGACAUGGAUCGAACACACAGAUGAGGGACCCUGCCAGAGAGAUCCUACCUACGGCGCAGGGAUGGCGCAAGCAACGGAUGCAGCAGCAGCGGGAGGAGGAGAGGUUGAUUGAGAUCUUACGCUCGGGCCGUGGAGAGGCGGCGGCGGCGGUGCAGACGGGGAGAGAGCGAGCGGCGGCGCGCACUUCAACGGCGUUAGUUAGGGCAGCGAGAGCUGGACUGCUGGAGGGGUGAGACGAGAGGAGAGGAGCAGCUGGACUGGGCCGAGCCGGAUCUAGUGGGCCGGAAAGCGAAGUAGGCUGGCACAAUCCGUGGACUCACUCUUGACCCCAAAGAAGAAAAAACCAAAAACCCCUUAAAAGGGGCCUGCUACACGUCCGCCAACCGAUAUUGUCAGAAAAUCGUCCGGACCGCGAGCCCUCAGGUUUGGCAUCCAGGGUACCGUCAGUCAUUGCAACACAUGUUUUGUUGCAAAAAAUAAUAAUUCCAACACACAUCUUAUUACAAUUUUUUUACACAAUCCGGUAUUUGACCCAGCCAGGUUUUACACAAUUUAUAGUGCUUCAGUACAGAUCUCUGUAGAAUGGGCACAUCAUCUUCCAUCAUGUUGAUGGCCUGGUAAAUGUGAAAGCACUGCAAUGCGUUCAUCUUCGAUGGUGCUCAAUUAAGGCUAUUUAGCCCCCUUGUAUUAGCGGAGAUAUAGAUAGCCACAACUCUUAUUCAUGGAGGGUCAUUUCUCAACAACGGUAGCAUUAAUAUUUUUAAAUAAUGAUGACGUUAGCUAAAUUCAAACGUCAUAGCUAUUUACUUAGUACUGACAUUGCACAUUAGGCUCAUUAGGCGCACGUCAACAUUAGUCGGUUCUAACAGUCCUUCGGCCCAGUAAAAAAGACUUAUCCUUUUCACUCUCACUCUCGAUCCCCAACACCACCCGUUCUCCUCUUGAUCCCCAACGCCACCCGUUCUCCUCUCGAUCCCCGACGUCGCCUGAUGCGGCACAUCUAUGCCCAAUGCCGCCCGCACACCUCCUCGCCCUCGAACAAUGCCUUUCCCAUGACAAGGUAAGCGUUGGGGAACGUUGCAUGAAAAACAAAAAAAAUUCGAUGCACAUACAAGAUCUAUCCAUGGUGUUGAGCAUCUACGAGAGGAGAGAUCGGAUCCACAUACCCUUGUAGAAGCACUAAUUGCACUAGGCCUAUCUCUACCACUGCUGCGUCGGGAUCCGGUGAGUGACGACUGCGACAAGGUGCAGUGGGCCGAGCCGGAGCUAGUGGGUCGGGAAAGCGAAGUAGGCUGGCGCAAUCCAUGGACUCACUCUUGACCCCAAAGAAUAAAAACCAAAACAUCUUAAGAAAAGCAAGAAAGAUUUUUAUUAAAAAAUGGGAGCUUUAUUGAUUCUUUUUUAGGUAAAAUCUUUAUUGAUUUUUUUAGGUAAAAUCUUAAACUUUUUGUGGUUUUAGUUCAUUUAUUCAUUUUGCUUCUCAAGCUCAAGCAAAAAAAAACUCGACAAUAAUAUAUAGGCUCUGUUUGGAACCACUCAGAUUAUAUAAUCUAGUUUUUGUAAUCUAUUCUGGCUCCAAAUAGGACAGAUUAUCGUGUAGAUUAUAAAAACUAGAUGGAUAGAUUAUUAAAAACUCACAGUCUACUUCACCCCAGCUAAAAUCAGAUUAUGGAUUGCUAAUGACCCAUUACUCUUUAAAGUUGAAGAUAAUUACAUUCCUACCAUCACGACCCUCCUCUUUUAAAAAAACAUAGGACAAACAAGUCAUUAUGCAAUGUAAAACCUGGAUUACAGUUUAUGUAAUCUGGCAUCCAAACAUACUCACCUAGAUUGUUUUUAUAAUUCAGAUUAUAUAAUCUAUCUUCAUAAUCCAGAUUAUCAUAAUCUAUUGUGGUUCCAAACAGGGCAUAGCCCACAAAAGGAACAAAUGCCAUAAUACAUAAACAAAGGCGCCAACCUCUUUAUUCUAUGUGAAUCCGCCCUCUCUUUUUGGUGGAAAGGCCGAUUGUAUUACUGAAAUCUUAGGUAUGUCUCUUGCCAGUAUUACACAAAUCUUAGGACGAAUUACACAAUUCGGUAUUUGACCCAGCCAGGUUUUACACAAUUUAUUGUGCAACCUACUUCAGUCCAGAUCUCUGCCGAAGGGGCACAUCAUCUUCCAUCAUGUUGAUGGUCUAGUAAAUGUGAAACCACUGCAAUGGGUUCAUCUUCGAUGGUGCUCAGUUAAGGCUAUCUAGCCCCCUUGCAUUAGUGGAGAUAUUGAUAGUCACAACUCUGGUUCGUGGCGCGUCAUUUCUCAUCAACACCGACACUAAUAUUUUUAAAUAGUGAUGACAUUAUCUAAAUUCAAACGCCAUAGCUAUUUACUUAGUACUGACAUUGCACAUUAGGCUCAUUAGACGCACGUCAACACUAGUCGGUUUUAAUAGUCCUUCGGCCUAGUAAAAAACUUAUCCUUUUCACUCUCACUCUCGAUCGCCAAUGCCACCCGUCCUCCUCUCGAUCCCCGACGAUGCCCGACGCGGCCCCAACUCUGCCCAACGCCGCCCGCCAUAGGUCACACACCUCUUCGCCCCAGAACAAUGCCUUUCCUAUGAUGAUACUAACAAAGAGACAACUCAUUUAUGACAAUCCCUCAUGAUGUAUAUCACACGUAUCAUCGAUGAGGGCACGCAACGGUGUGCCGGUGUCUGUAAAAACAGCCCAUAAUCAUUCUUUCUUGACACGACCCCGUCUCGAGAGUGAUCACGUCACUCCCGCCAAUAGUAAUGCAGGAUCUUUGCUAGCACCAACCAUAGUAAUUAGCGAAGCCCCGUCCCAUAAGGGGCAUUGUGGUUGUACAUGUAAGGUUGGAGUAACGGUCGCAAUUUAAACUAAUCCAUUUUUGAAACAACACACUCACUUGCCUUGGUACACCAUUUCUUUUUCAAGUGGUUACCUAGUUCAACACCAUCUCCCGCGGGCAUUAGUGACACCCGACGGGGUUUUCAAAAAGUCUUUGAAAACAUUUUCUUUCCGACACCAUCAUAUUUCCAUCCCAUUUGCGUAGCAACUACUCAGCAACGUAUCUACUUCCCACCCACACAACUCUAAGCACAAGUAGAGUUAUGUCAUGCAAGUAUCAAUGCAGAGUUAACGGGGGCAACCCAAAAAGGUGGUCACCAUACUCACCAUGAUUCAAUGCAACAAAGUAACUGCUAUAUGCCAUGCAAAAGGGUUUCAAUCAUGAUCGAGGGCUUGCUUAACUGGCUCAACAAAGUCUUCGGGGUCUUCAAAUUCUUCUGGUCAAACUCCUUCGUCAACAAGGCAAUCUAUCAUCGCAAUUAAAACGGAAAUAAUAAGACCCAACAAAAACAAAGAAAAUAAAGUCUUACUAAAAAUGUCACACCAUUUUUCCAAAAAAGUGAGGUGAAUAUAAGAUUUAUAAAAAUUAUUGGAUUUUGGUUCUGAAGUGUAAAUGGUACCAAAAGGUAUAUUUAGCAAGUUGUUAAAAUAUUUAAAACUAGGUUUUAAUUGCAAACAGUGUAUAAAAAUUUCCUUAAAAAUUCCGCAAGUGGCACCAUUAAAUAGGUGGGGGUUUUAGAAAUUUGUAGGAGUUGGAAUCACUGCAUUUGGACCGAUACUUAGUUCUAGGGAAUUUUUGCAAGUUGCAGAUAAAUAAAUAAAAAAGAAAAAGGGUACUGCAGCUACGGGCAAAAACUGAAGCCAGUCCAGCCGGCCCAGGGGAAAGUGGCCCAGGGUGAAGGGGUGCGCAUGUCAGGUUUUUGUUCGAACCUGCCCAUGGGCUAGGCUUGACAGAGAGAGAGGCGGGAGGGAGUAUGACAGGUGGAUCCCACCUGUCAUCUCCUUCCUCGAGGCAGAGAACAGGGUAGCUGACCGACAUCGCUGCAGUCGACGGCAAGCCGUGCUGAUGACGGAGACGAGUUCCUGGGUGUCCCGUUGCUCGGUCUGAGGUGGAGAGAGGCGCCGGGGUGCAGUGGCUCACCAGCGACGAGCACCUAUAGCGGAGAAGCUUCGGGAGGGAGUCACCGAAGAUGUUCCCUUGCUGGAAAGGACAAGAGAGAGGGGGAACCGCGUUAGGAGGAUGAGAGACGACCACGAGGAGAGAAAAUGGAGCUCGGGGAGCUAGGUUCCUCAUCGCGAGAACGCCGGCGACCAUAGGCGGUGAUCUUCGGCUUGAUCCCGAGCGCCUGAGCUCAAAAGCGAAGGGGAAGUGGUGCGGGAGUGCGACUGGGAGGUAGAGGAGAAGAGUGAAGCACAAAGGGGAGCCAGGGGUGACUUUUAUAGCCCUGGCGCGAGUGCACCGUGGACGAGGCCGCAGAGCUGGCAGCAUGUGCGAAGGGGGCCACGAGAGGUCUUGGCUGUGUGGCCCUGUUUGGAUACUCUAACUUAGCUAGAGGUUAGAGUUAGUUUCUAGCUCAUGACUAACCCUAAACUAACUCUAGUCAAAAAGGUGUUUGGAUGAUAGGGUUAGAUUGACAAUAGUUGUACUUGAUGGAGAGAGAAAAGUGAUUUUUUAAUGGGUUCCUUGAUAACUAGCUCCAAUUAACACCUAUUACCUAGUGGAUAGAGAGAGAAAAGUGACUUUUUUAAUAGGCCUCAUGAAAACUAGCUCCAAUUAGCACCUCUUGGGUGGGCUAGUUUUUUUUGGAUGGGUUAGAUGCAACUAGCUCUAAUCUAACCCUCAUGUUUGGAUACUUUAGAGCUAUUUGAGCCCCAACUAGCUCAAACUAACUCUAGCCUAUGGAUCCAAACAGGGCCUGUGUCGGGGGCGUUCUUGGGAGAGGUCCACGACCAGUGGGAGGAGAGAAGAAGCAGGGCAAGAUCAUAGGCGGGUCCCCUUGCACGCACAAUACUGGCCGGUGCGAGCGGCGUCGACAUGCGUGAUUGGGGUCGUAGGAGAGAGAGGGAGGAGGGGUCCGACCAAGUGCCGUGUCCCGGAUGCCGAGGGCACCUCCAGGGACACGAGUGACAGGCCCGAGACGGUCGGGGCUAGCCAUUGGGCAGCGGCUACAACGCGAGGGCGCACUGUAGCACACUUCAGAGCACCGUUUCGGCAUGACAUGACAUGCCCAUGGUGUCAUGGCCGCGACCACUACGAUCCGGGUGACUAGAGGGAGUAAACAACUAGGGAAAGGCUUUGGAUGCUCCCGGAGCUCACUAGAAUAAGAGGGUGUGGAGAGGAAGGUAAAAACUUGCUGGCCAAGAGUAGAAAUGAGGGUUUUCACCCCCCCGCCAAUCAUAGAUCUGUGGCCAUGCUAGUCUUACUAGAGGCCAAAGGUAACAAUGUGGGGUUGUGGUAAAAGUUUGGAAUGAAGGGGAAUAGUAGAAGUGGUCAAAACUUGACUUUUACCAAACUACCACAAGGUGUUUGAUGCUGUUUUGAGCAACGAAAUUUUCCCACUUACUGUGAGACUUAACAUGACUAAAUGUUGGGUAAAAAUAAGAGGGAUCGCAAAGUUUGAGCUCAUUCAAGCAAACUUGACAAUGUAAACAUGAAAAACCCUAGAAAUGAACAAAAUUGGGUUUUUGUAGAUGUAGCUGGGAAUAUUUAUCCCCAUAAAUGCACAACUUGGCGUAGCAUCCUGGGGUCUAGAUCACUCCUGCAAAGGAUGAGAUUAAUUGGAUAAACUUGGCAAUGUAAAGUUGCUCAAGUAGGUUCUGGAUAGAGAGGGUUUUGGAACAUUUUGGUGAACUAAAACCAUUUAUAUUGAGAUAAAAGUUUGUAGGAUCAUCACAUAAUUCAUGUGUGACUUGAUAGAAUUUUCUUGGAAUUUAUUGAGAAAAUUUCCUAUGGAAAUAUUUCAAAAGCUUGAAAUAGUCAGGAAGGGUUUUGAGGGGUCUUGCCAAAUAUUUUGAACUUGACCAUGUAUUGAAACUCUUAUAUAUGUAAAAUAUAUGUCCAUUGAGUUUCCCUUAAUUUUCUCAAAUAUUUUUGAAGUAAGAAAUUAAUUUUUCCCUAUAAAAGACAAUUUCUGGCCUCAGAAAGAAGUAUUCAAAUAAAAAGGGAAAAUAACUUUUCAAAUAAAUAUUUGGUGGUUUGGUGAAGUCUUAUAUAUGGUAGGUCCCAAAUAAAGUAUUUGGGGCAUAACAACCCACCCAAUUUUGGUUCUUGUAGUACAAACCUCAACUCGGUUUUUUUGAAAGCCUUAAAGUAAAUAAAUGCCAUUUGGUUAAAACAAUAUUUUAUAAAAAUAGUUUCUGGUCCUAUACACAUGACAUGAUCAUUGGGCAAAGGUUUGGGGGUCAAGGAGAUGAGUUCUUGAGAGAAGAAUAAUUUUUUUAUGAUUUAAAACACAAUCAAUCACACAUGCAAGUAGCAACCAGAUCAACCAUCACAAGCACACAAAAAGUUUUAAAUGAUUCUAAAUUUUGUAAAAAUAUAAUAUGGCAAAAUGGUACAAACAGAGGAUGUGAUAACUGUUGGGUUACGUAGCACAAAUUCAAAAUUUUCCUACGCAUGUUCAGAUCUUCCUAUGGAGAGACCAGCAACGAGAGAGGGGUAAGAGCAUCUUCAUACCUUUGAAGAUCGCUAAGUGGAAGCGUUGCUAGAACNNNNNNNNNNNNNNNNNNNNNNNNNNNNNNNNNNNNNNNNNNNNNNNNNNNNNNNNNNNNNNNNNNNNNNNNNNNNNNNNNNNNNNNNNNNNNNNNNNNNUAGAUCGUGGGACUGAUUGCGGGAUUGUUCGCGGGGCGGAUCGAGGGACGUGAGGACGUUCCACUACAUCAACCGCGAUCUCUAAUCGCUUCUACUGUACGAUCUACAAGGGUACGUAGAUCACUCAUCCCCUCUCGUAGAUGGACAUCACCAUGAUAGGUCUUCGUGCGCGUAGGAAAAUUUUUGUUUCCCUUGCGACGUUCCCCAACAUAUCAUAUAUGUGUUGUGACCUAUAUAUAAUAUAUGUGCUAUGAAUUAUAUAUAUAUGUGCUGUGAAAUAGAAAAAAUAAUCAAAAAUCUGACAAUUUGGGCUCUUUGCCGUCUGCCAGCUGAUGGCAAAGGCCUUUGCCAUCAGGCAACUGACGACAAAGGUGCCAUGUGGCACCCAGCUGUGCAACCUGGGCAGCAGCAGCUGGAUAUAUGGGAUCUUUGCCGUCCGCUGCCUCGGGAGGCUGACGGCAAAGCGGUAGGGAGGCAGACGACGAAGAAGCCGACAGGCGCUGGCCCAACUCUGUGCUGGCCCAUAGAAGCAGACGGCAAAGAUGGGGAGGGAAGCAGACGGCAAAGAUGCAAAGGGAAACAGACGACAAAGCCUCUGUUAGCCCUAACGGAGGCGUCGCCUGUUGGCUGCCGUCUCAAUCUCUUUGCCGACUGCUUAGUGUCUCACACGGACGGCAAAGCUCUUUGUCGUCCGCUUAGGGUAGGCUGACGGCAAAGAAGCUACAAUGUCGUCGUAGGCUGAUGCAGAAUCUUUGCCGACAGGUGGCAGACGACAAAGCUCUUUGUCGUCGGUGUGGACCUCUUUGCUGUCUGUGAUGGCGGACGGCAAAGAAGCUGAUUCCUGUAGUGUAUAACUCAACUAUACCGAAACGUCACUGAACCUUAAGUGUGCAGACCCUGCGGGUUCGAGAACUAUGCAGACAUGACCUGAGACAUUCUCCAGUCAAUAACCAAUAGUGGGACCUGGAUGUCCAUAUUGGCUCCAACAUAUUCUACGAAUAUCUCUAUCGGUUGAACCUCUAUGUCAAGGAUUCAGUUAAUCCCGUAUGUUGUUCCCUUUGUCCUUCGGUAUGUUACUUGCCCGAGAUUCAAUCGUUGGUAUGUCCAUACCUAGUUCAAUCUCGUUACCUACAAGUCUCUUUACUCGUUCCGUAAUACAAGAUCCUGUAACUAACUCUUUAGUCACAUUGCUUGCAAGGCUUCUUGUGAUGUUGUAUUACCGAGUGGGCCCCGAGAUACCUCUCCGUCACACGGAGUGACAAAUCCCCGUCUUGAUCCAUGCCAACCCAACAGACACCUUUGGAGAUACCUGUAGAGCACCUUUAUAGUCACCGAGUAACGUUGCGAUGUUUGAUACACGCAAGGUAUUCCUUCGGUGUCCGGGAGUUGCAUGGUCUCAUGGUCAUAGGAACAGAUACAUUGACAUGCAGAAAAACAAUAGUAAUAAACUGACACGAUCAUAUGCUACGUUUAUAGUUUGGGUCUUGUCCAUCACAUCAUUCUCCUAAUGAUGUGAUCCCGUUAUCAAGUGACAACACUUGCCUAUGGCCAGGAAACCUUGACCAUCUUUGAUCAACGAGCUAGUCAACUACAGGCUCACUAGGGACAGUGUGUUGUCUAUGUAUCCACACAUGUAUUUGAGUUUCCAAUCAAUGCAAUUCUAGCAUGGAUAAUAAACAAUUAUCAUGAACAAGGAAAUAUAAUAAUAACCAAUUUAUUAUUGACUCUAGGGCAUAUUUCCAACAGAUCAACCUCCUGGGCUUUGGUGGGAUCUCUUGAUCUUCGAUGGCCAACGUAUGAACCUCGGCCAUAACCACGUCAUCCCCCGAGUUUGGAGGGGCCUGUUGAGAUAUCACCUCCGCAGACUCGUCCGAGGCCUAGGGAAGGGUGAUACACGAUGCAUUUCUGCUCUCUGCUAGCUCGGCGGGCGGUGAACCACCCUGUGAGACCUGGUCCAUCGGGAGAUUUCCGGCAGGGCUGCGUCACGAAAAAGUGCACAUCUAUUUAUUAAAAAAACCCAGUACAACUACAUUAAAUAAAGUUUGGACUCCAUACCUUUGGUUCAGGGGGUUGAUCCUUGUGGAACCCUCUAAAAAGCCCCGGAGUCCUCAUUGGAAUCUGAGCUGUCAUUGGGUGGGAUGACCUUGUUCCUGCAGGGUCUCUUCGGGGUUUGAGGAGGCAAGCCCUCCUCGGCCUCCUCCAGUGCCGCCCUCUUUCUUGCUUGGGGGGCGGAUUCUUUCUUCUCCCAUUCUCUAGAUCCUCUUACUCAUGGGCGGAGGAAGCACGGGUGUCUCCGGACUUGGUAUCUGGAUGACCUCUCGAGCGGAGGUCCCCCGGGUCUCCCUCUUCUUCUUCUCUAUUUUCUCCGACGCCGCAUAUAUAUGGUGCCACAACCAGCAUCGCGGUCAACAAUGGCAACCUCGGGUCCUCUGGCAGGGGGGCUGGGACGUUUAUUUUCAUGGCCUUAUCCAGCGAGCCUUCCAGGGACUGUGGGGAAAGGAUAAGGUCCUUGCUAAAAACUAAAGCAUUUAAUAAGAAUAAAGGCUUGGUCAUGCCUUCAAAGGAGGGGUAUCGCAUCUAAGCCGACGUCUUCUUCCUCGGCCGACCAUUCCUGUUGAGGUUUGAACAACACCCUCCACAAUUUCUCAUGGUAGUGUGGUAGAACUGCCGCACGGUGUGGGGGUCGCCGAGCUGGUAGGACCACGUUGGAGUAUCCCGAUGCUCACAGGGUAGGACGCGGCAACGGAGCAUGACUUGAAUCAUGUUGGCCAGCUCGAUCUUCGCCUCCACCAUCUGCGCGAUGCGCUUCUGCAGUGACUUCACCUCCGAGGCCGAUCCCCAGUCAAUACUUUUUGUAAGCCAUGAGGUUAGCCUCUCCAGGUGUCCGGAUCUGAACUCGGCACGCGCCGACCAGUUUGUUUCCCACGGUUUGGUGAUGUAAAACCACUCUUUUUGCCAGGAUUUGAUGGUAUCAAUAAAAGUACCCUUCGGCCAUUCGACCCUGGAGAGUUUGCUGAUCACGGCUCCUCCAGAGUCGGCAUGUUGGCCGCUGACCGUCUUCGGCUUGACGUUGGAAGUGUUGAGCCAUAGGACGAAGUGCGACUGAACCCGUAGGAAGGCCUGACAAAUGCUGAUGAAAGCUGAGAUGUGCAUAAACGACUUCGGGGGAAGAUCGUGAAAAUCUAAUCCAUAGAAGAACAUCAGACCCCUGAUGAAGGGGUGGAGCGGGAAGCCUAGUCCUCGUAUGAAGUGGGGGAAAACACCACCCUCUCGCGUGGCGUUGGUCUAGGCACCACCUAGCUUUCCUCUGGCGCACGGUGGGCAAAGUUGGGCGAGAGAUGGCCGGCGUGUUUCAACUCCCGGAUAUCCUUGUCGGAGACGCAUGAGACCUCCCACUUGCCAUGGGAGACCAAGCCGACCAUGGAUGAGCUUGGGAAAGGGUGGCUGGGAGAGGACAUAAAUGAAAUGGAUCUAGCACUUGGAGCUUGAAUGAAAGGGGGGUCGAGUCUGGAGUGCCUGUGGUGGCUUUGAGUAUCCUUUUCCCUUUUAGGGGGGGGGGGGGUCGUAAGACCAAGGGUUCCUGUUUACUGCGCCGCAAGCCCUGCCACCUCCUGAAAUGACCACGCCAUUGAACUCGCGCGGGUUAACCUAGACCAUUAUUCAUAUCCCCUUAAACGCGGGGCACGGUCUCCUCAUUGAUAAGACAUGCCCAUGGGAAAGUGGCCUUGAAUUGCAAAUCGAGUUUUGUCAUAACUGGCUAUCGCGACCUUUUGUCAUAAAGGCUGUUAGAUGAGGAAUUGUUCACACGUGGGCUUUUAAGCCUUUAUAUUAAGCAAUGCAUAUUUUAAAGGCACGCCAUUACCAAACGACCAAGUCGAAACCAGUCGAACUUGAAUGGAACUCACCUUGCAAGCCGAUUACUCUGGAUACGAGAAGCUCCCGAAGACUAUAUACAUCAGCAUUGGAGGCCAGUUAGGGGGCUACUGAGGGAGUCCACGACUAAGGGGUCCUCGGACGGUCAACCCAUCUCUUACAGGCUGACCUAAUGGGUCGUGUUGUUGAAGACCGGAUUGCGUGACUACCUCGUGUUUAGGAAGGAAAGCUGCGACGACUGGCGUGUCACCCAAGUUAAGUAGGCUAGAUCGACGCAUCUGUCCCCCGGCUGGAGGUCGGUUGUAUGUAACCCUAGGAACCCCUGGUGUCUAUAUAAACCAUAGGGUUUCACCCUUAUAGGCAAGUUGACUCAUCUAGGGUUUUAGCUCAAACAAUCUCGAGGUAGACCAACUCUGUAAUUCUCAUCCACAUCAAUAUAAUAAAGCAGGAUGCGGGGUUUUACCUCUUCAAGAGGGCCCGAACCUGGGUAAACAUUAUCUCCUUUGUCCCAUGUAACCCAUCGAUCCAAGGUCCACAGCUCGGGACCCCCUACCCGAGAUCCGUCGGUUUUGACACCGACAAUCUCAAUAUCAUCCGACAGUCCUCCUCGUGGGACGAGCCGUCGAAUGACUCAACAUAGUUCUCGCAUAUGUACUCCAAAUCGAAAUCUAUUGCUUGAAAGAAUAAAGGAAAACCUUUUUAGCUCCGACAAUUCUUUGAAUAGUUGUCGAGCAUGGCGAGUAUAGAACUAGCAGAUGGUACCUACCGGAGUGGUCGGAGGAUAGGGGUUAAACGGCAUCGGGGGAGAAGCGAGGUGGAGCAUGGCUGGAACGCUAGAGGUGGCAGAGACGUAGAGUUCCCACAAUGGUGUGGCGUCGCGGUUAGGGUGGUGGAGCGACGACGAAGGCAAGAGAGAAAGAAGGAAGGAAAGAAAAUGGGAAGGAUGGAGGCAUGGGGUCCAAGAAAGAUUUUGGAUUGCCCCGGGGUGUGGGAGUCCUACAUGUCUGCUGUCCGGACUCUCGCAAAGCUCCCCACAUUUGUCUCGGUUUGCCAAAAAUAGCACAUCUGGACUGUUCAGCGAACCAAUACAGACCCGUGUUGGAUGACUUCCGCUAUCCGGACAACGUGAUCCGGACAAUUGUGGAUGGUUUGAGUUUGAGAGUAGCCUUGUCCCGGGCCAAGUCCAUGCCAAGGCCGACGCCAAUAUUGUCAAACAUCAAGCCUUGAGAUUUUUGUGAGGUAUCAAUGUUCAUUUCCUUCUUUUAACCUUUGGUGAGGUUAAAUAGGGAAAAUAUAUUUGUUAGGCUUUAGCUCUCGGGGUUUCUAAAUGGUUUAAUUUUAUUCUUAAAAUUGAACGUAAAUGUUUAGAUCCAUGUUAAGCAUAACUGGACCCUUGCAUAUAUAUGUUGUAGAAAACCAUAUUUAGUUGUAUGAAAUUCAAUAUUUCCUCUAUUUCUUGAUCCCUGGAAAACAUAAUCUAUUCUUGCUGUAGCUCGUGGCAGCAAGAGAUAAUGCUAGAAAAAUGUGACCCCAAGGCCAACGUAGCCUUCCUUUUUGCUAGAAAAAUACGUUUUCGAUAUAUAUUGUGUUCCUUAACACAUUAGAUUAUACAAAACCAUGUAUUACUUUUAUUAAUUUUCUCUUGACUAUUAUUUAGGUGCUACUACAAGAAGGAGCAUUUGAGGCGAUUGACAAAGUUGGUUUUCUCCAAGAUUUCCCUGGCCACCUCUAAUAAUCUUACAUGGGGAUAUAUUUUUCCUUUUAGAGAACCUAAUGUAUGUGCUUUUUUUAUUUCAGUGAACCUAGCGCGGGUGGCUUAGAAAGCAAACCCGCAUACAAGGAUGCACUCAUGUGGUCCAAAAAGAAAAAAAAUCAUUGAAGAAAUGUAGCCCACAAGCAUUUUCUUUCUUAAAACCGCCUCCAAGUACUACUAUAAAACAGGCCUUUCAUCCUCAACAUUAGUCUCGGUUGUGUUUCGGACUGGGACUAAUGUGAUCAUUAGUCCUAGUUUCAAAGGUAAGAGCAGCCGGGGGCACAUCCAAGAUUAGUCCCGGUUCAUUUGUGACCUGUAGUCCCAGUUGGUAUUACAAUCCGGGACUAAAGGGGUGGUGGCAGGCUGGCGUCAGUCUGGGGCCCAACGAACCCAUUUCGUCCUGGUUGUUAUUACCAACCGGGAGUAAAGGUGGACCUUUAGUCCCGGUUUGUAUCAACAACCGGGACUAAAGAUGUCCCUAUAUAAACCCUUCGUCCAACCCGAGCUCAUGCUCUCUAUUUUCUCCUCUCUGUUUUCCCCAUAGCUCGAGCUCUCAUCCUCCAUUUUUGCCGACAUUUGUCAAGAUUUGAGGCACCCCAUCUAUCCAAGGGUUGUAAAAGGUUAGCAACUUCAUGCGUUCACCUCUCAUUGCUAGUUUAACUUGUUUCCUGCUCUAUAAGUAUAUUGAGUUGUGGGUUUUAGUUUGGGAGUAAUUAUAUGGGAGUUUAUUUGAUUAAUAUGCAAUAUGAGCUCAAAUUAACUUCUUAGUUUGCAUAUGUGUAGGUGUAGUUUAGUUAGUGCCUUCCCGUCCCCCGUCCUCACCGCCGUCAAUCGCCCGCGCCGGCCCGUCGCUAGCACCACCUUGGCGAGGCUCUUGUUCUUAUCCUUUUUGUGAAAAAAAUCUUAUUUGUACGAUUUAGAUAGUGGCCCCGGGAACCCUUUGGUCAUGCCUGAGUAGGCCCUGGUUCUAUCAACACAAAUGCGCAGAUUGUAUGACUGGUACCAGAGUGAAGUAAAGGCGGCGCGACAGUGGAUCAUAGUGAAAGUCGAGCAAGAGCAUUACUUCCAUGCAAAGGAGCUAUGGAUUGAGUUUUCAGAAUUUUUUCAGUUAUUUAAUCAAGACGCACUCGAGUGUACUAUCAUCAGCUGCUAUUGUGUGUAAGUGAUUUCUUUGUGUAAUUUAAGUCUUUAGCUCAACUCGUUCAUUGCGUGUAAUUAUCCUCACUAUAUUCUUUUGUGUGCUAUUAUGCAUACUAAAUAUUUUUGAGUGCAAAAGAGAUGGAGUCUAUGACAUUGGAUUCAUUGACCCAAAUAUCGUUAAUGAAGUUAAGUUAACAAAUGAUGCCCAAGACUCAGAGCAUAACUUGUUAAUAUUUUUGAAAGAAUUGAAUACCAGAACAGAAAUACUAUUUCCUUACAACUUUUAGUGGGUGUUACUGUUUUGUACUACAAAUUCGAUUUUGUUUAUUCGAUGUUAAGUAUAGUUGAUGAGUUAUGCAUGCACGCUUAUAUAAAGGUGUGCGGAGUUUUCACUGGAUCUUGCUAAUCAUUAGGGUUGACGAGGGAUCUGUUGAAACACUGGACUCUCUACGUAAAGACCCUACAUACGACAGCCUGAUUUUGAUGUUCUAAAGGUAAUAUCAAUCAUUAUCGCACUAUGUCGGCCGCUUUAGUUCAUUUCCUAACAUCAAGUAAUUAAUAACUCCUUUAUUCAUUUUCUUUGCCGGGAAGGGUUUGGAAAAAUUUCAUCGAAGAGGAAGUCAGUGCAUGGAAACCACAACUUAAAUGGCGACGGUCCAAGCUGGUAAUUAAGUAGUACUAGCUACGUCCGUGCAUCUCUUUAACUCUUGUUUUAAUAUCAUUAUCAUGCUUGAUUAUUAUGUGAUUGAAUUCUAUUCUCGUAAAGUGCAUGAAGCAGGAACAUAGGAAUAAUUUGUGUGCAUGCUACAUUUACAGAACAUUUGUUUUAUGACCGAACGACGGAGAGAUGAUAGACAUUUUGGGUACGUAAAUACUAUUCAUAAAUUUUAUCAUGAUCUAAUAUAUAUACACACAACUAAUAUAUUCAUGAUCAUCUCCUCCUUUAAAGAUGACGGAGAUGCGGGAUAGGCUCCUAUCAAAGGACCGCAUACGAGAACUUCAAGAGGAAAUUGUAGGAUUUUUGGUUGAGCAGGUCAUAUCUCCCCAUGGAGAAUACCAUUACACCUAAUGCCCGCAUGACCUGCAAAUUAUAGGAGAAAUUCUAUAUAGUAAAUUAUNNNNNNNNNNNNNNNNNNNNNNNNNNNNNNNNNNNNNNNNNNNNNNNNNNNNNNNNNNNNNNNNNNNNNNNNNNNNNNNNNNNNNNNNNNNNNNNNNNNNUCUUGGAAAUAUGCCCUAGAGGCAAUAAUAAAAUGGUUAUUAUCAUAUUUCCUUGUUCAUGAUAAUCGUCUAUCGUUCAUGCUAUAAUUGUAUUAACAGGAAACAGUAAUACAUGUGUGAAUGAAUAGAUCACAAUGUGUCCCUAGCAAGCCUCUAGUUGGCUAGCUCGUUAGUCAAUAGAUGAUCAUGGUUUCCUGAUCAUGGACAUUGGAUGUCAUUGAUAACGGGAUCACAUCAUUGGGAGAAUGAUGUGGUGGACAAGACCCAAUCCUAAGCCUAGCACUAGAUCGUAUUGUUCGUAUGCUAAUGCUUUUCUAAUGUCAAGUAUCUUUUCCUUCGACCGUGAGAUUGUGCAACUCCCGGAUACCGUAGGAGUGCUUUGGGUGUAUCAAAAGUCACAACGUAACUGGGUGACUAUAAAGGUGCACUACGGGUACCUCCGAAAGUGUUUGUUGGGUUGGCACGAAUCGAGAUCGGGAUUUGUCACUCCGUGUGACGGAGAGGUAUCUCUGGGCCCACUCGGUAGAACAUCAUCAUGAGCUCAAUGUGACUAAGGAGUUAGUCACACGAUGACGUGCUACGGAACGAGUAAAGAGACUUACCGGUAACGAGAUUGAACAAGGUAUAGGUAUACCGACGAUCGAAUCUCGGGCAAGUUCUAUACCGACAGACAAAGGGAAUCGUAUACGGGAUUGAUUGAAUCCUUGACAUCGUGGUUCAUCCGAUGAGAUCAUCGUGGAGCUAGUGGGAGCCACCAUGGGUAUCCAGACCCCGCUGAUGGUUAUUGGCCAGAGAGGUGUCUCGGUCAUGUCUGCCUGUCUCCCGAACCCGUAGGGUCUACACACUUAAAGUUCGAUGACGCUAGGGUUAUAGGGAAUUGUUAUACGAUAUUACCGAAAGUAUAUCGGAGUCCCGGAUGAGAUCCCGGACAUCACGAGGAGCUCCGGAAUGGUCCGUAGGUAAAGAUUGAUAUAUAGGACGAAUGGUUUCGGACACCGGNNGGCAGACGGCAAAGAAGAGGGCACAGAGGAGGGGCAGGAGUGGAGGGAGAGAGGGGGAGGGGAGGACACGGCAGACGGCAAAGAUAUGCAAUAGGGCAGACGGCAAAGAGCCUCCGUUAACCCCUAACGGAGGCAACGCCUCUCGGCUGCCGUCUCAAGCUCUUUGCCGACUGCUCCUCAGGGAAGCUGACGGCAAAGACCUUUGCCGUCCGCUUUAGGGGGGCAGACGGCAAANNAUGGUUUCGGACACCGGAAGUGUUUCGGGCAUCACCGGUAACGUACCGGGACCACCGGGACCACCGGAGGUGGUCCCGGGGGGCCACCGAAGGGGGGUGACGACCCCGGGAGGCUAGAUGGACUAAGUGGGGAAGGGAACCAGCCCCUAAGUGGGCUGGUGCGCCCCCCACCCAGCCCAUGUGCACCAGAAAAAGGGGGAAGGGGGGGAACCCUAACUAAGGUGGGCCUUAGGCCCACCAGAGGGGUGCGCCACCCCUCCUCCUUGCCCUGGCCGCCACUCCUCCCAUCUGGGAGGGCUGCCGCACCCCCUAGGGUGGGAACCCUAGGGGUGGCACCCCCUCUCCCCUUCCCCUAUAUAUAGUGGGCACUUUUGGCCUUUGGAGGACACGGUUUUCCCUCUCCCUCGGCGCAGCCCUGCACUUCUUCCUCCUCUUCUCUGCCGGCGCUUGGUGAAGCCCUGCCGGGAGACCUCGUCUCUCCACCAACACCACGCCGUCGUGUUGCUGGUCUUCUUCCCCAACCUCUCCCUCCUCCUUGCUGGAUCAAGGUGCGGGAGACGUCACCGGGCUGCACGUGUGUUGAACGCGGAGGUGCCGUUGUUCGGUACUAGAUCGGAAUCGCUGCGAGUACGACUCCAUCAACCGCGUUCUAGCAACGCUUCCGCUUAGCGAUCUUCAAAGGUAUGAAGAUGCUCUUACCCCUCUCUCGUUGCUGGUCUCUCCGUAGGAAGAUCUGAACAUGCGUAGGAAAAUUUUGAAUUUAUGCUACAUAACCCAACAGUGGCAUCCGAGCCAGGUUUUCUAUGUGUAGAUUCUAUGCACGAGUAGAACACAAAAGUUGUGGGCGAUGGUUUGUCAAUUUGCUUGCUGUUACUAGUCUUAUUCUUUUCCGGCGGUAUUGUGGGAUGAAGCGGCCCGGACCGACCUUACACGUACGCUUACGUGAGACUGGUUCCACCGACAGACAUGCACAUCGUGCAUAAAGGUGGCUAGCGGGUGUCUGUCUCUCCUACUCUAGUCGGAUUGGAUUUGAUGAAAAGGGUCCUUAUGAAGGGUAAAUAGCUUUGGCAUAUCAUCAUUGUGGCUGUCACGUAGGUAAGAAGGCGUUCUUGCUAGAAACCCAAAUCAGCCACGUAAAACUUGCAACAACAAUUAGAGGACGUCUAACUUGUUUUUGCAGGGUUUGACAUGUGAUGUGAUAUGGCCAAAGUUGUGAUGUUGCAUGUAUGAUGUAUGAGAUGAUCAUGUUAUUGUAAUAGGUUUCACGACUUGCAUGUCGAUGAGUAUGACAACCGGCACGAGCCAUAGGAGUUGUCUUAAUUUAUUGUAUGAGAUGCAACGCCAUGUGCUUACUACUUUUACUUCAUUGCUAACGGUUAGCCAUAGUAGUAGUGAUAGUAGUAGUUGGCGUGACGACUUCACAAAGACACGAUGAUGGAGAUCAUGGUGUCACGCCGGUGACGAUGAUGAUCAUGCGAUGCCUGAAGAUGGAGAUCGAAUGAGCAAAGAUGAUAAUGGCCAUAUCAUGUCACUAUAUGAUUGCAUUGUGAUGUUUAUCAUGUUUUACAUCUUAUUGCUUAAAACGACGGUAGCAUAAUAAGAUGAUCCCUCUUAAAAAUUUUGAGAACAUAUUCCCCUAAGUGUGCACCGUUGUGAAGGUUCGUUGUCUCGAAGCACCACGUGAUGAUCGGGUGUGAUAGAUUCUAACGUUCGCAUACAACGGGUGUAAGCCAGAUUUACACACGCGAAACACUUAGGUUGACUCGACGAGCUUAGCAUGUACAGACAUGACCUCGAAUACAAGAGACCGAAAGGUCGAACAUGAGUCGUAUGGUUGAAUACGAUCAGCAUGAAGUUGCUCACCAUGGUGACUAGUCCGUCUCACGUGAUGAUCGGACACGGGUUAGUCAACAUGGAUCAUGUAUCACUUAGAUGACUAGAGGGAUGUCGAUUUAAGUGGGAGUUCAUACUUAAUUUGAUUAAAUGAACUUAAUUGUCAUGAACUUAGUCUAAAAAUUGUCUUUAUAAAUAUUGUAGAUGUCCAACGUCAACCUCAACUUCAACGCAUUCCUAGAGAAAAACAAGCUGAAAGAUGAUGGUAGCAACUAUGCGGACUGGGUUCGCAACCUGAAGCUCAUCCUUGAAGCAGCUAAAAAGGCUUAUGUCCUUAAUGCGCCGCUAGGUGACCCUCCCGCUCCCGCAGCAGCCCAGGACGUUCUAAACGUCUGGCAAGCGCGGAGUGAUGACUACUCUCUGGUCAGGUGUGGCAUGUUAUACAGUUUAGAAACGGGGCUCCAAAGACGUUUUGAGCAACACGGGGCAUAUGAGAUGUUCCAAGAGCUGAAGCUAGUUUUUCAAGCUCAUGCCCGUGUCGAGAGAUAUGAAGUCUCCGACAAGUUCUUCAGCUGUAAGAUGGAGGAGAACAGUUCUGUCAGUGAGCACAUACUCAAAAUGUCUGGGUUACACGGUCGUCUGACUUCACUUGGAGUCGAACUUCCGGAUGAUGCUAUCAUUGACAGAAUCCUCCAGUCUCUCCCACCAAGCUACAAAGGCUUUGUGCUUAACUACAACAUGCAAGGGAUGGAGAAAACCAUUCCCGAGUUGUACUCGAUGCUCAAGUCUGCAGAAGUAAAAAUCAAGAAGUAGCAUCAAGUGUUGAUGGUCAACAAGACCACUAGUUUCAAGAAGGGCAGGGGUAAGAAGAACUUCAAGAAAGACGGCAAAGCUGUUGCCGCGCCCGGUAAGCCAGAUGCCGGGAAGAAGAAAAAGAACGGACCCAAGCCUGAGACUGAGUGCUUCUACUGCAAGGGAAAAGGUCACUGGAAGCGGAACUGCCCCAAAUACUUAGCGUACAAGAAGGCCGGCAACGUUAAAGGUAUAUGUGAUAUACAUGUUAUUGAUGUGUACCUUACCAGCGCUCGUAGUAGCUCCUGGGUAUUUGAUACCGGUGCUGUUGCUCACAUUUGCAACUCAAAGCAGGAACUGCGGAAUAAGCGGAGACUGGCCAAGGACGAGGUGACGAUGCGCGUCGGGAAUGGUUCAAAGGUCGAUGUGAUCGCCGUCGGCACGCUACCUCUACAUCUACCGUCGGGAUUAGUUUUAAACCUUAAUAAUUGUUAUUUAGUACUAGCUUUAAGCAUGAACAUUGUAUCAGGGUCUUGCUUAAUGCGAGACGGCUACUCAUUUAAGUCAGAGAAUAAUGGUUGUUCUAUUUAUAUGAGUGAUAUGUUUUAUGGUCAUGCUCCGCUGGUGAAUGGUUUAUUCUUGAUGAAUCUCGAUCGUGAUGUUACACAUAUUCAUAGUGUGAGUACCAAAAGAUGCAAAGUUGAUAAUGAUAGUCCCACAUACUUGUGGCACUGUCGCCUUGGUCAUAUCGGCGUUAAGCGCAUGAAGAAGCUCCAUACUGAUGGACUGCUAGAGUCUCUUGACUUUGAAUCAUUUGACACAUGCGAACCAUGCCUCAUGGGCAAGAUGACUAAGACUCCAUUCUCAGGAAUAAUGGAGAGAGCCACCGACUUAUUGGAAAUAAUACAUACUGAUGUGUGUGGUCCAAUGAACGUUGAAGCUCGCGGUGGUUAUCGUUAUGUUCUCACUCUCACCGAUGAUUUGAGUAGGUAUGGGUAUAUCUACUUGAUGAAGCACAAAUCUGAGACGUUUGAAAAGUUCAAGGAAUUUCAGAGUGAGGUUGAGAAUUAACGUGACAGAAAAAUUAAAUGUCUACGAUCUGACCGUGGAGGAGAAUAUUUGAGUCAUGAGUUCGGCACACACCUAAGGAAGUGUGGAAUCGUUUCACAACUAACGCCGCCUGGCACACCGCAGCGCAACGGAGUGUCUGAACGUCGUAAUCGCACCUUAUUAGAUAUGGUACAAUCUAUGAUGUCUCUCACCGACUUACCGCUAUCAUAUUAGGGAUACGCAUUAGAAACUGCAGCAUUCACUUUAAAUAGGGCACCGUCUAAAUCCGUUGAGACGACACCGUAUGAACUAUGGUUUGGCAAGAAACCUAAGUUGUUGUUUCUUAAAGUUUGGGGCUGCGAUGCUUAUGUGAAGAAACUUCAACCAGAAAAGCUCGAACCCAAAGCGGAGAAAUGCGUAUUCAUAGGAUACCCUAAGGAAACUAUUGGGUAUACCUUCUAUCUUAGAUCCGAAGGUAAAACCUUUGUUGCCAAGAACGGAUCCUUUCUAGAGAAAGAGUUUCUCUCGAAAGAAGUAAGUGGGAGGAAGGUAGAACUUGAUGAGGUAAUUACACCCCCUCUCGAACAGGAAAGUAGCGCAGUGCAAGAAGUUGUUCCUGUGGUGCCUACACCGACUGAAGAGGAAGUUAAUGAUGAUGAUCAUGAAGCUUCCGAUCAAGUUACUACUGAACUGCGAAGGUCCACAAGGGUACGCUCCGCGCCAGAGUGGUACGGCAACCCUGUGAUGGAAAUCAUGUUGUUAGACAACAGUGAACCUUCGAACUAUGAAGAAGCGAUGGCGGGCCCGGAUUCCAACAAAUGGCUUGAGGCCAUGAAAUCCGAGAUAGGAUCCAUGUAUGAGAACAAAGUAUGGACUUUGGUGGACUUGCCCGAUGACCGGCGAGCCAUAGAAAAUAAAUGGAUCUUCAAGAAGAAGACUGAUGCAAAUGGUAAUGUAACCGUUUACAAAGCUCGACUUGUCGCAAAGGGUUUUCGACAAAUUCAAGGAGUUGACUACGAAGAGACUUUCUCUCCCGUAGCGAAGCUGAAAUCAGUCCGAAUCAUGUUAGCAAUUGCCGCCUUUUAUGAUUAUGAAAUUUGGCAAAUGGACGUCAAAACAGCGUUCCUUAACGGGAACCUUAAGGAAGAGUUGUAUAUGAUGCAACCAGAAGGUUUUGUCGACCCUAAGGGUGCUAACAAAGUGUGCAAGCUCCAGCGCUCCAUCUAUGGGCUGGUGCAAGCAUCUCGGAGUUGGAACAUUCGCUUUAAUGAGGUGAUUAAAGCGUUUGGGUUCAUACAGGUUUACGGAGAAGCCUGUCUGUACAAGAAAGUGAGUGGGAGCUCUGUAGCUUUCCUCGUACUAUAUGUGGAUGACAUAUUAUUGAUGGGGAAUGAUAUAGAGAUGUUGGAGAGCAUAAAGGCCUAUUUGAACAAGAGUUUUUCAAUGAAGGACCUUGGAGAAGCUGCAUACAUAUUAGGCAUCAAGAUCUAUAGAGAUAGAUCGAGACGCCUCAUAGGUCUUUCGCAAAGUACAUACCUUGACAAGAUAUUGAAGAAGUUCAAUAUGGAAAACUCAAAGAAAGGGUUCUUGCCAGUUUUGCAAGGUAUGAGAUUGAGUAAGACUCAGUCGCCGACCACGGCAGCAGAUAGAGAGAAGAUGAGUUAUGUCCCCUACGCUUCAGCCGUGGGCUCUCUAAUGUAUGCCAUGCUGUGUACCAGACCUGAUAUAAACCUAGCGAUAAGCUUGGUAGGGAGGUACCAAAGUAAUCCCGGUGCGGAACACUGGACAGCGGUCAAGAAUAUCCUUAAGUACCUGAAAAGGACUAAGGAAAUGUUUCUCGUUUAUGGAGGUGACGAAGAGCUCGUCGUAAAGGGUUACGUCGAUGCUAGCUUCGACACAGAUCCGGAUGACUCUAAGUCACAAACCGGAUACGUAUAUGUGUUGAAUGGUGGGGCAGUGAGCUGGUGCAGCAGCAAGCAAGAAGUCGUGGCAGCAUCUACAUGUGAAGCGGAGUACAUAGCUGCUUCAGAAGCGGCUCAUGAAGGAAUUUGGAUGAAGGAGCUCAUCACCGACCUUGGAGUGGUUCCAAGCGCGUCGGGUCCUAUGACACUCUUCUGUGAUAACACUGGAGCCAUUGCCAUAGCCAAGGAGCCCAGGUUUCACCGGAAGACGAAGCACAUCAAGCGCCACUACAACUCCAUCCAGGACCAUGUCCAGAGUGGAGUGAUAGAUAUUUGUAAAGUACACACGGAUCUGAAUAUUGCAGACCCGUUGACUAAACCUCUUCCACGAGCAAAACAUGAUCAGCACCAUAAUGCUAUGGGCGUUCGAUACAUCACAAUGUAACUAGAUUAUUGACUCUAGUGCAAGUGGGAGACUCUUGGAAAUAUGCCCUNNNNNNNNNNNNNNNNNNNNNNNNNNNNNNNNNNNNNNNNNNNNNNNNNNNNNNNNNNNNNNNNNNNNNNNNNNNNNNNNNNNNNNNNNNNNNNNNNNNNUCUUUUUUGAGCUAAAUCCAACUCCAACUCGGCAACAUCCAACUCCAAUAUCAUCUUCUCCUCAUCAAGGCUUUUACGGACCUUCGACAACUUAUAUAUAAGCUAAUAAUAGAUCUUUUGCGUCUUUCGAUAUGCGAAGAGAAGUAAGAAGGUUUACUAUUGGGAUAACAAAGAUAUGACCAUAUUUCUGAUCAAUUCAACAGACGAGAUCGGAUAGUAGAAUAGAGAGAAGGAUCUUCUACUUUAUGAAAAUGAUAGAGAGUCAGGAGAGGGUCUAUGUUAAUAGUGCUCUUUAGAUAGGGAGAGGAAAGACGUAACUAGGUUGACUUGACGUAUCAGACCUUUCCCGNNNNNNNNNNNNNNNNNNNNNNNNNNNNNNNNNNNNNNNNNNNNNNNNNNNNNNNNNNNNNNNNNNNNNNNNNNNNNNNNNNNNNNNNNNNNNNNNNNNNNNNNNNNNNNNNNNNNNNNNNNNNNNNNNNNNNNNNNNNNNNNNNNNNNNNNNNNNNNNNNNNNNNNNCCUUUCCCGAUUUCCUUACUUUCCUUGCCACCUCAACAGCUAUGAACACACACGUACUUGGUUGACUUGACGUCCCGUCUCACAACCGUGUAAGAUCUAAUAAACAAACAACUUGCUUGCCCAAUCCCUAUUGAGAGGAUUUCUUGAGCUUGAACUUCCUUUUGUAGCUCCGCACAAAAGGACUUCUUUUCAUCCGCAAUGAAGCUUAUACCACCACUNNNNNNNNNNNNNNNNNNNNNNNNNNNNNNNNNNNNNNNNNNNNNNNNNNNNNNNNNNNNNNNNNNNNNNNNNNNNNNNNNNNNNNNNNNNNNNNNNNNNNNNNNNNNNNNNNNNNNNNNNNNNNNNNNNNNNNNNNNNNNNNNNNNNNNNNNNNNNNNNNNNNNNNNNNNNNNNNNNNNNNNNNNNNNNNNNNNNNNNNNNNNNNNNNNNNNNNNNNNNNNNNNNNNNNNNNNNNNNNNNNNNNNNNNNNNNNNNNNNCACUUGGUGAGUAAGGCCUACAAGGAGGGAUAUUGUGAUAAUAGUGACCUCCGGGCUACCAUGUCAAUUGUAAAAAGUAGUUGAUUCGUGUCUUGCAGGAGCAAUAAUAGUGAAAUGAGGACGUAAGCCCCCUAGGUCUUCCUCUUCCUUCUAAACUAAUUGCUUUCGCUUGACUCUUCGAGGAGAAAAGUAUAAUAAGUGGUUGAAGGAAAGCGAAAAGGUGCUGGUUAUCGAGUUUAUGGCGCCGCCGACCAUCCAAAAAGUCAAAGAUGGCGCCGGCAUUUACUUAUUAUGGUCUCUUCUAAUAGUGGUCCCUUGGUAUUCAGGUUGUAAAAUCCUCAUAGGAACGUCGAUUGUUAUACCUUGUUUUUGUAAUGGUCUAUCUUAUUUAAAAAGUCGAAAGAUAAACAAGCUCUUGGAACCGAAGGUAUGUCUGAGCAUUCUGGGCAGGUCGCAAGAAGCCGCUUUUAGAAGGUUUGGAGCUACCGCAAUUUUUCACCAUAUUACCCGCUUCCAAUUUUUCACCAUGCCACCGUGGGACCGCUUUCGCGAGCUCUGCCUUCUCCGGUUUGGCCCCCCCAUCCGUGGCAGCCGACUGGCAGCCCUCGGCCGCUUACCGUUUACCUCAACGGUCCAGGACUACGCUGACCGAUUCCAAGCCCUGGCAUGCCACGCGCCAGGCAUAUCCGGGACUUCGACGCCCUCAUGAUGACAUUCUGGCGGCUGGGACGCCAAAUUGGCCUUGGCCUCCUCCUCCUCCUNNNNNNNNNNNNNNNNNNNNNNNNNNNNNNNNNNNNNNNNNNNNNNNNNNNNNNNNNNNNNNNNNNNNNNNNNNNNNNNNNNNNNNNNNNNNNNNNNNNNNNNNNNNNNNNNNNNNNNNNNNNNNNNNNNNNNNNNNNNNNNNNNNNNNNNNNNNNNNNNNNNNNNNNNNNNNNNNNNNNNNNNNNNNNNNNNNNNNNNNNNNNNNNNNNNNNNNNNNNNNNNNNNNNNNUAAAUUGGCUAAUUAUCUCAUUUUAGAGGAAAACAAGCUAAGUUUGGAGGAGGAACUUACCGUAGUGGUCAUCAAGGAGGAGAAACACCACGGUUGCUCGCGUCGGCUUCUUUUGGAGACGGUUGCCCUGGAGAAGGGUCGUGCGAUGCCGCUCGGGAGUUAUUCUGCAGAAAAGAUAUUUUGCAAUGUCUCAGUUAGCAUGAUGACACUCAAUUAUUAAUACUAGCUUAUAAUGAAACUCACCAUGCCAAUCGAAGAGAAGACGGGCAUCGGCGGAGGGACUUGACCNNNNNNNNNNNNNNNNNNNNNNNNNNNNNNNNNNNNNNNNNNNNNNNNNNNNNNNNNNNNNNNNNNNNNNNNNNNNNNNNNNNNNNNNNNNNNNNNNNNNNNNNNNNNNNNNNNNNNNNNNNNNNNNNNNNNNNNNNNNNNNNNNNNNACUCUUCUCACACAGACCCUGAAGAGUGGGUCGUAUUAGUUAGUAUUGAAACAGACAUUACACACAUGAUUUGGCUAAUGUGAAAAAAAACAUACCACAAAAAGCUCGUACAGGGCCCGUUGACCCGCCUCAUUCCGGGCCCUCUCCUCCUCAAGCAAUCAUGCCGUGCUCUGGUCCCUCUCAUCAAGAGCAGCCUGAAGAGCAGCCUGGCUUGCCAAUCUCUCUUUCUCAAGAGCAGCCUGGUUUGCCGCUCUCUCUUUCUGAAGAGCAGCCUGAAAAACCAUUCCUCGUUACCACAGUAAUGAUCUAUGGUGACACACAUAAUGAAAUGGAUGAAAGUGUUCUUAGUCCAUACAACUAACCUCGAUGGCAAGUUCGACUGGCCGUGGACGACGCGUUAUCUCAGGACAGUUGCUCGACUGGCGCGCCUUGAUCUCCGGAAGAGUGAGUGGACAACGUAUUAUCCCAUCUCCAAUGGCUAUCGAGCCAUGGGGCCUCCCGCCACCAGAUAUCAUCACCAGCUCUGGAUCCAAAGGUUCCUGGCUAGGGUUAAAGUCAUCCCCUUUCGUAGCCUUCCCCGCGUCCCUGUAUGCCACGAGCUUCUGGUGGGAUGAUAUGUUGGUGAAGUUACUGGGAUCAUCCAGGUCAGACUCAGAGAAUGCCUUCGCCUUCUUGUACGAGGCAGUAUGGGCCAUGCCAUAAACGUCGUACAAGUGUGGCAUCUCAGUCUUAUUGUGAUGCGCCUAAAAGAGAGGAACAAAAUAUUAGCAUAAGAAUGAAUUGCAUGAAUCAUGAAGCAAAUCACAUACCCAGUUUCGUCCAAACUGAAGUAAGUUGGCGCUGCCUUGAUGGUGUGGCACACCAACCAUUUGGCUACGCCGAUCCUUCGCAUUAUCGUGGACGGCUCGCCAGCUGCCUGUGCACCACUCAUCAACCAACGCCUCCCAACAAUCCAUCUUAUCCGCACACCAUCUCGGGGGCACCUGUAAGUUAUUAGAAAGAAUUUUCAGCGCUACGCCUAUGAAUGAAAUCAAGAAAACUACGUAGAAGGACUUAAGAAUAGGUAAUUACCUUCAUGUAUUGCUCCUUCUUCAGAAACUUUCCGCGGCAAUCCUUCUUCUCCUUCUUAAUACCACGCGUGGCGUAGUAAUCUCGAAUAGCCUGCGGCCGAGCCUCGUGGCGCAAGUUCUGUAGUAACCGCCUACACUCGACCUCGAGAACCCUGGCCGCCGCCUCCUCAUAUCCAUCCUCACACCUAUAGAAGGUCUGCAAUCAAACGUGAAAACACCGAUUAGUACAAUAAUGAGGUAUAUGCUUAAUUUUAGAUUCUGUAAAAGGAUAAUUUACCCAAAAGCUCCUGAUCACCAUCUCGGCCCUCGUGUGGCACAAGACACCAUCUAUAAUCUCCUCCGGCGGGGCCUGCGCAGCCUGGUAGUGCUCCCAGGUAAAUCCUAGUGUAGGAACCUGACCCUCACCAGGCAACGUGACAAACCCCGGGAAAUUUGUCCGGCAAAGCACACCAAGGACGGAGUUCGGCCUGCGGACUCCAAGAGGGUGUACCCAUCCCCUGCAGUAUGAUAAGGUCAGCACAUUAGAUAUUUGAACAAACUUGAAGGCAAAAGCUAAAAAAAGGGUAAAUGUACUUACCUAUCUCCUUCAGGUUUUAUCACCGGCCUCUGCUCGUGGGUAGCCGGGGCGACCGGGAGACGUGUACUACCACGCUUGUACACGGUAGCCGGGGCCCCGUCCACCUGCACAUCGCCCUCGCUAUCCGUAAGCUCAUCCCCGCCAUCCCCGCACCCUGAGCCACCCGGACCCUCGGUCCAAUCCGGCAACUCGAUACGAUCCGGCCAAGGCUCCCAGCCGGACCUCUCCACGUCGGGUGAAGCCUCCGGAACCGUAGUCUCCUCCGGCUGCUCCUGGGCCGAAUGCACCUCGACCCGAGGCUGCUCCUGGACCGGAGUCUCAUGGGACGAAUGCCCGUGAACACCAGGCUCCUGGACCGGAGUCCCCGUAGCCUCCUCCGCAAACGGGUCGACCAUACUAGUCCUAUGCUCGGGUGAAUGAGCUGGUGGUGGUGGCGAGGAUGGCUCAACAGUCCUCCUGGAUCUUCCGCGGCCACCACCUCUCCCUGUACCCUUCCCCUUCUUCCCUACCCGACCAACACCUCUACCAGCGGGCAAUGCCGCCGACGAAGAAGAACCCCCGGCUGGUGUCGAAAGACUGUCUGCCAAGGCUCUACGGAGAGAUAGGGGUGGAAGGGAAGUACCACCCCUCGUGCGGGGCGCCUGGGAAGAACCCGUCGAGCGCUCUGGACCCGCGCCCACCAUCUUUCAACACCUGCCAUGAUAAAGAUUAAAAGAAAUUAGUACAACAUAAAAAAAUUGAAUGACUGACAUGAAUAAUAAUAUGUACAUGAAUAAUAAAUAUUAAAAUAUAUAGAGAUUAUCUUCUGUUGCCCGGCUCUCCAAGGAGCCGGAACCCUAGCCUCCACCGCACCUAACCCUAGCCGCGACGGCGCCAUCUCANNNNNNNNNNNNNNNNNNNNNNNNNNNNNNNNNNNNNNNNNNNNNNNNNNNNNNNNNNNNNNNNNNNNNNNNNNNNNNNNNNNNNNNNNNNNNNNNNNNNAUAUAUAAUACAUUUUAAAAUGUUAAAAAAUGCCAAACAAUAAUUUCGCUUAUACAUUCAGACAUUUUAUGUCUGCACACGAGUUUUCAUAAAGAAAGAAUAUUUCUUUUGGCAUGUAUAAAGAAGAUAAAAAAAUGUCUCCUGAAUAGUUAGAACCAAGCAUAAAGAAUGUUUUCUUUACACAAGCCACAUAAAAUGUCCUUUUUCACACGAACAUAUAAUGUCCGAUGUACAUCCAGGAUUUUUUGUUGAUUUUUUAACUUUAAAAUGGUGUAUUUAGACAAUAAGUUCAUCUUCACCUAUGAGCCAAAGUCAAUUUUUCUGUAUUUCUUUNNNNNNNNNNNNNNNNNNNNNNNNNNNNNNNNNNNNNNNNNNNNNNNNNNNNNNNNNNNNNNNNNNNNNNNNNNNNNNNNNNNNNNNNNNNNNNNNNNNNNNNNNNNNNNNNNNNNNNNNNNNNNNNNNNNNNNNNNNNNNUUUUCUGUAUUUCUUUUCUUCAAGUCUGAAACUUUUUUCUUGACUUUUUAACUAUUAAAAUUUUGUAUUCAGACAAGAGUACGUAUACACCUAUGAGCCAAACUGAUUUUUUCUGUAUUUCUUUUUUUAAGUUUCUAUUUUUUUAGGCAAAAGUUUAUGUUUGAAAAGGAAGAGAGAACCCAUCAGCCAGCUCCUUUGCUCGAUCCCAGGGGUGUAGCUCAUCUCCGCCUCUUCGAUCUCCAGCAAGCACCAGGGCGCGCCGUGCCCCUCUGUCGUUCGUUCUUUCUGUUUUAUUUGAGACGGCUUGUUGAUUUCAGACCGCCCACCUUAUAUAUAUUGGCGAAAUAUGAUCUAAAAUAGCGAGGUGGUACUAUAUCCAAUCCUUAUCAGGAUUGGUACACGGGUGGAGAGUUCGGUUCGAUCCUGAGCACUAAUGAUUUUUAUUGCGAAAACAGAGAACAAAUCGUUUUUUCUCACUUAAAGUACUGCAGGUUCAUAAUGAAAAAACAUAGGGACUUUUUUGCAAAACUUUCAUGACAUACGACUAGGAGCUAUCGGUGGUUUAUUGUUAGGUAAAGAUUAGGUAAUGUUGGAAUCGGGGCUCCGCAGACCAAGAAAGGUUCGAACAGUGAGGUGCGCUCGCUCUCCUGCCCUGUUCUGCCUCACAAGUUCACGGCGACUCUCCCGUGGCUUGAGAUAAGGAAGGUGAACAAGAACACACGCAUGGUUUACUCAGGUUCGGGCCAGCUUUCGGUGUAAAACCCUCCUCCUGCUUCUCUAGAUUGCUUGAGGUGGAAGAUGAGUACAAGGGAAAUGGGGUUCUUGCCCUAGUGGAAUUGGUGGAUCCCUUGCUACGGAGGCCGGACCUCCCUCUUAUACAGGCCUUAGUCCUCUUCCCCCCCAAAAACACACUUGGCCGAAAGGAUUGCCAUAACGGUCAUUUCGAAAGGGGACUGGACUGCAACCUAUUCUGAGAAAGGCGGUCUUCGCCUACUAAAGCUCUUCGCCUUUACGCGCUCGUGGGCUUGUGGUGACCUCUGUCCUGCGAAGCCCCCAGCCUUGGCCCUCUUGCAUCAAGUUGGAAACCUUUGGGGAUGCUCUGGGAACCCACGGGCUGACUCUGCUCCUUCAGCACCAAAGGAGAUAGCCUCUCCGUAUGUGCUCGCUGGCACCGACCCAGGCGCCGUCCUGCGUGGCUCACGUUAUCCACAUGAAGAGGUAGGACCAUGCGACCUCAGCGGGUCAACCUUGGUUAGCCCGCCCCCUGCGGGCCCUGGGGGCGGCAACGGGAGGCGGCUUCACGACGCGGACCUUAGGAGGAAUGGCCUCGAUCGAGGAGAACUCUGUCGGUCCCUGGCAACCUGUGAUGAUCUGCACCCCGCGAGGAGGGGGCCUCACGAGGGUCAGAUUUUUGGGCCUUGGAGGGAAGCACUCCUGGUCCCACAACGCCUGCCGUGUCGUGGGUAGCAAACAGGCGGGCCUGGGUACCCUAUUCCGAGGACGUAAGGUACAUAUAUUAUUUGUACUAAACUAUUAUACUUCAUCAUAUUUAUUUAUUUUUAAGCGCAAUUUUAAUUAGUGUAUACUAUGUACUAAGCACAUAAAAAAUGAAUGAUGAUUACAACAUUCUUUGUUAUACUAUUCUAACAUGUAUCGUUGACAAGUAAACACACACACACGAUGCUAAAACCAACUGUAUUUCGUAAGGCAUGCAAUUUAUUUAGUUUUUUAGAUGAUGGGCCUUAAAAGAUUAAGUAAAAAUAAUAAUGUGACAAAAAAUAUAAUGAGUCGCGUGUCAAUACAAAUUAUUUCGUGACACUUGCCUAAAUUAUAGUGUACAUAUGUUUGUGUAUAUUUAAUAAUCUUAAAAACCUCUACAUAGAUCUAUGAAUAGUGUGGUUUAAUAAAUAUCCACGUGGCAGUUUCUAGUGCAUGAUUUGGUAUGAGCAAAUAUGAAAAUAUGGAGUAUAUAAAGUUUGUAUGAGCAUGUUAUCAUCUAAUAUGCUUUAAUGUUGGUAAAUGUACUUUACAUGUUCUAGUUGGUUAAAUAAUCAAUUGACAAUGGGUGAUUCUUUGAACUUAGUAAUGUAAUAGCAAUACAUAAUAAAAAUUUCAUUACACGUUAGUUCAAAAUCAGGAUUUACACGCUGAUUUCUGACACAACAAUGUGUUGGUUUAUGAGUCGGUCUCUAGCCAACUUGAGCUAAUGCUCAUAUGCCUAGCGACAAUGAAAAAAAAACAUCCGGAAAAAAGUGAAAAGGCAAGCAAAUAAUCAAAACAUGCAGGUAAGAACCAAAAAAUAGUGUGCCCAACCUCUCAGUGAAGUAAGGCCUUCUAGAGCUUAUGUAACACAAACAUUUUGAGAUGCCCAAGUCACCCAUAUAUAAGGUAGCAAUCAUCUGAACAAAGUAUAGUUGUUCUAUGGUUUUUGUCAUCAUGGACAGCCAGUUCUUGCACCUCACAUCCAUGUUGAUGAUUUAUUUAUUUACUUAUUUAUCUGCAAAACGCUCUUUCCAUGACAUAUUGUACAUUUUUUCGGAGCGAACGUAGGGUUUGACGGUGGUUGCGUGGGCGAUGGGCUUUUAGGAUUGUCACUUCACUAGUGCAGAAAAAGGCUAUAGUCCCAAUUGGUAAGGGUCCUUAGUUUCGGUUCACCAACCGGGAUCUAAUAAAUAGAGACUAAAGCCCCCACCCCUCCCUUAGUCUUGCUUGGCUACGAACCGGGACUAAAAGUCCGACCACGUGGCAGCUAGUGCGCGUCGGGGGCUGGUGACCUUUAGUUCCGGUUGGUGACACCAACCGGUACUAGGUGUUUAGGUUUUUUGGUUUUAUGGUUUAUUUUUCUUUUGAUUUUGUGUUUUCCAUUUAAAUAUUUUUUAUUUCAGAUAUAUUUUAUGCUACUACAUACUCUACACGCUAUGCAUAUAUAAUAGAAUUUCUUAUACGUCCAAUCAUGCAUAUAUAUCAUAGAAUUUCUCAUACGACCACACACACACACACANNNNNNNNNNNNNNNNNNNNNNNNNNNNNNNNNNNNNNNNNNNNNNNNNNNNNNNNNNNNNNNNNNNNNNNNNNNNNNNNNNNNNNNNNNNNNNNNNNNNUGGGUUGCAUUUUGUGUUGUGCAUCUUGUGGUGAAUAUCGUGUGUUGAUGCUUGUUACCGGUUUCCCCCGUCUCGAUAGAGAUCCGCAAGCGUGUCGGAUUGUGAGGACCCGUUCGACUACGUCGGUUCGUCUGCUUCACGGAGGCAUUCUUCUUCCAAGCGGGAUCUCAGGCAAGAUGAUCACUUCCCCAGAUACCAUUACUAUCAUUGCCAUGCUAGUUUUACCGUUGCUAUCGUUUACGUCUCGUUGCCUACCACCUGUUAAAUAUUAGCCUCUCUACAAUGCCAUGAAACCAUCAACCUGUUCACCCUAGCAAACCACUGAUUGGCUAUGUUACUGCUUGCUUAACCCUGUUGAUAGCGUUGCUAGUUGCAGGUGCAGUUGCUUCCAUGCAAAGCAUGGUUUCCUUGUUAUAUCACCAUAUUUAAUGCUAUUUAAUUUAAUGCACCUAUAUACUUGGUAAAAGGUGGAAGGCUCGGCUUUUCUAGCCUGGUGUUUUGUUCCACCUUUGCCCCCUUAGUUCCGGCUACCGGUGUUAUGUUCCAUAAAUGAGCGCUCCUAACACGAUCGGGGUUGUUAUGGGGACCCCCUUGAUAAUUCGUNNNNNNNNNNNNNNNNNNNNNNNNNNNNNNNNNNNNNNNNNNNNNNNNNNNNNNNNNNNNNNNNNNNNNNNNNNNNNNNNNNNNNNNNNNNNNNNNNNNNUAGAUAAAAUGGAGAAAAUCCUACACGACACAUAUGUUAGUAAAUUAUCCUAUUUUUAUUUUAAUAUAUAGAAGAUAUUUUUUAAUAUCAUUAUAUUAUAUCGAGUUAAAAUCGAACAAGGGAGUAGUGGCACAAGGUCAACUCAUUUCUCAAUCGAGUUACAUAAACUGCUCAUACUGACACGCUUCUUUUCGAGUUGAUCCCAAGUCGAGCCAAUAGACAAAUCAAUCACGAGUUGCUCACAAGCCUCGAGGUUUUAUUGCAGCCCUGGUUACGUCCCGUACUCCGGUUCAGCAGCUUACUUGUCCAUGAGCACGAACAGGUCGAUCCGGUGGUCCGGAGACCGGAGCCAUCACAAGUUAUUGUGUCUGAAACCAGUUACUGAACGCUCUCGCAUUUUUCUGACGGGCACUUUAGUGGACUCUUCGAGAUCGAGGGUGUCCGUCAACAAGCUGCCCGAUCGAGGUAAGGAUUACCCAGGAGUUCGGUGCAACAGGAACGCUAUCGGUGAUCUCUUGAUUAGAAUGUUGGCGGUGGCCCACCACACACAUGUCAUUAAAAAGGACGUGCAUGGACUGGUUUCUAUGGCUGAUGUGCGGGGUCUUGAAUCAAAUAGGACCCAUGUAAAUUUGUUGGGCCAACACGCAGCUCCAAGUUUUUUUUUUAAGGACUCGUAGGUCCAAGGUUGACAUCUCUAUGUCCGUGUGGAUAUCAAUUGGCUCCAAAUUUAGAACGAAAGUGCAUCCAGACAGACAUCGAACAAAUAGAAAUUGCGUGUGCGGCCGCGCAUUGGGUCAUGGUUUUUCGCCUCACAGACCAAAGCAGUCGAAUUGCACCCUUGUAGUUUACCUGAGAUUAGAGCACUGGCGGACCUAUGUUGAGGCCGAGGGGGGCCGCUACACCCUCCCCCCCNNNNNNNNNNNNNNNNNNNNNNNNNNNNNNNNNNNNNNNNNNNNNNNNNNNNNNNNNNNNNNNNNNNNNNNNNNNNNNNNNNNNNNNNNNNNNNNNNNNNGUUUCAGGCUUAGGUCCAGCCUUGGGUUUCUUCGGCGGAUUGGCAACAGGCUUGCCGCUCUUCUUCGAAUUUCCCUUCUUGCCUUUGCCGUUUCUCUUGAAACUAGUGGUCUUGCUCACCAUCAACACUUGAUGCUCUUCACGGAGUUCAGACUCUGCGACUUUCAGCAUCGCAAACAACUCGCCGGGAGACUUGUUCAUCCCUUGCAUGUUGUAGUUCAACAUAAAGCCUUUAUAGCUUGGCGGCAGUGAUUGGAGGAUUCUGUCAGUGAUAGCUUCUUGCGGGAGUUCAAUCCCUAGUUCAGCUAGACGGUUCGAGUACCCAGACAUUUUGAGCACAUGUUCACUGACAGACGAGUUUUCCUCCAUCUUGCAAGCAUAGAAUUUAUCGGAGGUCUCAUACCUCUCGAUCCGGGCGUUCUUCUGAAAGAUAAACUUCAACUCCUGGAACAUCUCAAAUGCUCCAUGACGCUCAAAGCGACGUUGAAGUCCCGGCUCUAAGCCAUACAAGACUGCACAUUGAACUAUUGAGUAGUCCUCCUUACGUGCUAACCAAGCGUUCUUNNNNNNNNNNNNNNNNNNNNNNNNNNNNNNNNNNNNNNNNNNNNNNNNNNNNNNNNNNNNNNNNNNNNNNNNNNNNNNNNNNNNNNNNNNNNNNNNNNNNUAAUAAUAACUAUACAUUUAUCAUUGCCUCUAGGGCAUAAUUCCAACACUUCCUCGAGAGGUACUGGAGCCGGCUGUGGAGGAAAAAGAGAAGGUAAAAGAACAAGUUCGGCACGAAGUUGAGCUACGGCAUUAGGGUGGAGUGCAGCAAAGGGAAAAAUAUGCUCAUCAAAAAUAACAUCACGAGAGACAUAAACCCGACCCGUGGACACAUCAAGGCAUUUAUACCCUUUGUGUAGUGGACUAUAGCCAAGAAACACACAUUGUUUAGAACGAUACUCAAGUUUGUGUUUGUUGAAUGGGCGCAAGUUGGGCCAAACUGCACACCCAAAAAUACGAAGAGAAGAAUAAUCAGGUGUGAUGUUGAAGAGACGUUCGAGUGGGGUUUGAUUAUGAAUGACACGACUAGGAACCCUAUUUAUAAGGUAGACAGCCGUGAGGAAAGCCUCAUCCCAAAAUUUGAGUGGCAUGGAUGCAUGGGCUAAAAGAGAGAGGCCUACUUCAACAAGGUGACGGUGUUUGCGUUCAACAGAACCGUUUUGUUGAUGAGCAUGAGGACAGGAAACAUGAUGUGUAAUCCCAAUACUUUCAAAACAUUGAUUCAACUUUUGAUAUUCACCUCCCCAAUCAGUUUGCAUGGCAAUGAUUUUCUUAUCAAAUAGGCGUUCAACUAGAGCUUGAAAGAGAUGAAAUUUUUGGAACACAUCGGAUUUAUGUUUGAUAAGAUAAAUCCAGCUGAACUUACUAAAAUCAUCGAUGAAACUGACAUAGUAUUUUUGUUUGCCUACAGAAAGAGGCCCAGGGCCCCAUACAUCGGAAAAAAUAAGCUCUGAAGGAGCAUGAGAUACACUAGUUGAACAAGAAUAGGGUAGUUGACGGCUCUUAGCCAUUUGACAAGCAUCACAAACUAAAUGAUGAUCUGUUUUAUUGGACAAGGGAAGAUGAUGAUUACGAAGAAUUUGCUGUACCACUGGAAAGGAUGGGUGUCCUAGACGCCUAUGCCACCUAGAGGUAGAUGGCUUGNNNNNNNNNNAAAGGAGCAUGAGAUACACUAGUUGAACAAGAAUAGGGUAGUUGAUGGCUCUUAGCCUUUUGACAAGCAUCACAAACUAAAUGAUGAUUUGUUUUAUUGGACAAGGGAAGAUGAUGAUUACGAAGAAUUUGCUGCACCACUCGGAAGGAUGGGUGUCCUAGACGCCUAUGCCACCUAGAGGUAGAUGGCUUGACGACUCCAAGAAUCUGACGUCCAGGGGUAGUUGGUUGGCCAUGGAUUGGGUAGAGUCCAUCUCUACUUGGACCGUGAAGGAUUGUGUUCCCCGUUGCCUGAUCCUUCACAGGAAAGAACUCAGGGUAAACAAUAAGAUAGGCAUUAUUAUCUUUGGCGAGGUGAUGACCGGAAAGAAGACUUUUGGUGGCACUAGGUACAUGAAGAAUAUUAUUUAGCUUGAGAGACUCAAGAGGGGUAGGACGAAGGGCAUGACCAAUAUGUGCAAUUUCCAUACCUUGACCAUUUGCUGUAUGGAUUUGUUCCGGCCCGGUGUAGCGAUCACACACAGUAAGCUUCUCUAGCUCACCGGUCACAUGAUCCGUUGCCCCCGUGUCGAGAUACCAGUUAGUAUCACCAUCAUAGGAGGGAGCAGCGGCAUUGGCAGACUUGGGAGGAUUGCCUUGGCCUUGGGGUUGUUGUUGAAGGUCUUGUCGAAGCGCUUUUUGCAGGAACAAGCACCAUGGCCAGCAUAUUUGCAGAUCUGGCAGAUGAGGGGGCCUUGAGGAUGAGCAGCGCCUCCUCCUGGUGGGGUGGUACUGGUGCCGAAGUUGUUGGGGAAGGCGGCACCACCACCAGCAGAAGGGCGAGCAGGACCACCACGGCCGCCCCCUUUGGAUGCGAGGUUGAUGGAGUGGGCGACAGUGGUGUUCUGGGACUCGAUCCUUGUUUCAGCAGAAAGGAGGAGGGAAAACAGCUCACCAAGGACGAUGGGAUUGUCUGCUGCUGCACGGGUUGAGAUCGCAGACACAAAGGAGUUGUAGUCCGAAUCCAAACCAUGCAGGAUAUGAGAGACAACCUCAUCUACAUCAACAGGAGUCCCGGCUGCCGCAAGUUCAUCUACGAAGCCUUUCAUCUUAGCAUAAUAGGAAGCAACGGAGAGAUCACCUUUGCGUGAUGUGGAGAGUUGGCCACGAAGUUGGAUCUUGCGAGCACGGGACUGUGCCGCAAAAAGCAUGAGGAGCAUCUGCCACACGCCGGAGGAGGUGGUGAUGGUGUGGACUUGCAGAAGAACAUCCCGGGUGAGGGAUGCGAGGAGGAAAGUCAUGACAUGUUGGUCCUGACUGUACCACGCGGUGUACGCCGGGUUUGGAGUCGAGAUCGUCUCCUUCUUCCCGGAGACCUCUGUCUCCGUGGCCAGAACAGCAGGGGCGUCGCAGAAGUACCAUCUAGGUACCCCAUCAGGCCGGCAGCCCUGAUGUGAGGAAGACCAUUGGCUUACCUUCGGAUUCUUCUCCAGUCUCACCAUCUGCGUCCCUACUGUUGUGACUGCGGGGGGAUGUUGAGUAUAUUGAUNNNNNNNNNNCCGAUGGGAUUGUCUGCUGCUGCACGGGUUGAGAUCACAGACACAAUGGAGUUGUAGUCCAAAUCCAAACCAUGCAGGAUAUGAGAGACAACCUCAUCUUCAUCAACAGGAGUCCCGGCCGCCGCAAGUUCAUCUGCGAAGCCUUUCAUCUUAGCAUAAUAGGAAGCAGCGGAGAGAUCACCUUUGCGUGAUGUGGAGAGUUGGCCGCGAAGUUGGAUCUUGCGAGCACGGGACUGUGCCGCAAAAAGCAUGAGGNNNNNNNNNNUAGUUAGGAAACAUAAGAUAGACUAGGAAUUAUGUUGGUUUGUCUUGUACUCUAAGUUGAUCAUGUACUCCUAUAUAUAUGCCUACGAGGCUCAAGCAAUACAACACCUAUUCCACCAAUCCAUCUAUUCCCGUUCAACAACUUCUGCCAGAAGAACACGAGGUAUAAAUAACUACAUCGUAUUUUAUAGCAUAUUCAACGAAGAAUACAAUCUUGAUCUCAACCUCAGUGAAUUUUGACAGGUUUCUCUCACUAAAGAAAUCCCAUAGGAAAAAAUACGAGAAGCGUUGGUAGCUCCCUAUACAAGGAUGAAAAAAGGUCAACCUAAUUUCAGCCUGAACAACUAUAAAAUGGAAAUUAAAAGGAUACAUUAACUUUGGACCAUUUUUUCUCAUGAUACAGUCGCUCCGCAAAGAGCAGCUAUUUACUCGAUACAACUGUGAGAAUGUUGGUUGCAAACAAGAUACAUUGAGACUGAAGUUUUAAAUAGCCAACAACAUGAACAUAGCCUCUCCACAUGAAAAAGACCCACCGAGUACCAGUGUGGCUGCUAAAUAAGCAAGUGAAUCAACAUCACCUUGCUGAAUUUCACAGCUCUUUGCUCUUUCCGUCUAUUGUUUUGUUGGUCGUAAAAAUGAGAACUUAAUGAACCCCUAUAUGUGCUGUGCACCUAUAACCUGGGUACUCACUGUACUUUUAGACAAUUGUUGUGUCGUGGGUAGUAAUAGUAUAUGACUGCCCUGUGCACUUCNNNNNNNNNNCAAUGAACCCCUAUAUGUGUUGUGCACCUAUAACCUGGGUACUCACUGUACUUUUAGACUAUUGUUGUGUCGUGGGUAGUAAUAGUAUAUGACUGCCCUGUGCACUUCAUCUGCUACACAAAUUAACUUCUUCAUCCAGCCAAUUUACCUGUUUUAUACAAGAAGAAGCAAGUACUUCGAAUGUUUUUUCCAUGUUAUAACAAAUACCGAUAGCAAUAUCAUUUGUUCACAUCAUUUAUAAAGGAAAUGUAAAAGUAAAGGCUAGAACUGCAAGAGUGGUGCCAGUAGAAAACUUAUGAAACNNNNNNNNNNNNNNNNNNNNNNNNNNNNNNNNNNNNNNNNNNNNNNNNNNNNNNNNNNNNNNNNNNNNNNNNNNNNNNNNNNNNNNNNNNNNNNNNNNNNAUUAGUUUUACCUUUGACGAGAUAUCUUGUGCAUCGGGAUUCCGGUGAUGCUUUGGGUAAUCUCAGAGUUGAGGUUUUCCACUAGGAAAUCCGACGAGAUCGCGAGCUUCGUGAUUGAGGAUUUCUAUGCGGCUUGUGGUAAUUUGUGAUGGACUAGUUGGAGCACCCCUGCAGGGUUAAAUCUUUCGGAAAGCCGUGCCCGCGGUUAUGUGGCAACGUGGAAACUUUGUUUAACACUGGUUCUAGAUAACUUGAAGUUAAUUAACUAAAGUAUGCCGACUGUGUGCGUAACCGUGACUGUCUCUUUCGUGAGAUCCUUCUUCGAUCGAGGACACGGUGGGGUAUGAUUGACGCAGGUAGGUGUUCAGGAUCAUUCACUUGAUCAUUUGUAGCACUCGUCCGUUAUGCGUAGAUCUUCCCCCUCUUACUUCUGGUACUCGUAAGUUAGCCACCAAAUAUAUGCUUAGGCGCUGCUGCAACCUCACCACUUAACCAUACCUCACCCAUUAAGCUUUGCUAGUCUUGAUACCUUUGGAAAUGAGAUUGCUGAGUCCCCUGUGGCUCACAGAUUACUACAACACCAGUUGCAGGUACAGGUAAAGAUUACUUGACGCGAGCGCGUUGAUUGUUCAUUUGGAGUUGCUUCUUUUUCUUCUUCAUCGAUCUAGGAUGGGUUCCAGGCCGGCAGCCUGGGCUAGCAAGGAUGGACGUCGUUCUUCUUUUAUCGUUUAUUUUCGUCCGUAGUCGGACCCUGCUCUUACUCUUGAUGAUUAUGUGAUGUACUGAGGUGACUCUGAUGUAGCUUGUGGCGAGUGUAAGCCAAUUCCAUAUAUCUCUUCUUUUCAGUACAUGUACUUGUAACGAUAUCCAUUCUUGCGACACGACGAGAUGCGCUUCUAUCCCUGACGAGGCCCUCGUGCCAAAUUGAGGAUAGGGUCGCAUCUUGGGCGUGACAAGUUGGUAUCAGAGCCUGUACCGACCUAGGAACCCCCUUGAUUGAUCGAACUUGGCCGAGUCGAGUCUAGUGAAAAACUAUUUGAGUCUUAGUUAUAUAUCGGAGAGUAGGAUUCUUUUUUCUCCUCUUCUAUGCUCUGGUGAGGAAUCUUGAUGUAAUAAUUUAUUCUACUCCUCUUCUCACUCAAAUUUUUUUUUUUUAGGAUCACGCGGAUAUUCUUGGAAUCUAUAUGAUGCCGAUGUGACGGAGUUCUGUCUUGGUGCCUCCUGUCUGACUUGAUCUUCUUCCGGGGAGUUGAGCUCCAGGGGAUUCUCGAGCACAUCGUUAUCAUUCAGAUUUCUUAGUAUCUCAGAACGAAGGAUGUUCGUAGUUGCUUCAAUACUGGUAGUGGCGAGAUAACCCCGAUGUCCCCAGUACUGGUGCAGAUUGUUCGGGAGUACUGCCAUGCUUUGUAUCGUUGUGAUCACGAGGGUCUGUUGUAGAUGAAGGUCCGAGAUUCUGGUCGUGUGUUGACGGAUGUGAUACAAGUGACGGUUUAGUAUAGGAGUUGUGUGGUUAUUACUCCUUGUAUCCGUGUACCAGAUUGCAUGACCAGAUAUUUCGGGAAUUCAUAGGUGGGAAUUCAAGUAGUUGCUUAUAGGACAAUCUUCCAACAAAUGAAUGAUGUUAGGUUGGGGUUCGACAUCUAGUGGAUUUGUUUGUUCACGGUCGACUUACAGCGGUACACGUUGUGUCUUAAAGAGUCCUUGUAGCUUGCUACGACUCGGGGACGCUUCGUAUGUCGGGUGCACUGCCUUGCACUUGAUGGCUUCUGUAAAUCGUGCCCGUGCGAUCCUGUCCACGAAAAUAUCGAACGGAAAUCUUUCUCAUGAGUUUGUUCUGGCUUGUUUCAUAAGCUUCAUCCUUUGUUUUGUUGGAUAUGGUAAUUCAGUUGCUUCGAUGUCAAGUGGUGAUUUCAGAUCCUUCCUAAUUUGUGUUCUCAUAUUUUUAUGUGAGCGCUAAUUCGUUUGUUCAAUCAGUUGUCUUAUCAAUUCUUGUCAACCCGAGUCAUCGUAUCAAUUCUUUCCAACCGGUGUGAUUCUCUAGUGAAUUCUAUCCUCUCCAAUUGUUGCAGAUCAUUCUCAAUUCUUUCCGGAGUUCUCUCAUCUGUCCCAAGUUGUCUUUGUGUUUCCCCGCCCUCCCGCCCUUUUUCUUCGGUGAUUGGAUUUCAUCCAAGCGCAUUCAUUUCAUUGUGCUUCCGCUGUCUGUUCUUUUCUCUCUUACCCGGUGAUUCGUUGUGGAAAUUCUCAGGAGCUUCAUGUUCAUCUUUGUUCAUUCUUGUCUUCCUUACCGGUGAAGUUAAUUCAGUUGUCCGUGUCAUCAUAUCCUAAUUAUCCUCGUAAUUCUUUUCAUGUUGGAGAUUCUUUCAGGCUAUCUUGGUUAUUCAUUCCUCUCUUUUCAUCCGGAGUGCUGAAGAUAUCUCUGAGUUUCGAGUUUUAAUUCUUUUAAUUAUUUCGAGGUGCUCAACCUCAUCUAGUUCUCUUCAUACCGGUGUAAUAUCAAUCUUUCUAAUAAUCUUUUCUACGGUGAUUUCUUUGAGUGGGCCCAUAACCCACAGGUUCUUUCCCAGGAUCUUACCUGGCUCUUUGAAUCAUCUCCGGAGAUCUUUAAAUCUUUUCAACUGUGACGUGAGUAUGAAUUUCAUCAGUCAUAUCCCUUCUUCAAGUUCUAUUUGAAUUAAUUCUCUUAUUUGGCUCAACCUUUCAUUCUGCAUUAGUCCGGAGUGUCUCAGCUAUUCUUGGUGUUGUUUCUCGUCGUCAUUCUCAGNNNNNNNNNNNNNNNNNNNNNNNNNNNNNNNNNNNNNNNNNNNNNNNNNNNNNNNNNNNNNNNNNNNNNNNNNNNNNNNNNNNNNNNNNNNNNNNNNNNNGUAAAGGCUAGAACUGCAAGAGUGGUGCCAGUAGAAAACUUAUGAAACGCCAACUGAAAAUAGCCUGACUUAGCAAGCACAUAGUUUAUGUUGGGCUAACCGUUUAUUGAUUAAUCAUCCUGUCCGAAGGAAGUCCUAUUUGUUAACAGUCUAGAUUAGUCUGCAUGCAGUAAAAACAAAACAAAAAUACUUAUCCCAAAUAUAAAUGAGGCCUGCCAUGGACGCGGCGUGCGCCGUCCUUCUUGGUCCUAGUUCACAUACAGACGCCCACACACCCACAGAAAGUUGUUGUCAUGUUGAACUACGACAUCAGUAAUCUUUCUCAAAAUGGAAGUUAUCCUACAUUCAGUAAAAAAAAGUUGCUUAUUUAAUUAGGAAAAACUGAGCCAAAACCGGAUUGUUCAGUUAAUUUCAAAAAAUCUGACGAAAACCAUCAUAACCGUUGAACGACAUACACAAGAUUCCCCACGCACACCACUCCAAUGAUGGCCUCCUCGAAACAUCACACAAAAACAUCAUCAUCAUCACUCCUCCCCUAGAGACGUCAUCGUCAUCCCUAAAGUCCUAAACACUGAGCAAACGACUAUGCCUUCGUCGUAGGAGAUCGUCGACUCAACACACACACUGCAGAGUCCGCAUGGAGAUGAAUGAAAAUUNNNNNNNNNNAGACGAAAACCAUCAUAACGAUUCCCCACGCACACCACUCCAAUGAUGGCCUCCUCGAAACAUCACACAAAAACAUCAUCAUCAUCACUCCUUCCCUAGAGACGUCAUCGUCAUCCCUAAACACUGAGCAAACGACUAUGCCUUCAUCGUAGGAGAUCGCCGACUCAACACACACACUGCAGAGUCCGCAUGGAGAUGAAUGAAAAUUUGCGCUGGCUCAGCCACCCACGACCUGACAAUGCAGCCCCGACUCUGAUGAAGAACUACAAAGGAUAAAAUCAGGCAUGGCUGGCACGGCUGAAGAUCGCGAAACAGAACACCUGCAGCUGGUCAUCAUAUACCACACAGAGCCCGCCGCUGUAGUUCCGACAUUACAGCAACAAACAAACCGAGGCAGUCCUAUGGACACAUCGGAGAAUAGCCGACUACCUCAACCAUUGUCGUGUUGCCGACAUUGCUUCCACCAUCAUCAUUGCCAUAGAAGUACGGAUGCCACAACAACCGCCAUCCACCUAUCCCACGUGCCGAAGCCGAGCUCCUGGACGAAGCACCCAAGAUGAAAAACGACACCAAGCGCCAACAUCGUCCGAUCACACAAGAUCAAGGGUUUCUCGUGAGGAGGCCGAGAUGGCCGGAUCCAUGCAGAAGGAAAACAGAAGCAAAUCAAUGAUGCCUCCAAAAGUGUUAACGACGGCCACAACAACGCCCCGAGCUGACCUGCACCUCUGUCACUCACCAGUUUCCCGCGAGGGGCUCAUAUGCGGUCGCGCGCCCACCGCAACACAAGAUCCAGGCGUGAAGGCUCUGGAUCUUCCGCCUUGCCAGAGGAGAGGACCUCCCGGCCGUCGGCACCGCUUGCGGGACGAACCACGCGCUGGUUCCCGCAUGAAACCAGCCACGAGUGCGGGUGCGCCCGUGCCCUGGAGAAGACGAAACCUUGCUGCCACCGUUGACACACGGCCUUUGACCGGCGGUGCAUCCCGGCGGCGGCGAGGGGGAGGAACACAUGGGAGCGUCUGUCGACGGCUAAUAGUACCGCUGUCCGUGUCGUUCGUGCGGAGCGGCGCAGGGGCAGUGUGUUUCGUUUUCCUACCAGCUAGUCACUGCGACAUGAGUAAUAAACUUUUUUUUGUGGGAGAAAGAGACAUCAGUAAUGAUCAGAAGGCAAGACUAUAAUAACACUAUUGGAUUUCAGUUUUUUGAAUAAUAAGAUGAAAAGAAAACUCAGAUUGUAACAGAAUGACCAAACAAGAGGAAGCCUGAGCUAUAAAUUAAAGAACGCCAAAAGAUUGAGAAUGACAUCAGACAGCCAACCAAAAAAAAAA
rnacentral:lncRNA from 1 species